CAAUAAAGUACUUCUUGUUUGUUAGGUAAUCUCGAAGAAUAGAUUUCUUGAAUUGAUAAUCUUUACCGAUAAUUACUCUAACCCGAGAUGGAGGCAUCACAGAUUUGAUUAUGUCUUCCAAUAUCUUGCCAAAAUCGUAGAGUAGAGAAACCCUGACCCAAGCAAGACAGUCAAAAUAGAACUUGACAUAGUUAUUAUUGUAAGUAUCUGCAGCAAAAGCAGUCUUAUCGAAGCCACUGCUGUCGAGAAUUGCAACCACUGAAAGCCCAGAUGGUCCCUCAAUCAAUAGAUCAAAAAACUUCUCUCAGCCCCGUUCAAAUUCACUGAUAUCGAGCGGAGGUUGUCCCUCACUUAAUAGGCGAAUGAUUUCGUUACUUUUUUCACUGAUAUCAAAACCAUUGUCGCCGGGUGGAAGUUGUUGCGUCCGAUUUCUAAUAUCAAUGAGUUCACUGUGGAGUCCAUCAUGAAGAGCCAUAUUAGUGCUGCUUUCACUUUCGUUUUAACUGUUUUGCUGCUGCAUGAUGUUGAUGAAGAACGUGUCAAUGGCUUCCUCAGAUUCAUGGACAAAGUCAUUGAUGUCCUGAAGAAUUUCCAGAAUGUCUGAUCUUUCAUCGUCUUCUUCAUCACUUUCUUCUAAGUCCAACAGUUGCAAUAAAGGCAAAGACAUUUCGGAUUCAACGAAUUCUUGUCUGAUGAGUUGAGACAAAAUCCGAGCCAUGUCAGCUUCAUAGUUUCCCAACAGAGUAGUAGUAAUAAUUUCAGACUCCGUAAGAAGGUUUUGAAAAAACGGGGCUAAAUUUGUUGAAUCAGGCAACGUUAACGUGCCUUCUUCACCUGCUAACACCCUUCUCAACCUCUCACAAAACAGUCGGAGGUGGACGUCCAGCAUAUCUCCUUCUCUCUGUAGCACCCAGAGGUAUUGUUUUUUGCUCCAAGAAAUAUUAAAAGGAUUGGUUCUAUCUCAAAGUGGUUACUGGUGUAAAAUUAAACGCCAUGGGAGAAUUUGAAUGGAAGAUGCCAAGGAACUGGCGAAGUGGCUAAAUUCCACAAAUACGGCAUUAUUGCUCAUUUUUAACUCAAAAAAUUGAUACGCGUUCAUUUAGCGAAAAGUCCAAGACGCGUGCCUUUUGAAAAGAAGAGGUAUCCAAUAGAUAUCCAACCUUUAUCUUAUUUUAAUUACUACCACGACAUGAUUGAUGGUGGUUAAAUCAAUUGUUUCUUUUUUAAUUUAAAGAAAUUUUCAUUAAAAAAAUAUUUUAAUAUCAAAUUGCCUUCAAUAGCGUAACUGCCGCAGGCCCAGUAACAGGAUUAAUUAAAUUUUUUUGAAUUUUUGGGCAUGGAAAGAGUAGUAUUAGACUUCAGUAAGCUAAGGUUGUUAUGUUAAAGAAUUGAUAUUGACAUAAUUUUAUUUUAGCUUUCGGGGAAAAAAAUAUUUGUUGACAAGCAAGAAAAUAUUUUUGUAUUUUACAAUUUAUUAUACUUAGUUUAUCAUAUUAAAGUAAUUUUAAUAAUAAAUAGACACAUAAUAUUACAAUAAAUAAAGUAAAGUUUAAAUUAUUUUGAAUAUUAUAAAAAAUAAUUUUAAUAUUAUUAAUAGGAAGACAUUUUGUUAAUUUUAAAAUAUUUUUAACCUAAAGGUUUAUUUAAAAUCUUUAGAAAUCUCCAUCCCACAUCUACCCUAUUAAACAAGUUGAUGGAAAUUGAACAAUUGCUUUUUGAAGUGUACCCAUUGAGUUAUGUUCAUUACUGGUCAUUGUCUAUUCUUUCUAAGAGCCACUUGUUUUGAGCAUUAGCAAUCCUAUCUGGACUACUCCAAUUAUUGAUGUAACUCCAAUGGUUGCAUCAACAGUUGAAUGUAAGAUAGUGUUAGUUCUUUUUUGAGAAUUUCUUUAUUUGUUUCUCCGUUGCAGCGUAUUAGUAUAAAUUUCUUUACCUUACAGAUCCUACAGUCUUCCUGUUAAUGAAUUCGCUGAGGCAUUAUUGAUCCAAUCUCAGUGAAGUAAUUGUGGGUGAAAGAAAAAAUAAAGGAUAAGAGAACGUAGCUCAAGUGCGGCAAACCAUACAUGCAUGAACAAAAGCCAGCAAAUCCAAAUGAAAACUUAAACGGAAGAUCUUAUUCAAGUUUGUCCCCAAAAGACAGCUGAAAUGAAAAAUAUUGACUAUCGAGUGGAUCAAUGCUGAAUUACAUUUGACCUGGAAAGCUUGGCUGCCGUUGCGAUGUUCCCCCUCUGAUUUUCCCUAAAACAAAUUCAGUUGUAAACAAUAACUGGGGUAGCAACAAUUUAUUCAUUAUAGAAAAUACCUAAAUUUUCAACCACCAAAUCCUCGUGUCUAAACUAAAAAACUCAUAUCUCUAAAAUCUAUAUACAAAAUGUCAUAAAUGAGGGUGAUCUCUCAAUUCGGUAAAUAAAUUCAUGCAUAAUAUUACCAAUAAUGAUAAAUUACAUAAUAAUUAUUAUAAAGAAUCAUAAAUUGGAAACAUUAAUCAUUUUAAAAUGUAUUACAUAAUAAAGAUAAAUCUUAUAAUAAGUUACGUUAGAACAUAAUAAAUAUUUUCAAUAAUAUAUAUAAUUAUUUAAGAAGUCUUUUAGCAAUAAAAUAUAUAUUUUUUCUUUUUCAGUUGAUCAUGUCAUAGCGUUAUCUAAAAUGUUAGCGAUAUCAUUAUUCUUCACUUUUCUCAAAAAAAAAAAAAGAAAAAAAAAAGAAACAUGAUUAACGUUUGGAGAAAAGUCAUGCCUUUUAAAAAGAAUAUGUAUACAAUACCAAUCCAUACUUUAUCUGACCAUGACAAAAUUGUUUAAAAUAGAUUUAAUGCACAAAUAUGAUGACUUUUGGCAGAAAUUAGUUUCGGAAAUAUUGGGAUGAAAACCAUAUUGGUUGAGACUUAAAAUUACUUAACUACCAUUUAAUAGAUAAAAACCAUAUUAGUUGAAAGUUAAAUUAAGAUUUAAAUGUUGAGAUAUCUAACGUUACUUAAUCAGAAUAAACAAUAAUCAAUUCAAAUUAUGACUAUCAUGUAGAAGCAAAUGUUUAUGCUUGGGUCUUUUACUUCUUGAAUUUGAUUGGAAAAAUUUCUGAGACAGAGAAGUGAGUGUUUUGGAUAAUAUUUUUCGGGAUUGAAACCACAAAUUGGUCGAGGAAAAUAAUUUUGGACAAAUUUUUAUUAUAUUGUAGCACCUUUUUGGUUCCUUUUGUGUCGGCAGCCCCUCACUAUUCUCUUAACCCUGAGUUUUGAGAUAGAAAUUUCCCGAACUCCAACCCCACAUCCACAGACAAGUUGAUUGAAACAAUUGCUCUUGUAAUUAAGAGGAUGAGAUAGGGUUCAGUUCUUAUCAUUGUCUGUUAUUUCUUUGAAUCAUUAUCUUAAUUAAUUACAUCAAUUGUUUCUUUUUUUAAUUUAAAGAAUUUUUCUUUAAAAAAAUAUUUUAAUAUCAAAAUGCGUUAAAUGGUAUUACUGCCGCAAUCCCAGUAACAGGAUUAAUUAAAAAAAUAUUCUUAGGAAGAUAUUUUGUUUAUUGUAAAAUCUUUUUAAUCCAAAGGUUUAUUUAAAAUCGUUAUAAUAAAUAAAAAUAUAAAAACAAAAUAAAUAUCAUAAUUUAAAAUUUUAAUAUUAUUUUAAAUAUUAAAAAUACUUUAAUGCUAUUAGUCUACUACACAGGUUAUAUUACUUAUAUUAUAUUUGUAUAAAUUAAAACUUUUAAAGUUAAAUCUUUAAUUACUAUAUUGAAAAGGUAUUAUGGUUAAAAAAAGUUUUGGCAUUUUUUUUUGAAAAUUUGAGGGUCUGCAUGACAAUUUGUCCAAAUCCUAGAGGUAUAGGUGUAUUUUUUUUUCGAUAAUUCAUUUUACUUUUGAGGGAAUCCGAUGAGAAAUAAGAUAAGAGAAACUUCAAUUUAAUGUUCUCUAGGGAAAACCAAGAACUAUUCAACUUUGUAUUUUUUGUUUGUAAAACAAAAAACAGUUUGCCAAAAAAGGUACCAAACAUAUCCUUAAUGUCUCACAUGAUUUCUUAUUAAGUCCAUACUCGAUAUAUUUAUACAUUUUAGGUAUUUUAGUUAUAAAAGAAGUUGGUCCUCCCUCUGUUUAUAAAAGGUAACUUUAUUUCGAGAUUACCACUAAAGUCUUACAAAGAAUUAGUGUAAUGUUAAGAGAGACUAACACAGUUUUCCAUUACCAUUUUGAAAAUAGAAAGAUAUGGAUGUGUGCAUUUAAUGGUGAGUUUACUUGCCGGAUUGGGGAAUCAGAAUCUGGAAUCGGAAUGAUUGAUGGUGUUUACUUCGCAAAUAUGGAGCAGGAAUCAGAAUUGGAAUGGUGGAGCCCACCACUAUUUGGGAAUGGGAGAUUGAUUCCCAUGGGGGAAGGUGGGAAUGAGUCUCCCAUUCCCUGGAUUAACCAUUUUGCCCUCCCUCAAAAUUAAAAAUGCCUACUUUGUCCUCUUUUAUAAUUAAUUAAUAUAAUAUUAUAAUUAAUUAAUUAAUAUAUAAAUAUUUUAUUAACUAUAAUUAUUAAAAAUUAUAGUUCUUGAAUAAAUAAUCACAAUAAUUAAUUUAUUAUUAUUAUUGUUAAUGAAUUAAUAUAAUUAUUACUAUUAAUUAAUAUAUUAAUAUAUUAUUAACAAUAAUAUAUUAAUAAUUAUUUUUCGUGAAUAAAUAAUCACAAUAAUUAAUAUAUUAUUAUUGUAAUUAAUUAAUUAAUAUACUAUUAUAAUAAUUAAUUCAUAUAUUAUUAUUAAUUAAUUAAUAAAAUUAAAAUUAUUAAUUAAAUAAAUAAUAUAAUUAUUACUACUAAUUAAUAUAUUAUUAAAAAUAAUUAUUAAUAAUUAUAAUUUUUGAAUAAAUAAUCACAAUAAUUAAUAUAUUAUUUUAAUUAAGUAAUUAAUAUUAAUAUUAUUAGUUAAUAUAUUUUUAUAAUAAUUUUUGAUAUAGUUAUUAUAAUUAAUUAAAUUUUUUUACAAUUAAUUAAUAUAUUAGUUAAUAAUAAUUAUGACAAUAAUCCAUUAAGUACUUUUUAGUAAUUUGUUACAAUCUAAUUCAUUCUGAUUCCGAUUUCAAGACAAAGUAAACACAUUAAUGGCAAUCUAGCUCAUUUCGAUUUUGAUUCUUACAGUUCAAGUAAACAACUUAUUUUGAUUCCCAUUACCUAUUCCCAUUCCAGCCCAUUCUCAUUUCUGCCCAUUUCAAUUCCAGCUCAUUCCGAUUCCAGUUUAGUAAACGCAGCAUAAGAGUUAUCAUGAAAAUCAUACAAUUUAAUUUCCUGAAAUAUAUAUUUUAUUCACAUGUGCCAAAAGAAUAAAUAGAUAGAAAGUAAAUUUACAAUCCUCACUCCCUCAUAAUUGUUAAAGUGAAUAUGCAUUACAACUGUGAACUGUCACUACUUUAGCCCCUUUUUUUUUUUUUUCAAUUAUAGUGUGAUGGAGACAGUGAACAUUAAGGAUAAAGUGCUCUGCUGAAAGCCAAACUUCCUUUGGCUAAUUAAUUUAGAAGUAAAGCAGAGAAUAAAGUCCUUGAUGCCUUCUGAAAUUAGAAAUACAUUUUAUAUGCUUUAAUUAUGAUUAUUUGGUAGACUAUUGACCAAAAGACAUGUUAAAGUAUAAAACAGAGCGAUCAAAGAAAAAAAAAAAAGGAGCGUUUGUGACGUAGAAUAACAAUUUGUAAGUAAAGUCCUAAUUUGAGUUGUCAAAAAGCAAAUAUAACAGAGAAGGUAAGAGAGAUGCAAAAAGGGGAAAUUUACAGUAAUAACCAUUAAAGUUUUGAUUUUUUUCAUCUUAACCCCUUAAAAAUAUUUCUAUCAACAUUAGCCAUAAAACAACUUUUGAGACCAAAAUACCUCUCCUUCAUCUCUCCCCCAAAAAACUUGUUCUGUGGCCAAAAAGCUUGAUUUUUUUUUUAAAAAAAAAAUCUAAUCUUUUGCGGCUUGUUGCAUGAUUUUAAGAUGAAAAAUUUGUCAAGUUGUAUUCUAUCAGCAUUAUUAUUAUUAAUGCUUUCACCUGCAAAUUCAUUGAUAUUCAUUCCCCCUUCCAUAAUCUUCGUGCCCAAAUUGCUUCUAACUUUUCUCGACUUCGACGCGGGUGAGAGAUUGCUUUUCCUUUCACCUUUUUGUUUUCUUCCGUUUAGCUUCAUUAUUUUAAAAAAAAAAAAACCGAAACAGAACAGAAACAAAAGCUUCAGCCCGCGGCCACCGUCCAAGGCUGCCGGCUCUCGUUUUCCGUCACCGAUCCGGACGCAACCACCACUAAACGGAUCAUAAAUCGCCGGCCAUCAAACUCCAAGCAUCGGACACCGUUGAUUAGCCACAGAUCGCCGGAAAAGCAACCAAAACAGCCGCGCCAACCGUGCCGUCAUUCACCGGUUUCCGCCGCGAUUUAGCCAGCACCACCGUAAUCAAUCCACUCCUCUCCACGAGCUCAACCUCUUUCGUUAUUCCCCACCUCCGAUCGACCAACCCAUCGCCGGAAUCUAAGCAUCACCAAACAGUUACAACUUAUCUCAAAUUUCCGGCCAAAACGCCACCGUUUCCGACGAAUCACAAACAUCAUCAUGAACAACUUCAAGUUUUGGUGCGACAGGGUGCUUGUCGCACCAAAACUUGGUGCGACGGGUGCCUGUCGCACCAAGGCUUGGUGCGACGGGUGCCUGUCGCACCAAGGCUUGGUGCGACGGGCACCCUGUCAUCAGAUUCAUCCUCCGACUCAGAUCAAUAAGUUUGAAAAUAACUCAUGCCACGAUGCCGAUUAGUUUUGGUCUGUAAAGAAGGGUAAUUUAGGGAGAAAGGCUUGUGUUUGGCUAAUGUUGAUAGAAAAAAAUUCAGAGGAUUAGUUGCAAAAAUAACAAAAUAUUUAUGGUUAUUUUCGUAAAUUUCCCCAAAAAGAGAACUAUUAGCUUAUCUUGAUUUCCCCACUAUAUUCAUUUUCGAUGCUUUUCAAACGAGAUUCUUUUAAUCCUUCUGGCGUCUGCAGCCCCUGCUCUUCUUAUAAAUCUCCAUCCCACAUCUGCACUACGAACAAAUUGACUAAAAUUAAAUAAUGUUGGAGACGAGGGAUGAGCUGUCAACUUAUUAAAAAAAACUCAUGUAUAAUAUUAUCAAUAAUAUAAAAUAUAUAAUAAUUAUUAUAAAGAAUCAUAAAUUAGAAAAAUUAAUUAUUUUACAAUCUAUUUCUUAAGUAAGAUAAAUCUCGUAAUAAGUUAAGUUUAAUGUAAAAAAAUAUUUUCAAUUUAUAAUCAUUUAAGAAGUCAUUUAACAAUAAAAUCUUUCUUUUGAUCAGGUGGCCAUGCCAUAGAGUAUCAUCUAUAUUCGUGGUGAUAUUAUUAUUACUCAAUAUCCUCAAAAGACACGAUUUAACAUUUAGAGAAAAUUCCUGCCUUUUAAAAAGAACAUGUAUGCAAUAGCUAGCCACACUUUAUUUUACCACGACAAAAUUGAUAGUGAUUAAAUCAAUUUUCUCAAUUAAAGAAAUUUUUUUAAAUUGAUUUAAUGCACAAAUAUGAUGAGUUUUUGCAAAAAUUAGUUUUGGAAAAUAUAGUGAGAGAGAAUGGUGACGAUUAUUUUUCAGAUGUGCAAAUAGCCUAAACAUAAUCUCUAAUACCAAUAUCCUUGUGCAUCUUAACACCUUUCAUGAUAUUCUUUCAUUCAUGGCCAUUUGUUCAAUAUUUGAAUUUGAUUAUUAAAUUAUGUUCAAUAAUGUUAGAGACCCCAAUAAUUGGGUACCAACUUAAAUCCCAAUGCUAUGUGUCAUUAACAAAUGUUGUGUCAUUUAUCAUUAUUGAAUGAAUAAUUCGUUAAUUUAUUGAUAAAUGAAAAUUUAUUAAUUUAAAGAGAGAUUGUUUUUUUUUGGUUUUAAGAAGAGUUUUGUUGGUACAUGUACAUACUUAUAAAGAAAUAAACUUGUAAUUAUACUAUAUCUUUCUUUCUUUGUUCAGUUUGGUGGGAUAUUGUGAUAAAUCAUUGGAUUAAAAUGCAUUUCUAAAUUGAAACUUGUUAAAAUCUAAUUUAUUUAGGAAACACAUAUUAUUUGUCAGUCGUACUUCUCAAAUAAGAUUAAAACUCACCCAAUUCAAUCCAUCAGAUUCCGUAAGGAUAUAACUGGAUGUCAUACCGCCACUCCAUAUCCUCGAAAGUCCGUAGUCCUUGUCUCAACUGUGUCUGGGGCCAGUGUAAGUCCAAUUUGCGCAAGCUCUUUAUGCACCACAGCUCUUCUGGAAGCUUUCUGAAGUAAGCACAUGGGUUGACAAUUAAGCUUUCAAGUUUCGGCAUUGCUCCAGCCCCCAUCGUCCACUCAUCUAGCCAAUUUACUCAUGAAUUGUUGUUCAUAUUAGCAAUUUGAUUGAAAGUGUGGCUGCACUAAUUUUCUAGAUGAAUUUUUUCCUACAUGCUUGUUCCCGUGUGACCCAAAAUCCUGCUACAUCAGUUGUAUUAGAAAUUAAUCAACUGGGUUACAAUUAUGCAUCCCCACCAAUAUUUAAGCAAUUUAAUUACAGAAACAUUUCUUGAGGAAAAAAACUCAUAUCGCCACUAGGCUUUUAAUGAGGCUCAUUUUUAUGAAUUUGGAUGGCAUUAGAUAUCUCUCCGAAUAUUGGUGGGAGUAGAUCGCAGAUCUCUGGGCUAUACUACAAAGUGUAUGUACGUUGACUCUCAAUAAAUACAAACGAUUCUCUGAUAUGAUUCAAAACAUCAGUGCAUGCAUCAUUUUAAUGAGAAAGAAUAUUCUAAGAACGAAAUUGAACGUGCAAUCAGCAAUUAAAAUGAAGCCAGAAAUGUACAUGCAUGAGGAAUUUUUCUUAGAAGAUUGAUAUUUCUUUGACUAGCAAACCAUACAAGUCCAAAGCUAGCAAACCAUACCUGCAAGUCGGGGGUUUAAAUGGAGUACUUCUAAGCAUAAAACAUUGAUUAAAACAGAAUACACACAUACAUACCAGCAAAUUCAAAAUAGCAAAAGGAGUGCAAAAGUUCAAGUUUGUAGACAACAUUGCAACCAUGGCAUGUUUAUAGCAAAUCCUCGAAAUCUGCUAAAUAAAACAAUGCCCUGUCUCAUGAAUCAAUGCUGAAUUAAAAUUGAAACUGAAAGUCUGGCUGGCGUUGUUUCCCUCUCCAAUUUUGCCUACAUAAGUGAAAAUAAGAAUAAUAAAUGAAAAUCUGCUUUUACGGUUCUUCUUUGAUAGAUAAAAGGGGGAUCUUUCUUUGUUUCUCUGCUGCAAUGUGUGCCUAUCCCACUCUGUUUUGCCACCCAAGCUGAGUCUAUGUUGAGACAUAAUUUUGACAUCCGAAGCAAUCUCAAUUAGUUUGGCAAUUUUAUGACCUCCUUGAAGGUUUUAUGAUAAACAUAAAUCUACUGAGAAAGUGGGAAAAAAAGAAAAUGCAUAUAAAAAUAUGAGUUAUCAGAUAAGAUUAAAACUCACCCAAUUCAAUCCAUCAGAUUCCAUAAGGAUAUAACUGGAUGUCAUACCGCCACUCCAUAUCCUUGAAAGUCCGUAGCCUCUGUCUCAACUCUGUCUGAGGCCAAUGUAAAUCCAAUUUUCGCAAGCUCUGUAUGCACCACAGCUCUUCUGGAAGCUUUCUCAAGUAAGCACAUGGGUUGACAAUUAAGCUUUCAAGUUUCGGCAUUGCUCCUGCCCCCAUCGUCCACUCAUCUAGCCAAUACAUUGAUUUCAGGUGCAAAACCUUAAGUUCGGGAAAGCUACUCAAGCCAACACAAGCAAGCUUUCUUCCUAAAUACGAGUUCUGCUUCAGUUUCAGCACUCGAAGGAGUGGAAGAUUUUCCAGAAUUGGCGUGGGAUCCUCCAUUAGCUCAGUAUUUGAUAAGGUCAGUUGGCUCAGACUUGGGGGAAAUUGGUAUUCGGACAGGACCAUCCGUGAGGGCUUGCUCUCAUUCACCAGCUUCAAGCAUUCAAGUUUGUGGAGUUCGCAAAGGCUUUUGGAAACCCCAGAUUGAUAGUAACUCAUAUCUCCAGAUAUCCGAAGAGUCCGAACACUUGGUAGUCUGCCCAAUAUAUCAGGAGUACAACUACUAGGGUUUAAAGCUGAUAUGAAAAUGAGAUUUUUCAGAGAGCUAGAAUAAUUUUUUGGAGGUGCGGGCAGAGUGAUAGAACCAAAGUUUAGAUGCAUGAGUUUUUGCAUCAUCCAAAUAUCAUCUGGUGACUGAUCUAUGUAGCUAGAUGGCAUUUCUAGUGUUUCAAGGUUUAAAAGGGUGCAUAGCAGUGAAGGAAGGCAUUUGAGCGAAGGGAUAUUCAAUUUCAAAUACUUCAAAAGAUAUAAAUUUUCUAAUCCGGGUGGAUAUUGGUCCAGGACUGCAGAACCCAUGUUCAAUACCCGAAGGUGUUUGAACUUUUUACAAAAAUUCUCGCAAUCUAUCAGAGCGAGACGAUCGCUUUCUGAACUGUUAUUCAGAAAAGAUUGGAGACGCGUGUCAGAAUAUUCUAAAGAUAAAAACUGAAUCAGAUCUUCCCAAAUGAAGCACCGUUUAACAUUUGCCAGUGGUUCCCUUUUCCUUUCACGCAUCCAGACAAAUCCCGUAAUCUCUGCCACCAAAGCCAAUGAAGUAUAUACAAUACUUGGAACAUAACACGCUUUGAUUAUGCCUCCGGCUCUUCUCUUACUCACUUGAAUGAUGCCGCGAUGGAUUAGUUCUUUCAAGUAAUGUUCGGCAGUUUCUUCACCGUGGUAUGGUAUGAAACCUUCAGCUACCCACAACUGAUAUAAUUGCCUCGUAGAUAUCUCAAUACUUGGACAGAAGACAUACAAAUAGAUGCAGCAGACUUUCAAGUGAAAAGGUAACUCCAUCACAGAAAAAAUUUGUCUCCAAAUUGUCGGAAUCGCUUCGCCUCGAAAAUAAUUUUCUAAUGGCAUACUUCCAUAGUGUAGGAUGAAAAAUUGCCAGGCUUCAUGCUUUAAUCUGAUCAAUGGUCCUCCAGUGAGCACCGAAUCAAGCCGAAUCUUCUCUCCGUUUUCCAUUUCCAACGACGCAAGGAGGUUUGGAUCAGUGACCAAUAUCAAGACUCUGCUUCCAUUCUGAUUAUCAGGAAGAACUUCUUCAAGAUCAUCCCAUAUCUCACUGUGAUCAAAGACAUCAUCAAGCACAAUAAAGUACUUCUUGUUUGUUAGGAAAUCUCGAAGAACAGAUUUCUUCAAUUGAUAAUGUUCACCGAUAAUUACACUAACCCGAGAUGGAGGCAUCACAGACUUGAUUAUGUCAUCCAAUAUCUUGCCAAAAUCGUAGAGUAUAGAAACCCUGACCCAAGCAAGACAGUCAAAAUAGAACUUGACAUGAUUAUUGUUGUAAGUAUCAGCAGCAAAAGCAGUCUUGUCGAAGCCACUGCUGUCGAGAAUUGCAACCACUGCCAGCCCAGAUGGUCCCUCAAUCAAUAGAUCAAACAACUCCUCUCUGCCCCGUUCAAAUUCACUGAUAUCAAGCCGACGAUGUCCCUCACUCAAUAGGCGAAUGAUUUCGUUACUUUUUUCACGGAUAUCAAAACCAUUGUCGCCGGGUGGAAGUUGUUGCGUCCGAUUUCUAAUAUCAAUGAUUUUAGUGUGGAGUCCAACAAGAAGAGCCAUAUCAGUACUGCUUUCACUUUCGUUUUCACUGUUUUGCUGCUGCAUGAUGUUGAUGAAGAAUGUGUCAAUUGCAUCCUCAGAUUCAUGGACAAAGACAUUGAUGUCCUCCAGAAUUUCCAAAAUAUCUGCUCUUUCAACAUCUUCUUCAUCGCUUUCUUCUAAGUCCAACAGUUGCAAAAAAGGCAAAGAUAUUUUGGAGUCAUCGAAUUUUUCUCUAAUGAGUUGAAACAAAUGCCGAGCCAUGUCAGCUUCAUAUUUUCCCAGCAGAGUAGUAGCAAUAAUUUCGGACUCCGUAAGAAGGUUUUUAAAAAGUGGAGUUAAUUUUGUUGAAUCUGGCAGCGGCAACGUGCCUUCUUCACCUGCUAACACCCUUUUCAACCUCUCACAAAACAGUCGGAGGUGGAAUUCCAGCAUUUCUCCUUCUCUCCGUAGCACUCAGAGGUAUAGCUGAAAGAUUAAACACCAUGGAAGAAUUUGAAAGGAAAAUGCCAAGAAAUUGUGUAAGUGGCUAAAUUCCACAAAUAUGACAUUAUUGCUCAUUUUUUAACUCAAAAAAAGGGUACGCGUUCAUUUAGAGAAAAGUCCAAGACGCGUGCCUUUUGAAAAGAACAGGUAUCCCAAUCGGUAUCCAACCUUUAUCUUAUUUAAUUACUACCAUAACAUAAUUGAUGGUGCUUAAAUCAAUUGUUUCUUUUUUAAUUUAAAGAAUUUUUCAUUAAAAAAAUAUUUUAAUAUCAAAUACCCUUCAAUGGCAUAACUGCCGCAAGCCCAAAAACAGGAUUAAAUAAUUUUUUUUUUUGAAUUUUUGGUCAUGGAAAGAGCAGUAUUAAACAUCAGAAAGCUAAGGUCGUUAUGUUAAAGAAUUGAUAUUGACAUAAUUUUUUUUGGUUUUCGGGGAAAAAAAAAUUGUUGACAAGCAAGAAAAUAUUUUUAUAUUUUACAAUUUAUUAUACAUAUUUUAUCUUAUUAAAGUAAUUUAAUAAUAAAUAGAAACAUAAUAUUACGAUAAAAAAAUUAAAGUUUAACUUAUUUUGAAUAUUAUAAAAAAUAAUUUUAAUAUUAUUAAUAUGGGGACAUUGUAUUAAUUUUAAAAUUUUUUAACCCAAAGGUUUAUUUAAAAUGUUUAUUAUAAAUACAAAUAUAAAAUUAAAUAUCAUAAUUUAAAAUUUUUAAUAUUAUUUUAAGUAUUAAAAAUAUUUUAAUGUUAUUAGUCUACUACAUAGAUCAUAUUACUUAUAUAAUAUUUGUAUUAUUAAAAAUUCUUAAAAUCAAAUUUUUAGUUAGUAUAUUCAUGAGGUAUUAUGGUUAAAAAAAAAAAGACCUUAUUGUUACUUUUUAAAAAAUUGAGGGCCUUCGUGAUAAUUUUUUCAAAAAGAAAAUACUUGGUAUCUGGGAGGGAUAGAGAAAUAGGACUCCCAAAAUCUCUCACCCUUUUUUAAUUAAAAAAAUUAAAAUAUCAAUAAAAAAUAAUAAAGAAAAUAGAAUUUUAUCUACUCCUUACUUCAUUUUUGCAACUCUCUCACCAUCUCUGUCGAGCAGCCCUCUCUCUCACUCUCUCACUCACACAGUCUUUUUCACGAUUUGAAAUUCUUUGGCCCUUUGCAUUACAAGAAAUUAACGCUUUGGUUCUCCCAAGGGUAGAUUGGUUUUAUUGGGAAGCUAUUAAUUAGAAGGAGGAAAAAGGACUAUAUUUAGAAUAUGAUUUGUUGGAGAAUCUCAGAGUUAGUCAAUUUUCAAGCCACACUUUCAAUAGCCAACUGAUUUAGAAACCAUUAAUUACUUUAAUUUCCAUAAAUUGUAAUGACAGUGCAAAUGCAUCUGGUUGUGAUAGCUAAGGGUUAGCUUGAAGAAUUAAAUUUCAUAAGAUAUUACUGGAAAACGCUUUGCAGAUAACGUGUUGCUUCCUUUGCUAGGCUACAAUUUCAAAAUUCUCACGAGUUUUCCAUUGUUGUCACAAACCGAGAAAUUAUAAAAUACAUGGCCUGGUUCUUUGGCAAUGACCAUCUCAUCGUCGGCGGUCGCGUCGUCAUUGUCACUGGUCUUGCUGGACCGAGACAGUGAGAGAGAGGUUUGUUAGAUGGAGUUAGUGAGAGAGAGUUGUAAAGAUGGAAUGAUGAUAAAGGAUUUUAUUUUUUUUUAAUUGUUUUUAUUAAUAUUUUAAUUUUUAAAAUUAAAAUUUGCUGCCGUUUCUCUCGACUCUCAUAAUUUAUUUCAUUUUUAGGGAAUCCAAUGAGAAAUAUGAUAAAAGAACGUCAAUUACUUGUCAUUUUCAAUUUUUUUCUAUAAGCUAUUUAUUUCGAGCAUUAGUGAUCUUGUCUGGCUACUCCAAUUAUUGACGUAACUCCAGUGGCUGCAUCCACUGGAAAAAGUGGAUGAGAACCAUUUUUUUUUCAUAAAGGUAACUGCUCCAAUUAUUGACAUAAUUGAUGGUGCUUAAAUCAAUUUUUUUUUUUAAUUUAAAGAAUUUUGCUUUAAAAAAUAAUUAAUAUCAAAAUGCCUUCAAUGUUGUUACCGCCACAAGCCCAGUUAGAGGACUCAUUAAAAAUUUUAGAAUUUUUAGGCCUGGAAAGCGUAGUAUUAAACAUCAGAAAGCAAAGGUUGUUAUGUCGAAGAAUUGAUGUCGACAAAAUUUUAUUUUAGUUUUCGGAAAAAAAAAUAUUUUGUUGACAAGCAAGAAAAUAUUUUUUAUACUUUACAAUCUGCUAUACAUAUUUUAUCAUAUUAAAGUAAUUUUAAUAAUAUAUGGAAACAUAAUAUUAUAAUAAAUAAAUUAAAAUUAAAAUUACUUUGAAUUAUUGAAUAUUACAAAAAGAUAAUUUUAAUAUUAUUAAUAGGAAAACAUUUUUUAAUUGUAAAAUCUUUUUAAUACAAAAAAUCAUUUAAAAUCUUUAUAAUAAAUACAAAUAUAAAAUUAAAAAAUAUCAUAAUUUAAAUUUUUUAAUAUUAUUUAAAUAUUAAAAAUACUUUAAUAUUAUUAGUCUACUACAUAAAAUAUAUUAUUUAUAUUAUAUUCGUAUUGAUUAAAACGUUUUAAAGUCAAAUUUUUAAUUAGUGUAUUCAAAGGUAUAAAAGAUUUUAGUAUUAUUUUUUAAAAAAUUUCAGGAUAUGAAUGAUAAUUUUUUUCAAAUUUUAAAGAUGUAAGAAUCUUUUUUUCUGAUAACUUAUUUCACUUUUGAGAGAAUCCGAAAACGUUAAUUUAACAUUCUUUACCUUUAUCUUUUCAAAAAAAAAAAAAACAUUCUUUUUUUGAUAAGAAUGUUUUUUUUUUCUUUAAAAAAUAAUUAAUAUCAAAAUGCCUUCAAUGUUGUUACCGCCACAAGCCCAGUUAGAGGACUCAUUAAAAAUUUUAGAAUUUUUAGGCCUGGAAAGCGUAGUAUUAAACAUCAGAAAGCAAAGGUUGUUAUGUCGAAGAAUUGAUGUCGACAAAAUUUUAUUUUAGUUUUCGGAAAAAAAAAUAUUUUUUUACCUUUGUGAAAAAAGUGAAAAUCAAGAACUAUUCAAUUUUGUUUUUAUUUGUAAUUCAAAAACUUUAUUCAUUUUUGGAUGCUUUUCAAAAGAGAUUCCUUUAAAUCCUUUUGGUGUCUGCAGCUCCUGCCAUUCUCAUAAAUCUCCAUCCCACAUCUACACUAUCAAACAAGUUGAUGGAAAGUCUUAUAAAAAAAAAAAAGUUGAUGGAAAUUGAUCAAUUGCUUUUUGAAGUGGACCCAUUGAGUCAUGUUCAUUUCUGAUCAUUGUCUACUCUUUCUAUCAGCCAUUUAUUUUGACCAUUUGCGAUCUUAUCUGGACCUACUCCAAUUAUUGUUGGAACUCCAAUGGUUGUAUCUACAGUCGAAUGUAAUAUAGUGACAGCUCUUUCUUUGAGAAACUAGAGGGACCUUACAGUUCAUAUAAAUUUCGCUACCUUACAGUUCAUACGGUCUUGCUGUUAAUGAAUUUGCUGAGGCAUUAUUGAUCCAAUCUGAGUGAAGUAAUUGUGGCUGAAAAAUAAAUAAAGGAUAAGAGAACGUAGCUGAAGUGCUGAAGGGGCUAUUAAAGAAGAGUGUCACUUGAUCACAAUCACAUUGAUGCACAAUUCACUUGGCAAAUUUCGACUAUGCGUACUGCAAAUUCAGCCAAACCAUACAUGCAUGAACAAAACUAAAAUGUAGUUCUAAUCACAACUGCAGUUAUGAUGUUUACCCCUCUGAUUUUUCUCCAAAACAAAUUCAGUUCAAAACAAUAAUCAAAAUAGCCACAUUUUGUUCGUCAAAAUAAAUGCCCAAAUUUUCAAUUAACAAAUCAUCUUCUCUAAACUAAAAAGCCCACAUCUCUAAAAUCAAUCUACAUAAUGUUGGACAUGAGGGGUGAAUUGUUAACUCAGUAAAAAAACUCAUGCAUAAUAUUACUAAUAAUAAAAAAUAUAUAUUAAUCAUUAUAAAGAAUCAUAAAUUAGAAAAAUUAAUCAUUUUAUAAUUUAUUACACAAGUAAGAUAAAUCUCAUAAUAAGUUAUAACAUAAAAAAAACGUUAUCAAUAUAUAAUCAUUUAAGAAGUCAUUUAACAAUAAAAUCGUUCUUUGAUCAGUUGGUCAUGUCACAUAAUAUCAUCUAUAUUUAUGGUGAUAAUAUUAUUACUCAGUAUUCUCAAAAAACAUGAUUUAACAUUUAGAGGAAAUUCUUGCCUUUUAAAAAAAACAUGUAUGCAACAGCUACCCAUGCUUUAUCUUGCCAUGACAAAUAUUUUCUCAAUGAAAGAAAUUUUUUUAAAAAUUGAUUUAAUGCACAAAUAUGAUGAUUUUUCCAAAAAUUAAUUUUGGAAAAUAUAGUGAGAGAAAAUAGUGACGAUUAUUGUUUAGAUGUAUAAAUAGCCUAAACAUAAUCCUUAAUACCAAUAUCCAUAUGCAUCUUAUCAUCUUUCAUGAUGUUCUUUCAUUUAUGUCCAUUGGUUCAAGAUUUGAAUUUGAUCAUUAAAUCAUGUUCAAUAAUAUUAGAGAUUCCAACAAUUGAGUACCAACUUAAAUCCCAAUGUUAUGUGUCAUUGACCAAUUAUGUGUCAGUGACCAAUUUUGUGUCAUUUUGUUAUUAACUAGGUGAUGAAUUUCUAGUUGAUAAAAUCACUUAAAAAUAUCUUAAAAAUUAGACAAUAGUUUGCUUAAUUUUUCCAAGUUAACUGCUCAAGAUGCUCUAUUAUAAAUGAUAACCUAAUUAUAUUCAUAAAAAAUGAUAUAUUUUUUUGUGGUGUUGAUAAUGAGAUUAUCAUUCAACGUUUUAAAAUGUGAAAACAUAUGGAAGACGGUUGUAAAUUGAUUGAAUGAAAAUAUUUCAGUGAAGUCUCAAAAAUUUGGUACUUGUUGUCUUAUCGAAAGUUUUCUAAAUUAUAUUCGUGGCACAGCCACUAUCCAAACCAUACAAGUCCAAAGCUAUCCAAACCAUACCUGCAAGUCCGGGGCUUAAAUGGAGUACUUCUAAGCAAAAAAACAUUGAUUAAAAUAGAAUAUAUACAUACAGACACACAUACAUACCAGCAUAUUCAAAAUAGCAAAAGGAGUGCAAAAGUUCAAGUUUGUAGACAACAUUGCAACCAUAGCAUGUUUAUAGCAAAUCCUCAAAAUCUGCUAAAUAAAACAAUGCCCUGUCUCAUGAAUCAAUGCUGAAUUAAAAUUGAAACUGAAAGUCUGGAUGGUGUUGUUUGUUGAGAAUGUCAAAUAAAACGGCAUUGAAGGAAGUUUUCAAAGGCAGAAUCCGCACUUGUCAAAGACACGAUCCGCACCGAACGGAUCGACACAUUUCCUUCCGUAUUCACAUAUGUAAUCUUUGAAAAAAUGUAGCUUCUGCAUCUAUAAAUAACGCUCAGUGUAUAAUGUUUUAUUCAAGAAAUAAAAACAAGUUUCUACAUGGUAUCAGAGUCAUGAAUGCGCUCAAGUUUCUUCAAGUUUCGCUGCUCUGUUUGUCACAAAAACAGAGGAAACCAAAUUCGUCCCACAACCAUUUUUUCCACCAUUUUCUUCCUUAAAAUCAUUCCUAACAUUACAGAAAUCCAUGCCGAUCAAAAAACAUGAAAGACAAAUUACACAUGUGCAGUAACCAAUGAUCAUAUUUCGUUACUGUCAAACACAAUGCAUCUGAGCAAAACAUUGGAAGCCAACACCAGAAUACAUAUGAAUAAACAAUUAAAGAUAGAGAAAAAAGGCUUAAACCUUGGGGGAAAAAAGUGAAAAAACAUGAAAGACAAAUUACACAUGUGCAGUAACCAUCGAACUUAUCAGUGACAGCUGCAUCCAUUACAUUGCUCCAACAACACAAUGGCAAACCACCAGUUUCAAAUUGAGGAUAGCUAUCGAGAAUGAGAAAGUGUCCAAAACAUCAUAAAUAGACAUGUUCCUAUUGUGCAUAAUUUACAUUAUAGGCAAAUAUUCUUAUACCAUCAAAGGCAAAACAUGACACUAACAAUUGAUCCCCCCCCCCCCCCCCCCCCCCAACAACCAAAAAAAAAGGAAAAACAAUACAGAAAAGAUUGAAACAGAUAAGGCUACACUGAGCACAGGAUGCCAUGAAACAUAAUCCAGGAACCAAAUUAAUAAAAAAGGAAGCCAAACCAUUAUUUAACAAUCUGUUUUGUAUUUGGGAAAGUCUGAUAAAAUCUACUUAGGGAUAAUUAGAGAACUUCAACUAUUAAUCACACCUCAUAAAUGAACUAACAUUAACCAUCUACCAUCCCCACGUCACACAAACAUUCUCUAUACUUCUGAACCUAAUACUUCCAUCUUCAAUUGGGGGUUUUUUUUCUUUUUUUUUUUGGGUGGGGGGGGGGGGGGGGGGGGGGAAGCUAUCAAUUUUCUAAGCUUGCUUAGCUUCUGUGUGGGAUUGAAAUGCUGAUUUCGAAUCACUAACAGUAAAAUUGGAAGCUCAUGAAAAAACAGUUUUAUCUCAAAAUUACAUCUCGAUAUAAAUUCUCUUUUCAUUUCCUUCAACUUUCUAAUUAAGCUUAAAAAAUGUACCUUCAACCACAAAGGGGUUUAAAAUUUAAAAUAUAAAAAAUAAAUUCAGAUAACAAUAAUUAAUUUAAUUAAAAAUAUAAAUAGAGUUACAGAGAAAGAGAAAAUAGAGAAAGACCUAAUGUUGAGUCCUUUGGCGCAUGUCUCUUCAUAGGUCCGAACCAUUUCUUCGGGCGUGGGUUACGGCCGAGAUUGGAUAAUGAUGGAGUAGGAUAAGAUUAGCGAUAACGACGCCGAUGAAAUGGAAGGGUUUACCAGAGGAGUGGAUGCGAAGAGUGCAGGGACCGCCGCAGAGAGAGAGCGGCGGAGAGCGGCGACGGACGGUAGUGACCAGCGGAGGCGGAAGAUGGCGGUAUGGGCCAUUGCUUGCGCGUCGGUGAGUGUCUCGAGUGAGAGAGUGAAGGGUUUUGGGAAAUGAAAAAUGCAAAUGUUUGAUUUUGUUGCUAGAAACUUCUUCUGCCGCUGCCUUUUAUUUUCGCUAUAAUAAUAAUAAUAAUUUGUUAAUCAAAUAUUUUCUUAAAAAAGAUAAAUUUCUACAAGAAAAUUUAUAUUAAAUCAAAUUGUAAAAAUGUCUAUUAGGGUUAAUUUCUCCUUAAUAUUAUUAUUAGUUGAAGUAGAUUUUCGAAUUAGUCUUGAUAUAUUUCAGAGUUGUAUUAUAAAUGUAUAAGUAUCUGGAUUGCAAUUAUAUUUUUAAAAAAUAUAAUUUUUUUAAUUAUUGCACAAUAAAUGUAGAUAGUAUCUAUAAAAUAAUAUUAUUAGGACUAUGAAAAAAAUAUUAUUUUAGAGAAGUUAUUUAUUUAUUAUUGAAUGAAUAAUUUAUUAACUUAUUGGUAAAUGAAUAUUUACUAAUUUAAAGAGAGAUUUUUUUUUUGAUUUUAAGAAGAGUUUUGUUGGUACAUAUUCAUACUUAUAAAGAAACACAAAAAGUAGUUCCUCAAGUCAAUUGUAUUUGCUUUAAUUCGUAAUAAUAUAUCUUAAUCAAGAAACUUGUAAUUAUACUAUAUCUUUCUUUCUUUGUUCAGUUUGGUGGUACAUUGUGAUAAAUCAUUGGAUUAAAAUGCAUUUCUAAAUGAAAACUUGUUAAAACCUAAUUUAUUUGGGAACCAUAUUUUAUUUGUCAGUCGUAUUUCUCAACUUAGCAAGUUAUUUCUAACUUAUCGGUCUCUAUUGGUUUUCUUAAGUGCCUGUUUGAUAUGACUUAUUUAAUGGCAAUAAGUGCUUAUUUAAUCUCAUAAGCUCUUAUCAUAAUUUUUGUUAUUGUUUGGUUGUUUUUCUAAUAAAGUUUUUGAAGCUUAAAUAAGUAAUUUUACCUCUCUUAACAAAAGCUCAAAUUUUGAGUUUUUUGGGAGUAGAGAUUGAAAAACUUUUUCAAAUGUCAAAAUAUCUAUAAUAUCCUCUACUUAUUUAACAAUCUUAUUUAUUAUUUUCAUAAUAUAACUUUAAAAGACUUGUCUAUUAAAGUAAUUUCAUAAAUUUUUAAUAAAAACUCUUAUUGACAACCAAACAACUAAUUUUUUUUAGCAAAACCUCUACUUAAAUAAGUUCUACUUGAAAAACUGUAUCAAACGGAGCUUAAAGUUAAUAGUCUCUUAUCUCCCACAUUUGAUAUCUUAAUGGUAUCAGCGUGUUACCUAAGAUUGGGAUUCAUUAAAAUCCUCAAUGUAAUCGGUGGAAUGAAAUGGAUUUUUAUAACCUCCUUGAAGGUUUUACGAUAAACAUAAAUCUAUUGACAAAGUGGGCAAAAAGAAAAUGCAUAUAAAAAUAUGAGUUAUCAGAUAAGAUUAAAACUCACCCAAUUCAAUCCAUCAGAUUCCGUAAGGAUAUAACUGGAUGUCAUACCGCCACUCCAUAUCCUCGAAAGUCCGUAGUCCUUGUCUCAACUGUGUCUGGGGCCAGUGUAAGUCCAAUUUGCGCAAGCUCUUUAUGCACCACAGCUCUUCUGGAAGCUUUCUCAAGUAAGCACAUGGGUUGACAAUUAAGCUUUCAAGUUUCGGCAUUGCUCCAGCCCCCAUCGUCCACUCAUCUAGCCAAUACAUUGAUUUCAAGUGCAAAACCUUAAGUUCGGAAAAGCUACUCAAGCCAACACAAGCAAGCUUUCUUCCUAAAUACGAGUUCUGCUUCAGUUUCAGCACUCGAAGGCAUGGAAGAUUUUCCAGAAUUGGCAUGGGAUCCUCCAUUAGCUCAGUAUUUGAUAAGCUCAGUUGGAUCAGACUUGGGGGAAAUUGGUAUUCAGACAGGACAAUCCGUGAGGGCUUGCUCUCAUUCACCAGCUUCAAGCAUUCAAGUUUGUGGAGUUCGCAAAGGCUUUUGGAAACCCCAGAUUGAUAGCAACUCAAAUCUCCAGAUAUCCGAAGAGUCUGAACACUAGGUAGUCUGCCCAAUAUAUCAGGAGUACAACUACUAGGGUUUAAAGCUGAUAUGAAAAUGAGAUUUUUCAGAGAGCUAGAAUAAUUUUUUGGAGGUGCGGGCAGAGUGAUAGAACCAAAGUUUAGAUGCAUGAGUUUUUGCAUCAUCCAAAUAUCCUCUGGUGACUGAUCUAUGUAGCUAGAUGGCAUUUCUAGUGUUUCAAGGUUUAAAAGGGUGCAUAGCAGUGAAGGAAGGCAUUUGAGCGAAGGGAUAUUCAAUUUCAAAUACUUCAAAAGGAAUGAAUUUUCUAAUCCGGGUGGAUAUUGGUCCAGGACUGCAGAACCCAUGCUCAAUACCCGAAGGUAUUUGAACCAUUUAAAAAAAUUCUCGCAAUCUUUCGGAUUAAGAUGAUCGCUUUCUGAACUGUGAUUCAGAAAAGAUUGGAGAUAGAUGUAAGAAUAUUCUAAAGAAAAGAAGUCAAUCAGAUUUUCCCAAAUGAUGUACCGUUUAACAUUUGCCCUUGAUUCCUUUUCCAUUCCAGGCAUCCAGAGAAAUCCCGUCUCCUGUGCCAACAAUAACAAUGAAGUAUAUACAAAACUUGGAACAUAACACGCUUUAAUUGUGCCUCCGGCGCUUCUCUUACUCACUUGAAUGAAGCCGCGAUGGAUUAGUUCUUUCAAGUAAUGUUCGGCACUUUCUUCACCGUUGUAUGGUAUGAAACCUUCAGCUACCCACAACUGAUAUAAUUGCCGCGUGGAUAUCUCAAUACUUGGAGGGAAGACACACAAAUAGAUGCAGCAGACUUUCAAGUGAAAAGGCAAGUCCAUCACAGAAAAAAUUUGCCUCCAAAUUGUCGGAAUCGCUUCGCCUUGAACAUAAUUUUCUAAUGGCAUACUUCCAUAGUGUAGGAUGAAAAAUUGCCAGGCUUCAUGCUUUAAUCUGAUCAAUGGUCCUCCAAUGAGCACCGAAUCAAGCCGAAUCUUCUCUCCAUUUUCCAUUUCCAACGACGCAAGGAGGUCUGGAUCAGUGACCAAUAUCAAUACUCUGCUUCCAUUCUGAUUAUUUGGAAGAACUUCUUCAAGAUCAUCCCAUAUCUCAAUGUUAUCGCAGACAUCAUCAAGCACAAUAAAGUACUUCCUGUUUGUUAGGUAAUCUCGAAGAAUAGAUUCCUUGAAUUGAUAAUCUUCACCGAUAAUUACACUAACCCGAGAUGGAGGCAUCACAGACUUGAUUAUGUCAUCCAAUAGCUUGCCCAAAUCGUAGAAUACAGAAACCCUGACCCAAGCAAGACAGUCAAAAUAGAACUUGACAUGAUUAUUGUUGUAAGUAUCUGCAGCAAAAGCAGUCCUAUCGAAGCCACUGCUGUCGAGAAUUGCAACCACUGAAAGCCCAGAUGGUCCCUCAAUCAAUACAUCAAACAACUUCUCUCUGCCCCUUUCAAAUUCACUGAUAUCGAGCCGAGGUUGUCCCUCAUUCAAUAGGUGAAUGAUUUCGUUACUUUUUUCACUGAUAUCAAAACCAUUGUCGCCGGGUGGGAGUUGUUGGAUCCGAUUUCUAAUAUCAAUGAUUUUACUGUGGAGUCCAAAAAGAAGAGCCAUUUUAGUACUGCUUUCACUUUCGUUUUGACUGUUUUGCUGCUGCAUGAUGUUGAUGAAGAAUGUGUCAAUGGCUUCCUCAGAUUCAUGGACAAAGUCAUUGAUGUCCUCCAGAAUUUCCAAAAUACCUCCUCUUUUAACGUCUUCAUCGCUUUCUUGUGCCUGCAACAGUUGCGAAAAAGGCAAAGAUAAUUUGGAUUCAUCGAAUCGUUCUUUAACAAGUUGAAACAAAAGCCGAGCCAUGUCAGAUUCAAAGUUUCCGAGCAGAGUGGUAGCAAUAAUCUCGGACUCCGUUAGAAGGUUUUGAAAAAGGGGAGUUAAAUUUGUUGAAUCAGGCAAAGUCAACGCGCAUUCUUCACCUGCUAACACCCUUUUUAACCUCUCACAAAAUAGUCGGAGGUGGACGUCCAGCAUAUCUCCUUCUGUCUGUAGCGCCCAGAGGUAUUGUUAUUUGCUACAAGAAAUGUUAAAACAUAGAGUAAUGAUACAGCCACAAACUCUUGUACAAACUUAUUUUGUACAAACUAAAAUGGCAUUAAUUCAUUGGUUGAAUGAAAAUAUAAAAUAAUAAAAACAAAUCAUGUGGGCCAAGUGAUAUUUAAUUCAACCAAUCUUAUCAUGCCACGUCAAUUUGUACAAAAUAAGUUUGUACAAGAGUUUGUGGCUAUAUCAUUACUCUAAAACAUAUCUCCUUCUGUCCUAUCUCAAAGUGGUUAGUGGUGUAAAAUUAAACACCAUGGAAGAAUUUGCAAGGAAUAUGCCAAGAAACUGGCCAACCCGCUUAGCUAAAUUCCACAAAUAUGACGUUAUUGCUCAUUUUUCUCUCAAACACAUAAUACACGUUCUUCGAGGCGCGUGCCUUCUGAAAAGGACAGGUAUCCAACCUCAUCUUAAUUUAAAGAAUUUUCCUUUAAAAAAAAUUUAAUAUCAAAAUGCCUUCAAUGUUAUUACUGCCGAAAGCCAAACUUCCUUUGGGUAAUUAAUUUAGAAGUUAAGCAGAGAAUAAAGUCCUAGAUUAAAUGUUUAGGUAGUUUUACAAAAUGAUAACAGCAUGCCAAAACUCGUUGUUGUCAUAUUCGACAUUUCAAAUUGAAAAAUAUGCAAGCAAUCUUCAGUGAACAUUACAUGUUUAUUGAAUAAUUUAAAUGGCCAGUAAAUCAACAGUCCGUGAGUUUUAAAUCUAUUAUGACUUAAUGUAUCUUUCUGUAUUCGUACACAGGUUAUAUUAUCAUAGUUUAAAAUUAUUUUAAAUAUUAAAAAUACUUUAAUGCUAUUAGUCUACUACACAGGUUAUAUUAUUUAUAUUAUAUUUGUAUUAAUUAAAACUUUUAAUGUCAAUUUUCUAAUUAUUAUAUUAAAAAAGUAUUAUGGUUAAGAAAAAGUUUUGGCAUUUCUUCUUGAAAAUUUGAGAGUCUGCAUGAAAAUUUUUCCAAAUUCUAAAGGUAUAGGUUUGAAAAUUUAACGUUCUGUAAAUUAAUGAAACAAAAGGGGGGAAACCAAAAACUAUUCAAUUUUGUAUUUUUUGUUUGUAAUUCAAAAAAUACAUCCACCAAACAAGUUUUACGCAUUAAUGCUGUCAUAAAACGAAAAACAGUUUGCCAAAAAAUGGUACCAAACAUUUCCUUAAUGUCUCACAUGAUUUCUUAGUAAGUCCAUAUUAGAUAUAUUUAUACAUUUUAUGUAUUUUAGUUAUAAAAGAAGUAGGUCCUCCCCCUGUUUAUAAAAAAUAACUUUAUUUCGAGAUUGCCACUAAACUCUUACAUAGAAUUAGUGUAAUGUUAAGAGAGAGUAACACAGUUUUCCAUUACCAUCUUUGAAAAUAGAGAGAUAUGGAUGCAUGCAUUUAAGAGUUAUCAUGAAAAUCAUACAAUUCAAUUUCCUGACAUAUAUAUUUAUGCACGUAUACCAAAAGAAUAAAUAGACAGAAAGUAAAUUUACAGUCCUCACUUCCUCACAAUUGUUAACGUGAAGAUGCAUUACAACUGUGAACUGUCACUACUUUAGCCUUUUUUUUUAAAAAAAAAAAAUUAUAGUGUGAUGGAGACAUCAAGGAUGAGCAUAAAAGUUAAAGAUGACUCAUUUUCUUUUUAAAGUGCUCUGCUGAAAGCCAAACUUCCUUUGGCUAAUUAAUUUAGAAGUAAAGCAGAGAAUAAAGUUCUAGAUGCCUUCUGAAAUUAGAAAUACAUUUUAUAUGCUUUAAUUAUGAUUAUUUGGUAGACUAUUGACCUAAAAGACAUGUUAAAUUAUAAAACAGUGCGAUUAAAAAAAAGAGAGUAUUUGUGACGUAGAAUAACAAUUGGUAAAUAAAUCCUAAAUAUUUGAGUUGUUAAAAGCAAAUAUAACAGAGACGGUAAGAGAGAUGCAGAAACAGAAAACUAUUAGCUUAUCUUGAUUUUCCCACUAUAUUCAUUUUCGAUGCUUUUCAAACGAGAUUCUUUUAAUUCUUCUGGUGUCUGCAGCCCCUGCUCUUCUUAUAGAUCUCCAUCCCACAUCUGCACUACGAACAAGUUGAUUAAAAUUAAAUAAUGUUGGAGACGUGGGGUGAGCCGUCAACUUGGUAAAAAAACUAUGUAUAAUAUUGUUAAUAAUAUAAAAUAUAUAGUAAUAAUUACAAAGAAUCAUAAAUUAGAAAAAUUAAUUAUUUUACAAUCUAUUUCUUAAGUAAGAUAAAUCUCAUAAUAAGUUAAGUUAUAAUGUAAAAAGUAUUUUCAAUUUAUAAUCAUUUAAGAAGUCAUUUAACAAUAAAAUCUUUCUUUUGAUCAAUUGGUCAUGCUACAAAGUAUCAUCUAUAUUUGUGGUGAUAUUAUUAUUACUCCGUAUUCUCAAAAAACAUGAUUUAACAUUUAGAGAAAAUUCAUGCCUUUUAAAAAGAACAUGUAUGCAACAACUACCAAUACUUUAUCUUACCACAACAAAACUAAUGGUGACUAAAUCAAUUUUCUUGAUUAAAGCAAAAUUUCUUAAAAUUGAUUUAAUGCACAAAUAUGAUGACUUUUUGCAAAAAUUAGUUUCGGAAAAUAUAGUGAGAGAAAAUAGUGACGAUUAUUGUUUAGAUGUGUAAAUAGCCUAAACAUGAUCGCUAAUACCAAUAUCCACGUGCAUCUUAACACCUUUCGUGAUAUUCUUUCAUUCAUGGUCACUGGUUCAAGAUUUGAAUUUAAUCAGUAAAUCAUGUUCAAUAAUAUUAGAGAUCCCAACAAUUGAGUACCAAUUUAAAUCCUAAUGCUAUAUGUCAUUGACCAAUAUUGUGUCAUUUUUUGUUAACUGGGUGAUGAAUUUCUAGUUGAUAAAAUUACUUAAAAAUAUCUUAAAAAUCAGACAAUAGUUUGCUUAAUUUUUUGAAGCUAACUGCUCAAGAUGCUCUAUUAGAAAUGAUAACCUAAUUAUAUACAUAAAAAAUGAUGUAUUUUUUGCGGUGUUGAUAGUGAGAUUAUCAUUCAACAUGUUAAAAUAUGAAAACAUAUGGAAGAUGGUUGUAAAUUGGUUGAAUGAGAAUAUUUCAGUGAAGUCUCAAAAAUUUGGUACUUGUUAUCUUAUCGAAAGUUUUCUAAAUUAUAUUCGUGGCACUGCCACUGCUUCUAUGUGAAGGUCAUUAAAAUUUGUGUUAGCUACCUAUAGGUUGAAUAACAAUUUUAUUCAUCAAUUGUUGCUCAAUAUAGCAAUUUGAUUGAAAGUGCCGCUGCACUAAUUUUCUAGAUGAACUUUCCUACAUGUUUGUCCUCAUAUGACCUAGAAUGCUGCGAUAUCAAUUGUAUUGGAAAUUAUUCAGGUGGGUUAGUGCUCUACAUCCCCACCAAAAUAUAAGCAAUGAACAAAACAUUCCUUGUGGAAAUAAACUUAAUUAUUUCGCUACUAGACUUCUAAUGAGGCCCAUUUUCCAGAAUCUGGAUACAAGUUAGAUGUCUCCCAAAAUAUUGGUGGGAGUAGACUAUAGUAGCACUCGACAACAUACUAACGACGCUAUGGUCCACCAGAAAGACCGGUCUCCGGUCAGCCGAAAAAUCUCACGUUCAGUCUCUUCUCAAUCUCCCUUCUCCCAGCCAAGUCGAUCCCGUAACAUGAUACUAAUCCACAGUUGAAUACAUGAUACUAUUAGAUCUUAUUUGAGAAUAUAAAGGGAUCUUUCUAAUUUGAGAACAUAAAUUGCCCAAUAAAGUUGAACUACGUUACCCCGCUCCAUGCACAUACAUUAAAUGUUAACAGCAUGCCAAAACUUGAUGUUGUCAUAUUCGACAUUUCAAAUUAAUAUGCAAGCAAUCUUCGGUGAACAUUACGUUUUUAUUGAAUAAUUUAAAUGGCUAGUAAAUCUAGAGUUCUUGAGCUUUAAUCUAAAUCAAAUCUAUUAUGACUCAAUGUAUUUUUUUGUAUUCGUACCAGUAAUGCAGGGGAUUAUUUACGGAACUCUUAUUAUUGACUGAUAUGUUCACCUUCAUCCAAUUAGAGAAAGAGUGACUGUAGAGGUGGCAAAAAUACCCGUCCGGUUCGGACCCGGACCGUACCCAUUACCCAGCCCGGGUAUGAAGCCGGGUCGGUCUUGGGUAUUACUUGAUAAACCCGGAACUCGGAUUUUAUUAAAAAAAUUAUAAAAUAUAUAUUAUUUUAAAUAUUUUAUAUUUAUUUGACUCAUUUAUUAUACAUAUAUAAAGUUUUAAACACUUAAAGUAUAUAUUUUCUUGUCAAAUUUUAUUGAAAUAAAUUUAAAACUUAUAAAAUUACUAAAAAAUAAAAAAUAUAUACACAUAAAAUAUUAAAAAAUAUAAAAUUCGGGUACUCGAAUUAAAACCCAGCCCGAACCCGGACCCAGACCGGUUGCAUCCGGUAGGGUCCGGUCAUGGCAAUACCCUGACCCCGCCCGGGGUUUUGCCAUCUCUAAGUGACUGGGUUCCUAUAAAGGGACUCUUAACCGUUACGAGAGUAUUCAGACUAAAAAUCUUUAUAAUUAAAUUCAAAGGUGAAGAUCUAUGCUUAUUAUCUAUUUAACAACUAAUAUAUAGUUAUCUAUUCAUUUAAAUAUCAAGGGCUAUGCUAAUAAUUAAGUUGAAAUGUUGAUGAAAGUAGCCCUACAUCUGUAUAUUACUCAUCUACUCUAAUCUUUUUUUUUUUUUAACUUAAUGUACUUUUUCUAAUGUUGUUUACUCUUCCCCCCCCCCCCCUCCUCUGACAAAAUAAUAAGAGUUUAGACUUGAAAAUAUCUUAAAGAUCAAACAGUAAUUUACCUAAUUUUUUGAAGCUAACUGCCAAAGAUAUUCUAUUAGACAUUGAUAACGUAGUUAUAUACAUUUAAAAUGAUUUUUUUUUUUUGUGGAAAGGGAUUAUCAUUCAACAUUUUAAAAUAUGAAAACAUAUGGAAGAUGAUUGUAAAUUGAUUGAAUGAAAAUAUUUCAAUGAAGAUGGUUGUAAAUUGUUAUCUUAUUGAAAGUUUUCUAAAUUUACUACUAUUUGAACUUAGCCCUCCUGGUACCGCCACCAUUUCUGCUUGAAAGUCAUUUAAGUUUGUGUUAGCUGCCUAAAGCUUUUUUUUUUUCUUUUUCUUUUUGAAAAGAGCUGCCUAUAGCUUGAAUAACUAUUUUGCUCACGAAUUGUUGUCCAUUAUAGCAAUUUAUUUAAUUGAAAGUGCGGCUGCAAUAAUUUUCUUGAUGAACUAUUCCACAUGUUUGUUCUCAUGUGAGGCAGUUUUUCUAGAAGAUUGAUAUUUCUUUAAGUCUUUAACUAGCAAAGCAUACCAGUCCAAAGCUAGCCAAACCAUACCUGCUGGUCCAGGGCUUAAAUGGAGUACUUCUAAGCAUAAAACAGUAACAAAAACACAAUAUAUGCAUACAUACAUACCAGCAAAUUCAAAAUAGAAAAAAGAGUGCAACUAUUCAAGAAAUUGGUUAUUGUAGACAAACACACAUACAAACACAUACCAGAAAAUUCAAAAAAUAGAGAAAGGAGGCCAACUAUUCAAGUUUGUAGACAAUAUUGCAAUCAUGGCAUUACUUAUAGCAAGUCCUUGAAAUCUACUAAACAAAACAAUGCUCUGUCUCAUGAAUCAAUGUUGAAUUACAGACGAAAUUGAAAGUCUAGCAGGUGUUGUUUCCCUCUUCGAUUUUGCCUACACAAGUAAAGGGAAAUAAGAAUCAUAAAUGAAAAUCAGCUUUUACAGUUGUAAUUAUUAGAUAGAUCUAGAACGAUCUUUCUUUGUUUCUCUGCUGCAAUGUGCUAUCCCACUCUGUUUUGCUACUAAAAUUGAGUCUAUGUUGAGACAUAAUUUCGACACUAGGAGCAACCGCAAUUAGUUUGGCAUUGCAUUACCCCUUGAAGGUUUUACAAUAGUUGUAAACUUACCGAGAAAGUAGAAAAAAAAGGGCAUAUGGAAUUAGGCAAGUAACUAAAGUAUGAGUCAUCAGAUAUGAUUAAAACUCACCCAAUUCAAUCCAUCAGAUUCCGUAAGGAUAUAACUGGAUGUCAAAACGCCACUCCAUAUCCUCGAACGUCCGUACCCUUUGCCGCAACUCUGUCUGGGGCCAGUGUAAGUCCAAUUUGCGCAAGCUCUUUAUGCACCAUAGCUCUUCUGGAAGCUUCCUCAAGUAAGCACAUGGGUUGACAAUUAAGCUUUCAAGUUUUGGCAUUGCUCCUGCCCCCAUCGUCCACUCAUCUAGCCAAUACAUUGACUUUAGGUGCAAAAUCUUAAGUUCCGGAAAGCCACCAGAGUCAACACAGGCCAACUUUCUUCCUAAAUACGAGUUCUUCUUCAGUUUCAGCACUUGAAGGCGUGGAAGCUUUUCCAGCUUUGGCAUGGGAUCCUCCAUUAGCUCAGUAUUUGAUAAGCUCAGAUGGCUCAGACUUAAAGGAAAUUCGUAUUCAGACAGGACAAUCCGUGAGAGCUUGCUCUCAUUCACUAGUUCCAAGCAUUCAAUUUUGUGGAGUUCGCAUACGCUUUUGGAAACCCCAGAGUGAUGGCAACUCAAAUCUCCAGAUAUCUGAAGCGUUUGAACAUUAGGUAGUCUGCCUAAUAUAUCUGGCGUGCAACUACUAGGGUGUAAGGAUGAUAUGAAAAAAAGAUUUUUCAGAGAGCUGGAAUAAUUUUUUGGAGGUGCAGGCAGAGUGAUGGAACCAAAGUUCAGAUGCAUGAGUUUUUGCAUCUUCCAAAUAUCCUCUGGUGUUUGAUCUACGUAGCUAGAUGGCAUGUCUAGUGUUUGAAGGUUUGAAAGGGUGCAUAGCGGUGAAGGAAGACAUUUGAGCGAAGGGAUAUUCAAUUUCAAAUACUUCAAAUGGAAUAAAUUUUCUAAUCCGGGUGGAUAUUGGUCCAGGACUGCAGAACCCCUGUUCAAUACCCGAAGGUGUUUGAACAUUUUACAAAAAUUCUCGCAAUCUAUCGGAUUAAGAUGAUCGCUUUCUGAACUGUAAUUCAGAAAAGAUUGAUUAGUUCUUUCAAGUAAUGUUCGGCCGUCCCCUCACUGUUGUAUGGUAUGAAACCUUCAGCUACCCACAACUAAUAUAAUUGUGUGGUAGAUAUCUGAAUGCCUGGAGGGAAGACAAACAAAUAGAUGCAGCAGACUUUCAAGUGAAAAGGUAACUCCAUCACAGAAUAAAUUUGUCUCCAAGCUGUCGGAAUCGCUUCGCCUUGAAAAUAAUUUUCUAAUGGCAUACUUCCGUAGUGUAGGACGAAAAAUUGCAAGCCUUCAAACUUUAUUCUAAUCAGUGGUCCUCCAACGAGCACUGAAUCAAGCCGAAUCUCCUCUGCGUUUUCCAUUUCCAACGACGUAAGGAGUCUUGGAUCAGCGACCAAUAUCAAUACUCUGCUUCCAUUCUGAUUAUCAGGAAGAACUUCUUCAAGAUCAUCCCAUAUCUCACUGUCAUCGAAGACAUCAUCAAGCACAAUAAAGUACUUACUGUUUGUUAGGUAAUCUCGAAGAAUAGAUUUCUUCAAUUGAUAAUCUUCACCGAUAAUUACCCUAACCCGAGCUGGAGGCAUCACAGACUUGAUUAUGUCAUCCAAUAUCUUGCCAAAAUCGUAGGCAAUAGAAACCCUGACCCAAGCAAGAGUCAAAAUAGAACUUGACAUGAUUAUUGUUAAAAGUAUCAGCAGCAGAAGCAGUCUUAUCGAAGCCACUGCUGUCGAAAAUUGCAACCACUGAUAUCGAUAGAUCAAACAACUUCUCUCUGCCCUUUUCAAAUUCACUGAUAUCGAGCCGAGGUUGUCCCUCAUUCAAUAGGCGAAUGAUUUUGUUACUUUGUUCACUGAUAUCAAAACCAUUGUCGCCGGGUGGAAGUUGUUGCAUCUGAUUUCUAAUAUCAAAGUGAAAAAUUGCUGCUUUCACUUUCGUUUUCACUGUUUUGCUGCUGCAUGAUGUUGAUAUUGACAUAAUUUUAUUUUAGUUUUUGGGGAAAAAAAUAUUUGUUGACAAGCAAGAAAAUAUUUUUAUAUUUUAAAUUUAUUAUACAUAUUUUAUCAUUUUAAAGUAAUUUUAAUAAUAAAUAGAAACAUAAUAUUACGAUAAAUAAAUUAAAGUUUAAAUUAUUUUAAAUAUUAUAAAAAAUAAUUCUAAUAUUAUUAAUAGGAAGACAUUUUGUUAAUUUUAAAAUUUUUUAACCCAAAGGUUUAUUUAAAAUUUUUAUUAUAAAUAAAAAUAUAAAAUUAAAUAUCAUAAUUUAAAUUUUUUAAUAUUAUUUAAGUAUUAAAAAUAUUUUAAUGUUAUUAGUCUACUACAUAGAUCAUAUUACUUAUAUUAUAUUUGUAAUGAUUAAAAAUUUUUAAAAUCAAUUUUCUAGUUACUAUAUUCACGAGAUAUUAUGGUUAAAGAAAAGACCUUGGUGUUACUUUUUACAAAUUUGAGUGCCUACAUGAUAAUUUUUUCAAAAUUUAAGAAUGUAUGUAUCCUUUUCUCCAAUAAUUUAUUUCACUUUUGAGGGGAAUCCAAUGAGAGAUAUGAUAAGAGAACGUCAAUUAGUUGUCAUUUUCUACUUUUUCUGUAAGCUAUUUAUUUUGAGCAUUAGUGAUCUUGUCUGGACUACUCCAAUUAUUGAUGUAACUCCAGUGACUGCAUCCACAAUUGAAUAUAUGAUAGUGUUAGCUCUUAUUUGAGAAUUUAUAUAGUCUUGCUGUUAAAGAACUCACUGAGGCAUUAUUGAUUCAAUUUCAGUGGAGCAAUCGCGGGUGAAGGAUAAAUAAAGGAUCAGAACAGAGCUGAAGUGCUAAAUUGGCUAUUGAAGAAGGAUGUCACAUGAUCACAAUCACAUUGAUGCACAACUCUCUGGAGGCAAAUUUUGUCUUUAUGUACUCUAAAUUCAGCCAAACCAUACAUGCAUGAACAAAAAUUAAACCGUCGUUCUAAUCACAACAGUAAUUGAAGCUCCAAAAGCAAGAAAAUCUGAACAAAGACUUAAAAGAAAGAUCUUAUUCAAGUUUGUCCCCAAAAGACAGCUGAAAUGAAAAAUAUUGACUAUUGAAUGGAUCAAUGCUGAAUUACAUUUGAAAUGGAAAGCUUGGCUGCAUCUAUGAUGUUUCCCCCUCUGAUUUUCCCCCAAAACAAAUUUAGUUGUAAACAAUAACGGAAGCAGCAAUAAUUUAUUCACCAAAGAAAAUGCCCAAGAUUUCAACUAACAGAUCCUCUUAUCUAAACUAAAAGAACUCAUAUCUCUAAAAUCUACCCGCAAAAUGUUGGAAAUGAGGGAUGAUCUGUCAACUCGAUAAAUAAACUCAUGCAUAAUAUUAACAAUAAUGGUAAAUUACAUAAUAAUUAUUAUAAAGAAUCAUAAACUGGAAACACUAAUCAUUCUACAAUCUAUUAUAUAAGUAAGAUAAAUCUCAUGAUAAGUUAAGUUAUAACGUGAUAAAUAUUUUCAAUAUAUAAUUAUUUAAGAAGUCAUUUAAUAAUAUAUAUUUUUUAUUUUGUUGAUCAUGUCAUAUAGCGUUAUCUAAACUCCUGACAAAAUUAUUAUUACUCACUUUUCUCAAAAAAACAUGAUUAACGUUUAGAGAAAAGUCAUGCCUUUUAGAAAGAAUAUGUAUACAAGCUAUCCAUACUUUAUCUUACCGUGACAAAAUUGAUGGUGAUUAAAUCUAUUUUUAAAAUAGAUUUAAUGCACAAAUAUGAUGACUUUUGGCAAAAAUUAGUUUCGGAAGAUAUAGUGGUAGAAAAUAGUGAUGAUUAUUGUUUAAAUGUGUAAAUAGCCUAAGCAUAGCCCGUAAUACCAAUAUCCAUUUGCACCUUCAUUUGGAUUAUCACAUUUCAUGAUAUUUUUUCAUUCAUGUCCAUUGAUCAAGAUUUGAAUUUGAAUAUAAAUUAAGCUGCAAGGGAGCUUACUUCGGUUUCUAAGCUUUCCAAUUGUGAUUCCUGCAUGCCUUGCUCUGAUACUAUUUUGUUACAUACCAAUGUAACCAACCUUGUAAUUGGUCUGUAUAAGAAAUCAAGCCCUUUUAGAAUCGUUUUCUUUUGUUUCCCCAUUGUAGUAGUCAACUAAAUAAAGAAUGAACAACUGAACUUGAUCUAUUUUGAUGAAGACCAAGGCCUUCAAUACUAGAUGAACUUUGAAGAAGAUUAAUCUACUGCUUUUAUUCAUCUUUGGACUAUGAAUUUAUACAAAGACUUUAACAGAAAAUAACAAAGACACAACUAAAUGAUAGCAACAAGUGUUGACUUACUGGACCACUUCUACAAGUAAAAAAAAACUAAAUAUUUAUUUUGACUAUAACAACAACUACCCUGAUGAACAACACUCCACAGCAGCCACGUGACAACUAAUUUCUCCUUAAUAUUAUUAUUAGUAGAAGUAGAUUUUCAAACUAGUCUUGAUAUAUUUCAAAGUUGUAUUAACAAUUUAUAUGUAUCUAGAUUGUAACUAUAUUUUUUAAAAAUAAAAUAUUUUAAUUAUUGCACAUUAAAUGUAGAAGAAUAUCUGUAAAAUAAUAUUAUUAGGACUAAAAAAUAUUAUUUUAGAUAAGUUAUUUAUUUAUUAUUGAAUUAAUAAUUUAUUAAUUAUUAGCAGAAGUAUAUUUUCGAACUAGUCUUGAUAUAUUUCAAAGUUGUAUUAACAAUGUAUAGGUAUCUAGAUUGUAACUAUAUUUUUAAAAAAUAAAAUAUUUUAAUUAUUGCACAGUAAAUGUAGAAGAAUAUCUGUAAAAUAAUAUUAUGAGGACUAAAAAAAUAUUAUUUUAGAGAAGUAUUUUUUUAUUAUAGAAUUAAUAAUUUAUUAAUUAAUUUAUAAAUGAAUAUUUAUUAAUUUAAAGAGAGACUUUUUUGGUUUUAUGAAGAGUAUGUUUGGUACAUGUUCACACUUAUAAAGAAACACAAAAAAUGCUUCCUCAAGUCAACGGUAUUUGCUUUAAUCGCUACUGUUCAUAAUAAUAUAGCUUAGUUAGGAAAUUUGUAAUUAUAAUAUGACUCUUUUAGUACAACUUUUCAAGUAGAGUUUAUUUAGGUAGAGAUUUUGUUAGGAGAGGUAUUAUAAAUAGAGAUUUCACUAAAAAAAUUUAAUUAUUUGAUUAUAAUAUCCAAAUUGAAGAACUUUUGUUCUUUUGUUAACAUCUGUUUGUUUUACUUAAUAAUAAAAGUUUAGUUUACAAUUACACCGGUGUCAAAUCAGCAGAGCAUCGGCAAGAGUUUUCGAUUGUUGCAAUUUGCAAUGCAUGCGGUACAUGCACGCACUAAUAAAGAAACACAAAAAGUGCAUUCUCAAGCCAAUAGUAUUUGUUUUUAAUCGCUACUUUGCAUAAUAAUGUAGCUUAGUUAGGAAAUUUGUAAUUAUAUUAUGCCUCCAUUUGGUAUAAUUUUUUAAUUAGAACUUAUUUAAGGAGAACUAUUGUUUGUAGAGUUUUUAUAAAUAGAAAUUUUAAUUAAAAAAAAUUAUAAUUAUUUAGUUGUCAAUGUCCAAAUUGAUGAACUAUUGUUCUUUUUGUUAACAUGUGUUUGUUUUACUUAAUAAUAAAACUUUAGUUUACAAUUACACCGGUGUCAAAUCAGCAGAGCAUUUUUGCAGCCCGUCACAUUAUACAUUAUACUAAUAGCAUCGGCAAGAUUUUUCGAUUGUUGCAACUUGCAACGCACGCGAUGCGAGAAAAUGAGAAUCUUGUUUAAUUGUGAAUAAUGACAAACCUAAUCCUUUCAUUAGGAGCAAUUUAAUAAUCGUUUGUUAUAAUUGAAUAGGUAUAAAGAAAGGACAACUCUAUUCAUAGAUUCGGCUUAUUUUUUGUUUAAAGUAAUUAAUCCUCUAAAACUGAAUUUUAUUUUAUCUGGUGCAUGUUAAAUGAUGUGAGGCCUAAUUUAGGUUUUUGGUUAGCGAAUCAAUUUCAAAGUGUGCUUAAACGGUAUAGGACUUUAUUUCCUGGUCCAUACAUUACUCUGUUAGCUAUAAACCUAUGUGUGCUUGAUCCCGACAAUAAUGAUUUGCAUCCUGCUUGCAAAAAGGAAUUUUUGGAUAUGUCUGUGUUUGAAAGAACAGGUGUGGUCGAAUUCAAGAAGGGGAGAUUUUAGUUUACUGAACCAGGACCCACUCAACUUCCGAAGAAGCUUUAUGCUAGGAGUGGUGCUACCUCUGAUGACGAGUUUGACGACGACACUGCUGCCCCGCCAACUAUUCCUUCUACAUCCGCACCACCUUUGAGCAUUCAGUUAGAGAAAAUGGAGCACAAGCUGAACAAGAUGGAGCAGAAUUUGGCCGCAUACUUCGAGAGUGUGGGAUUUACCCCACCAUUUUCGCCAAGCCCAUAGACGUUAUGUGGAUCAAAGCUCACAAUUCAGGGAAGUUUCUUUUUGCCCUUAAUCUUUUAUCCUUACGCUUUAAUUUUUAUGUGAGCUUUGAUUAUCUUACAUUGGGGACAAUGUAAGUUCUUGGUGUGGGGGAGGGAUUUUGAUGUCUGGAAUUAUUAUUUUCACUCUACUCAUAUAUUUUCACUCUACUCAUCCUUAAAUGAUUUUGGAGUUAGUAUGCUUCAUACAUUAUUAAUUUUCUUUUCCUCUCUCUCUCACUACUCUUUUCCCAUCUAUCUCAAAUUAUUUACAUCUAUUUUUAUUCUAUCAUACUCUUUCAUCACUCACAUUUUAUCUUUCACUUUUCAUAUUACUACAUACAUCUUUCUCACUUCUUAUCAUUUUUACAUUUUCUUUUAUAUAUCACUCAUACCUUCUUCUCAUUCUACACCACUAUUGAUGGUUGAUUCAUUUGAAGAGUGUACAUGAUUUGAUGGCAAAUUUACCAACUUUGUGAGGAUUUGAGCCUAUGAGCAACCACUUUGCUCUAAUAUUUUUGUUGUGUGAAUAUCAAUCUUAGUUUGUUUAUUGUAGAACUUGCUUUGUUAUGCAUGUUGAAGCCGCAUUACGGGAUUUUAUGCAUUAAAAUGAUAAGGGCAAACCCUUUUCCAUUUUUCUAUUCUCGCAUUUUUUUUUCUCUACCCGAAGACCUUUAUUUGCUAUCUUUGUUUGAGCCUUAACCAUUACCCACCUAAUUUUCUCCGUCUACUUAACCAUUUUUCUUCUUUUUGAGCCUCAAUUUACGGAGAUUUUUGGACUCAUUGUGUGGAUGUAUUUUGUUGCUUUUUCUACCUUGUAAUAAAGUUUCUCAAUUAGAUCAACAAGCAUUAUGCUUGAAUUAAAUUGUGCAAGGUUCGUUUCUUUUGUUUGAUUCAAAAAUAAAAAAAAACAACAAAAAAAAAGAAAAAGAAAAAUCCAAAAAAAAGAAAAAAAAAUGUUUACAUUCUUGGUGACUUGAGUAGAAAUAAGUAUUUUGAUAUCAUAAGUUCAUUCAAUGAGUUCAUUCUUCUCAUUUUGAUCUCUUUUUCUUUCGUAAACCUUUCUUUUUCAUUCAACCUAUUUAACCCCAUUACAACCCUUUUAAGACCCUUAGAUUUUUGCAUUUUAUUCAUGUUUUGUGGAUUGAGAUGUGAUAUAUGAGCAAGCUUAUGGUAAUAGCAUUCUUUGAUUUGAUUUGAGUGAAUAAAUGACACCCUAAACACUUUGAGUGCAUGGAGUGAAGUUAUUGAGAGGGCUAUUAAAUCUUGUUGCACUUGAAUUUUGAAUGGAUCUUCUUGGUGGUUGAAUGUUCUUAUUCUAUCUUAUGAAAUUCUAUGCUUUAAAAUCCUUGUCUCUUGAAUGUUGAUCGACUUAAUUUCUUGAGGUAUGCUUGCUUAAAAUUGUUUUUGGAUGAGUUGAGAUGAGAAUUGAGUGGAGAUUUGAGAUUAAUCUUGAGUUAUAUGCUUGAGGACAAGCAUCAUCUUGGUGUGGGGGAAUUUGUUAGAGUGCAAUUUAUGCACUAGUUUUGCAUUGUUUACUUCCCUUAAUAUCGAUGUUUUACACUUAAUAAUAGUGAUUUACUUGUGUUUUACUUUUGUAGGUGCAAUUCUAUUGAUUGGUGAUAAAAUUGAGCUAUAAGAUGAUGUUUAAGGAUGAUUGUUCUCUUGGAGAAAUUAUGAGCGGCAGAAGAACUUUGUUGAUAAGGCGUGGGCGCGUGCUGUCAACUGCGGACCUGCAGUUUUUAGUUUAACAUGUUUUGUAUUUUUGUAAUUACGAAUUUAAUAUUUCAGAUAUUAGUAUUUUAUUUUAAAUAGAAUUCUAAAAGAGAGGAGAGAGAGAGAGUAUUUAAGGGAGGAAUCUAUUGUGAAAAAGGGGGAUUUAGAUUGGAGAAAAGAAAAUAAACCCUAAAUCUAAUUUUUCUCUUCUCUCUAUGAAGAACUAAACUUAUUUUUUCUGGUUGAAGGUUAAUGAAGCUUUGAUUCAUCACUACUGUGAGAUCUUUUUUAUGCUUUAAUUGUUUUAUUACUUUUUGGGUAAUUGUUUAUUCUCUGAAUUAGUUUCAUGAUUAUGUUUGUUAAUUAGGUAAUUGGCCACUAUUUAAUUAUCAACUUAAUCUAUUGUCAAUUAAAGGAUUCAUCGUAUGAAGAUUUUAAUGUUUGUGACAAAUAACAUAGCAGUGAGUUGUGUUAUGAGAAUAAACAAUCUAAUUUAAAUGAAUCAUCAUAUGUGUUGAUUAGGAUUUGGAUCUCUCUGGUUUUUCAGGCUGUCAAUUGAUUAAAUCCUAUGAUCGUAUCUAGGGUUGUCUAUUGAUUAGGGAAAUAUCCAACGGUCGUACCUUGGUUAUCGACUAGUUAAGGAGAGAUUGGCUAUUAGAGGGUCUCAAUAGCUAUAACCGGUCUAUUCAUAAGUAAUAAUAAUCUAUAUUUGAAUCAAUGAUCAGUAGUCGAAUCAAGCUGAGUUAAUUCCUUCAACCAGAGCUUUCUCUAAUUUGAAUUACAACUUUAAUUUGCAUUCUUGUUAUUUUAAUUUGAUUUUUAUUAUUGUCAACAAUUCCCCCAUUUUACUUUUUACGUUUCAAAAGGAUUUAAAUAAUUACCGAUCUCUGUGGACACGACCCUGCUCAAUCACUAUACACAAUUUAUUUAGAGUAUGAAUUUAUUUUUGUUGGCUUCGACAACCAUCGGUAGUAAAAGAAUUUUACUCCAAUUUGGUAAGCCCUGGUCAGCACAACAUUUGGGUAAGAAACUCACUUGUUCCAUUAGACUCUCGAGUUAUAAAUGUUUUUUAUAAUUUACCUGCUGAAAUUAAUUGUGAGUAUGCCAAGUUGCUUGACAAAUUGACCCCGCAACAAUGGAACACGAUUUUCACGACACUUACAGUAGAGGGUGCAUCGUGGGCUAAUGAGGACGGGCGUGUAAUUAACAGGAUAGAUUUAAAACUCAUUGCUAAGGUGUGGGUGAAAUUUCUGAAAUCUAGGCUUAUGCCAACCACCCACACCACUACUGUUUCACAGGAAAGGUUGGUGUUGUUAGAUGCUAUUGUUAGAGGGCUUCCCAUAGAUGUGGGAAGUAUUAUCGAAAAAGAAAUUCGAGUUUGUACCAUGAAAAACCACAAGGCUGCUGCCUUGUUAUUUCCUUCACUCAUAACCAGCAUAUGUAUAGUAUCAGGUGUUCAUCUUGAUGCAAAGGAUGAAAUUUGUAAUUAUAUUAUGGCUCCAUUUGGUAUGACUUUUUAAUUCGAACUUAUUUAAGGAGAAUUUUUAUUAGUAGAGUUUUUUAUAAAUAGAGAUUUUACUAAAAAAAUAAUUAUAAUUAUUUAGUUGUCAAUGUCGAAAUUGAUGAACUAUUGUUCUUUUUGUUAACAUGUGUUUGUUUUACUUAAUAAUAAAAGUUAAGUUCACAAUUACACCGGUGUCAAAUCAGCAGAGCAUUUUUGCAGCCAGUCACAUUAUACAUUUUUGCAACUUGCAAUGCAAGCGACGAGAGAAAAUGAGAAUCUUGUUUAAUUGUCAAUAAUGACAAACCUAAUCGUUUCAUUAGGUGUAAUUUCAUAAUCGUUUGUUAUAAUUGAAUCUGUAUAAAGAAAGGAAAAUUAUAUUCGUAGAUUCGACUUAUUUUUUGUUUAAGGUAAUUAAUCAUUCAACCAUCUUCAUUUGCCCCUGGCCACUGCCCUUGUAGAUUAGUUGAAGCGUUAAUUACUUAAUUUAGAUAAUUACAACGUCCUUUUCGCUAAUUAAUUAUGAUUAUAUACGUUUUCAUAUAGCAAGUGGCAUUGUAGAUCUAAAUUAUGUUGCUAUUUCAAUACGUUAAUUAAGUGAUUCUCCUCAUUGUCAUCAAGUGGAAAAUAGCUCAAUUGUUUCCCUGCAUCGAUUUUCAUUGGUAAGUGAUUUCUUAUGAUAUUCGUUUGAGCUUUCCUUAUUAAAAAAGCUUGAGCCUUGAUCACCUAAUACUGAUAUCAAUUUACUUGUGAACGAUUUUGUAAUGAAAUUAGGAGUUAAAUAUAUAAGAUUUUUACCUGAUGAAUUUUGAUUUUUUUUUUAAUUUUUUGAUGUAGUCAAUUUGCGAAUUUUAUAUGUUUCAUAUUCAACGGAAUUUGGGCACGGAAAGUUUGGAUUCUAAUAUUUAUAUAUUUAGCUUUAAUCAGUUUGACUUUAGCAAUCUUUUUCCCUCAUCAUUAAGGGAUUCAGAAUUAGAGAAACGCUAGGAAGAGGAAGAAAAUAACUUUGGAAAUAAGUAAGGGGGAAAAAUUAUGAAAUUUUGAAUUAUUUUUUGUAAAAUAUGUUGCGUUUACUAAACUUGAAUUAGAAUGAGCUGAAAUUAGAAUGAUUAGGAAUGCAAAUGUGCUGAAAUCGGAAUAGGUAAUGAGAAUAAGAAUAAGUUGUUUACUUGAACUGUAAAAAUCAAAAUCGAAAUGAGCUGAAUUGCAAUUACUUUAUCUUGGAAGCGGAAUUGGAAUCGGAAUGAGUUAGAUUGUAACAAAUUACUAAAAAGUACUUAAUGAAUUAUUGUCAUAAUUAUUAUUUUAUAUUUUAAUUAUAGUGAUUAUUUAUUCAAAAAUUAUUAUUAUUAAUUAUUUUCAAUAAUAUAUUAAUAUGUUAAUUAAUUUUAAAAAUUAUUAAUUAAUUUAUUAUAAUAAUAUACUAAUUAAUUAUAAUAAUUAUAAAAAUAUAUUAAUAAUAAAAUUACUAAUUUAAUUAUAAUAAUAUAUGAAUUAAUUAUAAUAAUUACUAAAUUAAUUAUAAUAAUUAUAUUAGUAAUUAUUAUAAUAGUAUAUUAAUUAAUUAUAAUAAUAAAAAUAUAUUAAUUAUGUGAUUAUUUAUUCAAAAAUUAUAAUUAUUAAUAAUUAUUGUUAAUAAUGUAUCAAUAUACUAAUUACAUAUAAUAAUUAUUAUAAAAAUAUAUUAAUUAUUAAUAAUAAAAUUACUAAUUUAAUAAUAAUAAUAAUAAUAUAUUAAUUAUGUGAUUAUUUAUUCAAAAAUUAUAAUUAUUAAUAAUUAUUGUUAAUAAUGUAUCAAUAUAUUACUUAAUUAUAAUAAUAUAUUAAUUAAGUAUAAAUGAGGACAAAGGGGGUAUUUUUAAUUUCACGUAGGGGCAAAAUGGUCAAUUCUAGUAAUGGGAGACUCACUCCCACCCUCUCCCUUGGGAAUGAGUCUCCCAUUCCUCAUUCCCAAAUUGUGGUGGGCCCCAUGAUUUUGACUCUGAUUUUUGACUCAAUUUUGCGAAGUAAACGCUACUAAUGAUUCUGAUUUUGGAUUCUGAUUCACUUAUCCGAGAAGUAAAAGCAACAUAAAUGUGUAUGAAUAAUUGAUACCUAUGAAUAGUUUUGGGAGUUUUAGUUAGGAGUCAUUUAUUGAAGAUGUUUAGCAAUUAAAGAUCUCUGACUCAGUAGUUUUCCCAAUCAAAAUCAAGAAGCAAAACAACUUGCCAUUUUUCUACUUGAUAAUUAAUUGAAAUUUAAGAAAAUACAAUGGCAUUUCAAUUAGAAAUGGUAAUUGUUUAUCUUUUUUCAUUGAUCAAAUUCUAAUCGUGAUCCAAUAGUUAUGGAUGAAGGAAAUAUUAUGAGAGGCGAUAGGCCAAGUGAAGACGUACCAGCAAAUUCAAAAUAGUCGGGAGGUGGACGUCCAGCAUAUCUCCUUCUCUCUGUAGCACCCAGAUGUAUUGUUAUUUGCUCCAAGAAAUGUUAAAAGGAUUGGCCCUAUCUCAAUGUGGUUAGUGGUGAAAAAUUAAACACCAUGGAAGGAUUUGCAAGGAAUAUGCCAAGAAACUGGCUAAGUUCCACAAAUAUGGCAUUAUUGCUCUUUUUUUUUAAAGAAAAAUUAUACACGUUAAUUUAGCAAAAAGUCUAAGACACAUGCCUUUUGAAAAGAAUAGCUAUUACCAUGACACAAUCGAUGCGGCUGAAACCAAAAUUUUCUUUUCUUAAUGUAAAGAUUUUUUUUAAAUAGAUUUUAAUAUUAAAAUGCCCUUCGAUGUUAUUACUGUCACAAGCCCUGUAACAGGAGUAAUAAAAAUUUUUAGAAUUUGUUGGGCAUGAAAAAAGUAGUAUUAAACAUCAGCAAGCAAAGGUUGUUCUGUUAAAGAAUUGAUAUUGACGUGAUUUUAUUUUGGUUAUCGAGAAAAAAAAAUAUAUUUGUUGAUAAGUAAGAAAAUAUUAUUAUAUUUUACAAUCUAUUAUACAUAUUUUAUUAUAUUAAAUAACACUAAAUAGAAACAUAAAAUUAGAAUAAAAUAAAUUAAAAUUAAAAUUAUUUUGAAUAUUAUGUAAAAAAUAAUGUUAAUAUCAUUGUUACUUGUAAAAUAUAUUUAGCCCAAAGAUUUAUUUAAAAUUUUAUAAUAAAUAAAAAUAUAAAAAUAAAUUAAAUAUCAUAGUUUAAAAUCUUAAUAUUAUUUUAAAUAUUAAAAAUACUUUAAUGUUAUUAAUCUACUACACAUGUUAUAUUAUUUAUAUUAUAGUUGUAUUAAUUAAAAAUUUUAAAGUCAACUUUCUAGUAACUAUAUUCAAAGGUAUUAUGGUUAAAUAAAGGUCUUAGUGUUUCUUUUCAAAAUUUGAGGGUCUACAUGAUAAUUUUUCCAAAUCCUAAGGUAUAGGUGUCCUUUUUAUCAAUAAUUUAUUUCACUUUUGAGAGAAUAUGAUGAGAAAUAAGAUCAGAGAAAUGUCAAUUUAAUGUUAUCUAGCUUAAUGAUAAAAAAAUGGAAACCAAGAACUAUUCAAUUUUGUAUUUUUUGUUUGUAAUUCAAAAAAUCCAUCCACCAAACAAGUUUCACGCAUUUAUGUUAUCAUAAAACAAAAAAAAAAACAGUUUGUGAAAAAAUGGCACCAAACAUACACUUAAUGUCCCACAUGAUUUCUUAUGAAGCCCAUAUUAGAUAUAUUUAUACAUUUUACUGCAUUUAGGACAUGUUUGAUAGCCUGCAUUAUAUAGGAUAAAAACACAAUUUUGUAUUAAAUUAAUGCACACUCACGUUUGGCGCUAAAAGUAACUCCAGCCACAUUGCAUUAAUGGACUGCUAAUGCGGCAAUUGCCGCACUAGCUUGCCUCUUUUUCUUUUUAAUUUUAUUUAUAAUAAUAAUAAUUACAUAAUAUAACUUUUUAUUUUAAUAUAAUAUUAUAUAAUAUUAAGUAUAAUUUUUUUUACAUUAUAAUUAUUGAUAUAAAUUAAUAAAUUAAUUAUUUAUUAUUCAAUAAUAUUAUAUUAUAUAUUUUUUUUAUUUUUACAUUAUAAUUUAUUAGUAAAUUUAUAAUUUAAUAUAAUUAAUAAUAAUAGAAAAUAUCAUUACAUGUACUACAAAACUCUUACUUGGAUUAUUUAACACAAUUUAUUUUAUUCGUGAAUAUGUUAUAACAAUUGUAUCACUUUAUUAUUUUGUUAUUAUUUUGUGGUAUGUAUAAAUUUUUGUUCUAUUAUCCUAAGAUGACUUUUGAACUAAUCUUAUAAGUUUUAACUAUUUAUUUAUGUUGUUAUAUUAUUAGAGAUUAUUUGCUUCGAUCUUUAUUUUACAGGUCAUAUAUUUAGAAAUUACUGAAAAAUAAAUGUUAUACUUCCCAAAAUUUAAGGCUAGAAGCUCGAUCUUUAUGAAGAAUUUUGAUAUUUUUUAACAUUUACACUAAAAAAAAUUGUUAAAUUUCUAAAAUUUAAGACUUCUAUAUUUAAUAUUUUUCUAAUUACUAAUAAGUAUUAUUUUCUAAAUAUAUAAUUUAAAUUAAUCACAAAAAAUUAAUAUAGUACAGUGCAAUAUCAAAUAUAGUAUAAUUAAAAAUUAUACAGUGCAAUAUAGCACCAAAUAUUGUACACUAUUAUUAUAAUAUAGUACUAAUGCAAUACAAUAUAAUACAAUAUAGUGUGCCAAACGCACCCUCAGAAUGUGUUUGGAACAUGGGAUUAUAGGGUAUUAAAACACUGUUCACAUUAGCUUAAUACCAAUCUCAUGUUUGGAAAGAAAUUUUAAGGGAUUAAAGGGGGGUGAGCUAAUGUCAUAACUGCGUCAUUAGUGUCUUGGUUUUUUUUAAAUAAUAAAAAAAAUAUAAAUUCCUAAUUUUAUGUAAAAUUAUAUAAUAUUAAUUUUUAUUUUCUUUGAUCUUUACAUCAUAAUUAUUAAUAUAAGUUAAUAAAUUUAUAAUUUAUUAUUCAUAUUUUAAUUUUUAUUAUAUUAAAAAUAUAACUAAAUAAUUUAAUUUUAAUUCUAUAAUAAUUAAUGUAUAAAAUUGAUUAAUAUUUAAUAAGUCAAUACAACUAGUAAUAAGUGCUUAAAUAAUAUAUAAAAAUAAAAAUAUAACAUAAUAUUACAUUAUUUAAUUAUAUUACAAUAACUAAUAUAUAAAAAUUGAUUAUUAUUUAACAAUUUAAUAUAGCUAAUAAUAGAUACUUAAAUAAUAAUUUAAUAUAACUAAUAAUGAAUAUUUAUAUAUGAAUAUAUUUAAAUAAUAUUAAUUUAAAAUUAAUACCAAUAUAUAUAAUAAUAUAAAAUAUUAUUACAUGUACUGUAGUAUUCUUACUUGGAUUAUUUAGCGCAAUUUAUUUUAUUAGUGAAUAUGUUACAAUUAUUGUAUCACUUUAUUAUUUAAAUUAAUCAAAAAAAUUAAUACAGUACAAGAUAGCACUAAACAUUAUAUAACAUUAUUAAAAUACAGUGUUAAUGCAAUAUAAUGUAAUACAAUACAUCUAUAUUAAAAUAAUAUAAUAUAAUAUAAUUUAAUAUAAUACAAUAUGUCAAAUGCACCCCGUGUAUUUUAAUUUCAAAAGAAGUUGGUCCUUCCUUUAUUUAUAAAAGAUAACUUUAUUUUCAGAUUACCACUAAUUACGAUUAUUUGGUAGACUAUAGACCUAAAAGACAUGUUAGAUUAUAAAACAGUGCGAUUAAAAAAAAAAGAGUAUUUGUGACGUCAAAUAACAAUUGGUAACUAAAAUCCAAAAUAUUUCAGUUGUUAAAAGCAAAUAAAAAAAAGAAGGUAACAGUGAUGCAGAAACACAAUAUUAGCUUAUCUUGAUUUUCCCACUUUAUUCAUUCUCAAUGCUUUUCAAAAGAAAUUCUUCUAAUCCUUCUGGUGUCUGCAGCCCCUUAUCACGGGACGAGAGGUUUUGAGCCCGCGUGGCACUCUCGCAUCCCAUACUACGAGAGUAAACCUAGUGGAAGUGGCACAAUAUCGACUGGUUUCACCCUGCCUUGGGCUCAUCAGGAGAACGGCUCCAGUUCCCAACCAGUGUGUGUAGGGCUUCGCUUAGACUCCUCUUCAACGUUAAAUCCUCGACUAGCAACAAGCUCCCCAAAGUCAACUGGGUUGGCCUGCCUGAACUCCAAGAAAUCUAGGAUCAUUGUAUUCCCCACACGCACGCCCCUGAAGCACGUCUCCUGCAAUCAGCACAACUAUUAUCGAUACUAGUGUACAAGCGCAUAUCUUCGGCAUCACAAUUGCAGUCCGUGACACCCUGCUCUUCUUAUAAAACUCCACCCCAAAUCUAUACUACAAACAAGUGGAUUGAAAUUAAAAAAUUGCUUUUUGAAGUGGACCCAUUGAGUCGUGGUCAUUACUCGUCAUUGUCUAUUUUUUCUAUGAGCCAUUUAUUUUGAGCAAUAGUGAGCUUCUCUGAACUACUCCAAUUAUUGAUGUAACUCCAGUGGCUGCAUCCAUAGUUGAAUAUAUGAUAGUAUUAGCUCUUAUUUGAGAAUAUAGGGGGAUCUUUCUUUGUUUCUUUGUUGCAAUGUUCUAGUAUAUAGUCUUGCUGUUAAUGAAUUCACUGAGGCAUUAUUAAUUCAAUUUCAGUGAAGUAAUUAUGGAUGAAAAAUAAAUAAAGGAUAACAGAAUAGAGCUGAAGUGCUGAAUCGGCUAUUAAAGAAAGUGUCACGCGAUCACAAUCACACUGAUGCACAACUCUCUCGAGGCAAAUUUUGUCUAUAUGUACUCCAAAUUCAGCCAAACCAUACAUGCCUCAACAAAAUUAAACCGUAGUUCUCAUCACUACAGUAAUUGAAGCCCACAAAGACAGCUGAAAUGGAAACUUAAAACGAAGAUCUUAUUCGAGUUUGUCCCCAAAAGACAGCUGAAAUGGAAAAUAUUGACUAUUGAAUGGAUCAAUGCUGAAUUACAUUUGAAAUGGGAAGCUUGGCUGCGGUUACGAUGUUUCCCCCUCUGAUUUUUCUCCAAAACAAAUUCCGUUGUAAAUAAUAUUCAAUGUAGCAACAAUUUAUUCAGCAAAGAAAAUACCUAAUUUUUCAACUAACAAAUUCUCUUGUCUAAACUAAAAAAACUCACAUCUCUCCAAUCUAUCUACAAAUUUGGAGAUGAGAGGUGAUUUGUCAACUCGGUAAAUAAAUUCAUGCAUAAUGUUACCAAUAAUUAUAAAUUACAUAAUAAUUCUUAUAAGAAUCAUAAUAAAGGAACCUUAACCAUUUUACAAUCUAUUACAUAAGUAAGAUUAAUCUUAUAAUAAGUUAACUUAUAACUUAAUAAAUAUUUUCAAUUCAUAAUUAUUUAAGAAGUCACUUAACAAUAAAAUAUUUUUUUAUUUAAUUGAUCAUGUCAUAUAACGUUAUCUAAACUCCCGACGAUAUUAUUAUUACUCACUUUUCUCAAAAAAACAUGACUAACGUUUAGAGAAAAGUCAUGUCUUUUAGAUUGAUAGAAUACGAUUACAAACUAUCCAUACUUUAUCGUAGGCUAUAGAAACCCUUACCCAAGCAUGACAGUCAAAAUAGAACUUGACACGGUUAUUAUUGUAAGUAUCUGCAGCAAAAGCAGUCUUAUCGAAGCCACUGCUGUCGAGAAUUGCAACCACUGAAAGCCCAGAUGGUCCCUCAAUCAAUAGAUCAAAAAACUUCUCUCUGCCCCUUUCAAAUUCACUGAUAUCGAGCCGAGGUUGUCCCUCACUCAAUAGGCGUAUGAUUUCGUUCCUUUUUUCACUGAUAUCAAAACCAUUGUCGCCGGGUGGAAGUUGUUGCAUCCGAUUUCUAAUAUCAAUGAUUUUAGUGUGGAGUCCAACAAGAAGAGCCAUAUCAGUACUGCUUUCACUUUCGUUUUCACUGUUUUGCUGCUGCAUGAUUUUGAUGAAGAAUGUGUCAAUGGCUUCCUCAGAUUCAUGGACAAAGUCAUUGAUGUCCUCCAGAAUUUCAAAAAUAUCUGCUGUUUCAACGUCUUCUUCAUCGCUUUCUUCUAAGUCCAACAGUUGCAAAAAAGGCAAUGAUAUUUUGGAGUCAUCUAAUUCUUCUCUAAGGAGUUGAAACAAAUGCCGAGCCAUGUCAGCUUCAUAGUUUCCCAGCAGAGUAGUAGCAAUAAUUUCGGACUCCGUAAGAAGGUUUUGAAAACGUGGAGUUAAAUUUGUUGAAUCUGGCAAAGUUAACGUGCCUUCUUCACCUGCUAACACCCUUUUCAACCUCUCACAAAACAGUCGGAGGUGGAAUUCCAGCAUAUCUCCUUCUCUCCGUAGCACUCAGAGGUAUAGCUGAAAGAUUAAACACCAUGGAAGAAUUUGAAAGGAAAAUGCCAAGAAAUUGUGUAAGUGGCUAAAUUCCACAAAUAUGACAUUAUUGCUCAUUUUUUAACUCAAAAAAAGGGUACGCGUUCAUUUAGAGAAAAGUCCAAGACGCGUGCUUUUUGAAAAGAACAGGUAUCCCAAUCGGUAUCCAACCUUUAUCUUAUUUAAUUACUACCAUGACAUAAUUGAUGGUGCUUAAAUCAAUUGUUUCUUUUUUAAUUUAAAGAAUUUUUCAUUAAAAAAAUAUUUUAAUAUCAAAUUGCCUUCAGUGGCGUAACAACUGCCUGAAGCCCAGUAACAGGACUAAUUAAAAAUUUUACAAUUUUUGGGCAUGGAAAUAGUAGUAUUAAACAUUAGAAAGGUGAGGUUGUUCUGUUAAAGAAUUGAUAUUGACAUAAUUUUAUUUUGGUUUUCGUGGAAAACAAAAAUAUUUGUUGACAAGCAAGAAAAUAUUUUUAUUUUUUAAAAUUUAUUAUGCAUAUUUUAUCAUAUUGAAGUAAUUUUAAUAAUAAAUAGAAACAUAAUAUUACAAUAAAUAAAUUAAAAUUUAACUUAUUUUGAAUAUUAUAAAAAAUAAUUUUAAUAUUAUUAAUAGGAAGACAUUGUAUUAAUUUUAAAAUUUUUUAACCCAAAGGUUUAUUUAAAAUCUUUAUUAUAAAUACAAAUAUAAAAUUAAAUAUCAUAAUUUAAAAUUUUUAAUAUUAUUUUAAGUAUUAAAAAUAUUUUAAUGUUAUUAGUCUACUACAUAGAUCAUAUUACUUAUAUAAUAUUUGUAUUAUUAAAAAUUUUUAAAAUCAAAUUUUUAGUUAGUAUAUUCAUGAGGUAUUAUGGUUACAAAAAAAAGACCUUAUUAUUACUUUUUAAAAAAUUGAGGGUCUGCGAUGAUAAUUUUUUCAAAAAGAAAAUACAUGGUAUGUAGGAGGGGUAGAGAAACAGGACUUCCAAAAUCUCUCACCCUUCUUUAAUUAAAAAAAAAAUUAAAAUAUUAAUAAAAAAUAAUAAAGAAAAUAGAAUUUUAUCUGCUCCUUACUCCAUUUUUGCAACUCUCUCAACAUCUCUGUCGAGCAGCCUUCUCUCUCAUUGUCUCUCACUAUUUCACGAUCUCUCUCUCACUCACACAGGCAAUGACCAUCUCAUCAUCGGCGGUCGUGUCGUCAGUGUCACUGGUCUUGCUCGACCGAGACAGUGAGAGAGAGGUUUGUUAGAUGGAGUGAUGAUAAAGGAUUCUAUUUUUUUUAUUAAUAUUUUAAUUUUUAAAAUUAAAAUGUGCUGCCGUUUCUCUUGUCUUUUUAGCUGUUUAGCAGCACUCUUUUCAAAAUUUAAGAAUGUAGGUGUCCUAUAAGAGAUCGAUAAAAGAACGUCAAUUAAAUUUAUAAAAAUAUGAUAAAAGAACGUCAAUUACUUGUCUUUUAGGGAAUCCAAUGAGAAAUAUGAUAAAAGAACGUCAAUUACUUGUCAUUUUCAAUUUUUUUCUGUAAGCUAUUUAUUUUGAGCAUUAGUGCUCUUGUCUGGACUACUCCAAUUAUUGACGUAACUCCAGUGGCUGCAAUUAAUGAUAUAAAGCUGAGACUUUUGACCAAGUUAUCUAGUUGGGAAAGCAAAUUUUUUUCCAGUGGGGGCAAAGAAGUGUUGAUUAAAACUGUUGCUCAGGCUGUGCCAGUCUAUGCAAUGAGUGUUUUUAAGAUCCCUCAUAGCUUUUGUGAUGACAUUGAGAAGGCUAUUGCUCGUUUCUGGUGGGGUUCCUCUGAAACAAAAAGAAGCAUUCACUGGACAAGGUGGGAACGGUUGUGCCACGCCAAGAUAAGGGGGGGAUUGGGUUUUAGAGAUUUCUCUAGUUUUAACCAAGCCUUAAUUGCUAAGCAGGGGUGGAGAAUUCUGCAGCACCCUGACUCUUUAAUGGCAAAGAUUCUGAAAGCAAAAUAUUUUAAGCAUACUGGUUUUAUGGAUGCGAAAUUGGGUUCACACCCCUCUUUUGUUUGGAGAAGUAUAUUAUGGGGUAGGCAAGUGCUCCAUAACGGCCUAAGAUGGAGAAUCGGCUGUGGGAGUCAGGUUUUAAUUUCCAGUAGCAAUUGGAUAAAAAACCAUAAGCUUCACAGUUUGGUUCCAUAUUCAAAUCUACCUCCUGAAACUGUAGUUGUUGACCUUAUUGAUGAAAGUCACCAAUGGAAAGAAGAUAUGGUUUUCCAACAUUUUCCAAUGGAUGUUGCAAAGAGGAUCACAAGAACCCCUCUCCCAAAAACUCCCCAGCAGGAUCUUCUCAUUUGGAAAUAUGAUAAGCACAGAAUUUACUCGGUGAAGAGUGGGUAUCAAUUGGCUGUUAAGCAAAAAUUCCAAAAUUAUCCAAGUUGUUCAGAUGUUACCAAGUCAAGGUGGGAGGUGAUAUGGGCUACGGAUCUUCUAGGAAAAGUCAAGAUUUUUAUUUGGAGGGCUGCUCAAAAUCUUCUCCCUACAGUUGGAAAUCUAUGGAGGAGGAGGGUGGUGAAGGAUUAUUUUUGCCAAAGAUGUAAUUGCAGAGGAGAGGAUGUCUUCCAUGCUUUAAUAGAGUGCAGGGCAGCUAAAAGGGUUUGGAAGUUGACUGAAUUUUAUGAGGAUGUAAAGCAAUUAGCUCGGCAAGACAUGUUGAGUGUGCUGCAGGAUUUAGCUGUGAAGAGAAAAAAGAAUGAGCUGGAGCUUGUUGUUGCGGUGUGCUGGGCCAUCUGGUACUCUAGGAAUCGUUUGGUGUUUGAAGGAAAGGAAGAAGAUCCAAAAACUUCAGUGGCCAGAGCAAUUGCUAUGGUGGAAUCAUACAGGCGAAUAAAAGUUCCAAAUGAACAAAAUUCUCCAGGCCAUAGCAGAAUCAGUCAACUAGAAUGGGCAAAUCCUCCAAAGGGGUGUUAUAAAGUCAACGUUGAUGCUGCAAUUAAUGUUUCAAACCAAAAGGCAGGGUUGGGUGUAGUGUUUAAGAGUGACUAACUAUCCCAAUCAACUCAAAACACUUCCCAAGAUCACACCCAAACAAACAAGAUGUACCAAGAAUCAAUCCAGUAGAAUACACACAGAUUAUUAGAACUGAAAGAAUUAAAGAAAAGGACAAGAAUUAACGUGGUUCAGCUAGCUUCAGUCUAGCUUACAUCCACGGGAGAAACAGAACCCAAUUGUAUUGAUUGUUUAAAGGAGUUACAGAGAGUUCAUCAAGCUUGUUACAGAGUCUCUCAAGAAGCCUUUUGUUAUUAAUCUUCUCAACUCACAAUAGCUCUCUCUUCUUUUUUCUCAGUUGCCAGAAUCAGCUGUAUAUAACAGCUUGUUAACGAAUCAGCAACCAACCCAGAAACCCACGUGACAGUCAUGUGAGUUAACUGAUUCUAACGAACCAAGAACGCAACUUAUCCAUGCACGUGAAACUCUCGUGCAUCACUUAACCAAAACGACCUUCAUACAUGUCGUUCCAGGAGAUACGAGUUUGACUUUCCAAAACGCAGCAUCAGCUGACGUUUUCACAAACAGAUUUGCUUCACAUCACAACAAUUCUCCACCUUGAACAAAUCACUCUCUGAUCCUGAUUUCUCCAACCUGAGUAUUUAGAAUUCACUCAGCCCAGCUUUGUCCAAGCCGCUCUUGAACUUAGCUGUAGUUACAACCUUAGUAAGCAUGUCAGCAGGAUUAUCAUCUGUAUGCACUUUCACCAUGCUAAUCACACCUUUAGAGAUCACAUUUCUGAUAAAAUGUAACUUGAUAUCUAUGUGUUUAGUUUUUUCAUGGUGAGCUGGGUUCUUACUCAAGUAAAUUGCACUUGAGCUGUCACAAUGAACUUCCACAGUCUCCUGCUUCAUCCCCAGUUCUGUUAUCAACCCUCUCAGCCACAGAGCUUCCUUGACAGCUUCUGUUGCAGCAGUAUAUUCAGCCUCUGUUGUUGACAAAGCUACAACAUGCUGCAAUCUUGCCUUCCAGUUAACAAGGCAACCAUCCAAGAAAAACAUAUAGCCAGUUAAAGAUCUCCUUCUGUCUAAGUCCCCAGCAUAGUCUGAGUCAACAUAACCACAGAGACCUGCAAUCUUUCCAGCUGAUUUUCCAUAUACCAACCCAUACUGUUGUGUACCUUUCAGAUACCUCAGCACCCAUUUAACAGCCUUCCAGUGCUCCUUUCCAGGUGUAGCCAUAAACCUACUUACAACACUUAAAGCAUGAGCUAAGUCUGGUCUUGUAAGUACCAUUGCAUACAUCAUGCAACCAACAGCAUUUGCAUAAGGAACCUUUGUCAUUUCAUUCCUCUCUUCAUCUGUACUGGGGCAUUGUGAACAUGACAGCUUGAAGUGAGAUGCAAGAGGGGUUACUACUGACUUGCUGUUUGACAUCCCAAAAGUUCCCAGUACCUUCUCUAGAUACUUCCCUUGAGACAGAAUCAUAGUACCCUUCUUCCUGUUCCUUAUUAUUUCCAUACCCAAAAUCUUCCUAGCUGGACCCAAGUCUUUCAUAUCAAAUUCUGAAUUGAGCAGUUGCUUCAAAGCCUCAAUCUCUUCCCUUUCAUUACAAGCAAUCAACAUAUCAUCUACAUAUAACAGCAGAUAUAUGUAGUUGCCUGAUUGUAUGAUCUUGUAGUAAACACAUACAUCAUAGCUGCACCUUAGAUACCCAUGAGUGACCAUAAACUCAUCAAAUCUAAGGUACCACUGUCUGGGUGAUUGUUUCAGCCCAUACAGUGACCUCUUCAGCAGACACACACAGUCAGCAGAUUCAGGACUUGUGUACCCUUCAGGCUGUGUCAUCAAGAUGUCCUCAUUUAAUCUUCCAUGUAGAAAGGCUGUCUUGACAUUGAGUUGAUCAAGCUCCAUGUCUUUUACAGCUGUUAAAGCCAGUAGCACUCUGAUUGAUGUGUGUCUGACUACUGGUGAGAACACCUCUUUGAAAUCCACUCCAGCCCUCUGUGUGUAACCCUUGGCCACUAACCUAGCUUUGAAUCUUCUAGGUUCAGUAGCUGUUAGUCCAUCUUUGACUUUGUAGAUCCAUUUACAUCCUACUGUUCUGCUGUUGGCAGGUCUUUUAAUCAGCUCCCAUGUAUUGUUCUUCUUCAGUGAAUAGAUUUCCUCAUCCAUGGCCUUUUUCCACUCAUCUUUGUAUGGUCCCUGGAUAGCCUCUUUGUAGUUCUUGGGUUUAUCAUCAUCAAUUUGAUGAGAUGCUGUUAAUGCAUAGGCUAUCAGAUCUGCAUAUCCAUAUCUGACAGGUGCUUUUGCUUUCCUUCUUUCUCUGUCUCUUGUCAGCUGGUACUCCUGAUGCUGAGCUUCAGUCUGCUUUACAUGAUCAGUUUCUAGAUCAGUAGCUCCUUGAUAAGAGUCAUCUUCAUCUUCUGAAGCUUCUCUAGUGUAGGGCUCCACCUCAAACUGAAUCUUGGUUCUCUCCUUCUCCUUUGGUGUAUCUGUGUCAGUAGGUUUCUUCAUUUCCAGUGCAGCUUUCUCAUUGAAUAUUACAUCUCUACUGAUUAUGCACUUGGGGGGAUUAAGGUCUGUACACCACAGUUUGAAGCCUUUAACACCUUCAGGAUACCCAAUGAACUUUCCUUUAAGGGUUCUUGGAGCUAACUUCCCUUGGCUCACAUGUGCAUAAGCUGGACAUCCAAAUACUUUGAGGCUGCCAUAGUCUGCUGGUUUUCCAUGCCAUUUCUCAAAUGGGGUUUUGAAGUCAAGUGCUGCAGAGGGACUUAGAUUUACCAGAUAGCUUGCUGUUAACAGAGUCUCAGCCCACAAUCCUUUUGGAAGUUGUGACUGGAUCAUCAUGCUUCUUACUCUGUCCAUCAGGGUUCUGUUCAUUCUUUCGGCUAACCCAUUUUGUUGAGGAGUCAGCCUUACAGUUCUAUGCCUUGCAAUGCCAUGAUCUGCACAGUAGCUAUCAAACUCCUGAUUGCAAAACUCAAGACCAUUGUCUGUUCUGAGUUUCUUUACCUUCAAUCCAGUUUGAUUUUCAACCAGGGAUUUCCACUCUCUGAAUUUUCCAAAUACCUGAUCCUUGUGCUUUAAGACAUAAACCCAUACUCUCCUUGAAUAAUCAUCUAUUAAAGACAAGAAAUAGGUGUUGCCACCUAGUGACAUUGUCUGUGCUGGUCCCCAUAAAUCUGAGUGUAUGUAUUCAAGGAUGCCUUUUGUUGAAUGAACUGAUUUUCCAAAGCUACUUCUUGUAGCUUUGCCUAGUACACAGUCUUCACAAAAAUUCAGUUCUGAGAUUUGACUGCUGCCUAGAACCCCUUGCUUCUGUAAUUCUUUCAGACCUCUCAAGCUCAUAUGUCCUAAUCUAAGGUGCCACAGCAGAGUGUUAUCACAGCUUGAACUGAUUAACACUCCUGACACACCAGUUAUAGCUUCCCCAUUCAAAACAUAAACCCCAUUUCUCUUGUAACCUUUCAUAACUAUCCCAUCUUCAUUUGAAAUUCUCAGCUCACCAGAUUCAAGCUUAAUGCUAAGCCCCAUUUGGUCAAGCAUACCUAGAGAUAUUAAGUUCCUUUUAAGUUCAGGAACAUACCUAACUUCCCUUAAUUCUCUUAUUGUUCCAUCAUGCAAUUUUAGGUUUAUAUUUCCUAUCCCCGCAAUUUUACAAACAGCAUUGUUACCCAUCAUAACUUUUCCUCCAUCAGUUUCAUGAUAGUUUAAUAGGUAAUCUUUAAAGGGGCACAUAUGAAAUGUACAACCUGAGUCUAGAAUCCAGGUACCUUUUUGCACAUGCUCUGUAGCCACACAUACUCCUGCUGACUCAUACCCCUCUUCCUCAGCAGUAGCAGCAGCUCCAUUUUGUUCCCUUUUCUUGUUCUUGAGUUCUGGGCAAUCUCUCUUGAAAUGCCCUUCUUUCUGGCACUGAAAACAUUUCUUGCCUUUAGUCUUUUGUUUGUUGUUCCCUUGCUUCUUUUUCUUUCCAUCAUACUUAUCAGUUCUUGCUUUUACUGCCAAUACUUCUCCAGAGUUCAUAUUCCCUGACUUUUCUUGCAGCCCUCUAGUAUUCAGGGCAGCCUUAACUUCAUCCAAUGAUAAAGUCUGUCUCCCAUACAUGAGUGCAUCCACAAAGUUUGAAUAUGAGGAUGGAAGUGAACUAACCAGAAGCAAUGCUUUACCUUCAUCAUCUAAACCUUCAUCAAUUAUUUCCAAUGUAUCACAGACCUGAUUGAAUUCAUCAAUGUGGUCUUCGAGAGAUGACCCUUCAGCCAUCUUUAGUGUGAACAUUCUUUUCUUGAUGUAAAGUCUGUUGGCUAAUGAUUUAGUCAUAUACACCCUUUCAAGCUUUGCCCACAGAUCAGCCACUGUUCUUUCUCUUGCAACUUCCCUGAUCACCGAGUCUCCAAGACUCAAGAUUAUGGUACUCCUUGCCUUUUUGUCAAUCUCAGCAGCUUGUUGUGGUGUUAGUGAUGAUGAAGAUGUGGAGGCUUCUAAUCCUUCUUUCUUGAUGAUAGGUUCUAAGGCAUCACCUAGCCCUUGAGUGAUCAGUAAUGCCUCCAUUUUAACCUUCCACAUGUUGAAGUCAUUCUUCCCUGUAAACUUCUCUAGAUCGAUCUUUGAACCAACCAUACUUGUGUCUGAUUUGUAAUCCAAGCUCUGAUACCAAUUGUAGUGUUUAAGAGUGACUAACUAUCCCAAUCAACUCAAAACACUUCCCAAGAUCACACCCAAACAAACAAGAUGUACCAAGAAUCAAUCCAGUAGAAUACACACAGAUUAUUAGAACUGAAAGAAUUAAAGAAAAGGACAAGAAUUAACGUGGUUCAGCUAGCUUCAGUCUAGCUUACAUCCACGGGAGAAACAGAACCCAAUUGUAUUGAUUGUUUAAAGGAGUUACAGAGAGUUCAUCAAGCUUGUUACAGAGUCUCUCAAGAAGCCUUUUGUUAUUAAUCUUCUCAACUCACAAUAGCUCUCUCUUCUUUUUUCUCAGUUGCCAGAAUCAGCUGUAUAUAACAGCUUGUUAACGAAUCAGCAACCAACCCAGAAACCCACGUGACAGUCAUGUGAGUUAACUGAUUCUAACGAACCAAGAACGCAACUUAUCCAUGCACGUGAAACUCUCGUGCAUCACUUAACCAAAACGACCUUCAUACAUGUCGUUCCAGGAGAUACGAGUUUGACUUUCCAAAACGCAGCAUCAGCUGACGUUUUCACAAACAGAUUUGCUUCACAUCACAACAUUGGGGGUAGUCAUUAGAAACUCUGUGGGUAAGGUUGUUGCUGCAGCAGUCCAAAGAGCUCCAUAUAGGGGAGAUGUGGCGUGUAUGGAGGUUGAAGCUGUUCUGUUUGGUAUUCAGAGUGCCCAACAAGCAGCUGUUUUCCCAAUAAUUAUUGAGUCGGAUUCAAAGGAAGUGGUGGAUCUAUCCUUAAAGAAAAAGAUCAGCAAGACUGAAAUUGAGUGGAAAAUUGCAGAAAUCCAAGCAAAUCUGGAAAAUCAGAAUGUGUCCUCGCUGUCAUAUGUCCCUAGAAGCUGUAACUCUAUUGCUCAUUCUAUUGCAAAGAUAGCUCUAGGUUUUGAAAGUCAAGUCUUUUGGCUGGAAAACUUUCCAGAACAUAUCAGGUGUACUCUUGCUAAGUUCAUCAAUUGAAAAGCUUUACUUUGCUCAUCAAAAAAAAAAAAAAAAAAAAACUCCAGUGGCUGCAUCCACUGGAAAAAGUGGAUGAGAACCAUUUUUUUUUCAUAAAGGUAACUACUCACAUAAUUGAUGGUGCUUAAAUCAAUUUUUUUUUUAAUUUAAAGAAUUUUGCUUUAAAAAAUAAUUAAUAUCAAAAUGCCUUCAAUGUUGUUACCCUCACAAGCCCAGUUAGAGGACUCAUUAAAAAUUUUAGAAUUUUCAGGCCUGGAAAGCGUAGUAUUAAACAUCAGAAAGCAAAGGUUUUUAUGUCGAAGAAUUGAUGUCGACAAAAUUUUAUUUUAGUUUUUGGGAAAAAAAAUAUUUUGUUGACAAGCAAGAAAAUAUUUUUUAUACUUUACAAUCUGCCUUCUCUCUCAUUGUCUCUCACUAUUUCACGAUCUCUCUCUCACUCACACAGGCAAUGACCAUCUCAUCAUCGGCGUUCGUGUCGUCAGUGUCACUGGUCUUGCUCGACCGAGACAGUGAGAGAGAGGUUUGUUAGAUGGAGUGAUGAUAAAGGAUUCUAUUUUUUUUAUUAAUAUUUUAAUUUUUAAAAUUAAAAUGUGCUGCCGUUUCUCUUGUCUUUUUAGCUGUUUAGCAGCACUCUUUUCAAAAUUUAAGAAUGUAGGUGUCCUAUAAGAGAUCGAUAAAAGAACGUCAAUUAAAUUUAUAAAAAUAUGAUAAAAGAACGUCAAUUACUUGUCUUUUAGGGAAUCCAAUGAGAAAUAUGAUAAAAGAACGUCAAUUACUUGUCAUUUUCAAUUUUUUUCUGUAAGCUAUUUAUUUUGAGCAUUAGUGCUCUUGUCUGGACUACUCCAAUUAUUGACGUAACUCCAGUGGCUGCAAUUAAUGAUAUAAAGCUGAGACUUUUGACCAAGUUAUCUAGUUGGGAAAGCAAAUUUUUUUCCAGUGGGGGCAAAGAAGUGUUGAUUAAAACUGUUGCUCAGGCUGUGCCAGUCUAUGCAAUGAGUGUUUUUAAGAUCCCUCAUAGCUUUUGUGAUGACAUUGAGAAGGCUAUUGCUCGUUUCUGGUGGGGUUCCUCUGAAACAAAAAGAAGCAUUCACUGGACAAGGUGGGAACGGUUGUGCCACGCCAAGAUAAGGGGGGGAUUGGGUUUUAGAGAUUUCUCUAGUUUUAACCAAGCCUUAAUUGCUAAGCAGGGGUGGAGAAUUCUGCAGCACCCUGACUCUUUAAUGGCAAAGAUUCUGAAAGCAAAAUAUUUUAAGCAUACUGGUUUUAUGGAUGCGAAAUUGGGUUCACACCCCUCUUUUGUUUGGAGAAGUAUAUUAUGGGGUAGGCAAGUGCUCCAUAACGGCCUAAGAUGGAGAAUCGGCUGUGGGAGUCAGGUUUUAAUUUCCAGUAGCAAUUGGAUAAAAAACCAUAAGCUUCACAGUUUGGUUCCAUAUUCAAAUCUACCUCCUGAAACUGUAGUUGUUGACCUUAUUGAUGAAAGUCACCAAUGGAAAGAAGAUAUGGUUUUCCAACAUUUUCCAAUGGAUGUUGCAAAGAGGAUCACAAGAACCCCUCUCCCAAAAACUCCCCAGCAGGAUCUUCUCAUUUGGAAAUAUGAUAAGCACAGAAUUUACUCGGUGAAGAGUGGGUAUCAAUUGGCUGUUAAGCAAAAAUUCCAAAAUUAUCCAAGUUGUUCAGAUGUUACCAAGUCAAGGUGGGAGGUGAUAUGGGCUACGGAUCUUCUAGGAAAAGUCAAGAUUUUUAUUUGGAGGGCUGCUCAAAAUCUUCUCCCUACAGUUGGAAAUCUAUGGAGGAGGAGGGUGGUGAAGGAUUAUUUUUGCCAAAGAUGUAAUUGCAGAGGAGAGGAUGUCUUCCAUGCUUUAAUAGAGUGCAGGGCAGCUAAAAGGGUUUGGAAGUUGACUGAAUUUUAUGAGGAUGUAAAGCAAUUAGCUCGGCAAGACAUGUUGAGUGUGCUGCAGGAUUUAGCUGUGAAGAGAAAAAAGAAUGAGCUGGAGCUUGUUGUUGCGGUGUGCUGGGCCAUUUGGUACUCUAGGAAUCGUUUGGUGUUUGAAGGAAAGGAAGAAGAUCCAAAAACUUCAGUGGCCAGAGCAAUUGCUAUGGUGGAAUCAUACAGGCGAAUAAAAGUUCCAAAUGAACAAAAUUCUCCAGGCCAUAGCAGAAUCAGUCAACUAGAAUGGGCAAAUCCUCCAAAGGGGUGUUAUAAAGUCAACGUUGAUGCUGCAAUUAAUGUUUCAAACCAAAAGGCAGGGUUGGGUGUAGUGUUUAAGAGUGACUAACUAUCCCAAUCAACUCAAAACACUUCCCAAGAUCACACCCAAACAAACAAGAUGUACCAAGAAUCAAUCCAGUAGAAUACACACAGAUUAUUAGAACUGAAAGAAUUAAAGAAAAGGACAAGAAUUAACGUGGUUCAGCUAGCUUCAGUCUAGCUUACAUCCACGGGAGAAACAGAACCCAAUUGUAUUGAUUGUUUAAAGGAGUUACAGAGAGUUCAUCAAGCUUGUUACAGAGUCUCUCAAGAAGCCUUUUGUUAUUAAUCUUCUCAACUCACAAUAGCUCUCUCUUCUUUUUUCUCAGUUGCCAGAAUCAGCUGUAUAUAACAGCUUGUUAACGAAUCAGCAACCAACCCAGAAACCCACGUGACAGUCAUGUGAGUUAACUGAUUCUAACGAACCAAGAACGCAACUUAUCCAUGCACGUGAAACUCUCGUGCAUCACUUAACCAAAACGACCUUCAUACAUGUCGUUCCAGGAGAUACGAGUUUGACUUUCCAAAACGCAGCAUCAGCUGACGUUUUCACAAACAGAUUUCGUUCACAUCACAACAUUGGGGGUAGUCAUUAGAAACUCUGUGGGUAAGGUUGUUGCUGCAGCAGUCCAAGGAGCUCCAUAUAGGGGAGAUGUGGCGUGUAUGGAGGUUGAAGCUGUUCUGUUUGGUAUUCAGAGUGCCCAACAAGCAGCUGUUUUCCCAAUAAUUAUUGAGUCGGAUUCAAAGGAAGUGGUGGAUCUAUCCUUAAAGAAAAAGAUCAGCAAGACUGAAAUUGAGUGGAAAAUUGCAGAAAUCCAAGCAAAUCUGGAAAAUCAGAAUGUGUCCUCGCUGUCAUAUGUCCCUAGAAGCUGUAACUCUAUUGCUCAUUCUAUUGCAAAGAUAGCUCUAGGUUUUGAAAGUCAAGUCUUUUGGCUGGAAAACUUUCCAGAACAUAUCAGGUGUACUCUUGCUAAGUUCAUCAAUUGAAAAGCUUUACUUUGCUCAUCAAAAAAAAAAAAAAAAAAAAAACUCCAGUGGCUGCAUCCACUGGAAAAAGUGGAUGAGAACCAUUUUUUUUUCAUAAAGGUAACUACUCACAUAAUUGAUGGUGCUUAAAUCAAUUUUUUUUUUAAUUUAAAGAAUUUUGCUUUAAAAAAUAAUUAAUAUCAAAAUGCCUUCAAUGUUGUUACCCUCACAAGCCCAGUUAGAGGACUCAUUAAAAAUUUUAGAAUUUUCAGGCCUGGAAAGCGUAGUAUUAAACAUCAGAAAGCAAAGGUUUUUAUGUCGAAGAAUUGAUGUCGACAAAAUUUUAUUUUAGUUUUUGGGAAAAAAAAUAUUUUGUUGACAAGCAAGAAAAUAUUUUUUAUACUUUACAAUCUGCUAUACAUAUUUUAUCAUAUUAAAGUAAUUUUAAUAAUAUAUGGAAACAUAAUAUUUUAAUAAAUAAAUUAAAAUUACUUUGAAUUAUUGAAUAUUACAAAAAGAUAAUUUUAAUAUUAUUAAUAGGAAAACAUUUUUUAAUUGUAAAAUCUUUUUAAUACAAAAAUUCAUUUAAAAUCUUUAUAAUAAAUACAAAUAUAAAAUUAAAAAAUAUUAUAAUUUAAAAUUUUUAAUAGUAUUUAAAUAUUAAAAAUACUUUAAUAUUAUUAAUCUACUACAUCAAAUAUAUUAUUUAUAUUAUAUUCGUAUUGAUUAAAACGUUUUAAAGUCAAAUUUUUAAUUAGUGUAUUCAAAGGUACAAAAGAUUUUAGUAUUAUUUUUUAAAAAUUUCAGGAUAUGAAUGUUAAUUUUUUUCAAAUUUUAAAGAUGUAAAAAUCUUUUUUUCUGAUAAUUUAUUUCACUUUUGAGAGAAUCCGAAAACGUUAAUUUAACAUUCUUUACCUUUGUGAAAAAAGUGAAAAUCAAGAACUAUUCAAUUUUGUUUUUAUUUGUAAUUCAAAAACUUUAUUCAUUUUGGAUGCUUUUCAAAAGAGAUUCCUUUAAAUCCUUUUGGUGUCUGCAGCUCCUGCUAUUCUCAUAAGUCUCCAUCCCACAUCUACACUAUCAAACAAGUUGAUGGAAAUUCUUAUAAAAAAAAAAAAAAAGUCGAUGGAAAUUGAUCAAUUGCUUUUUGAAAUGGACCCAUUGAGUCAUGUUCAUUUCUGGUCAUUGUCUACUCUUUCUAUCAGCCAUUAAUUUUGACCAUUUGCGAUCUUAUCUGGACCAACUCCAAUUAUUUAUGUAACGAACUCCAAAGGUUGCAUCUACAGUUGAAUGUAAGAUAGCGAAGGCUCUUCUUUGAGAAAAUAGAGGAACCUUUCUCUGUUUCUCCGUUGCAACGUGCUCAUAUAAAUUUCUUUACCUUACAGUUUAUACGGUCUUGCUGUUAAUGAAUUCGCUGAGGCAUUAUUGAUCCAAUCUGAGUGAAGUAAUUGUGGCUGAAAAAUAAAUAAAGGAUAUGAGAACGUAGCUGAAGUGCUGAAGGGGCUAUUAAAGAAGAGUGUCACUUGAUCACAAUCACAUUGAUGCACAACUCACUCGUGGCAAAUUUCGACUAUACGUACUGCAAAUUCAGCCAAACCAUACAUGCAUGAACAAAACAUCUUCUCUAAACUAAAAAGCCCACAUCUCUAAAAUCAAUCUACAUAAUGUUGGAGAUGAGGGGUGAAUUGUUAACUCAGUAAAAAAAAAAAACUCAUGCAUAAGAUUACUAAUAAUAUAAAUUAUAUAUUAAUCAUUAUAAAGAAUCAUAAAUUAGAAAAAUUAAUCAUUUUAUAAUUUAUUACACAAGUAUGAUAAAUCUUAUAAUAAGUUAUAACAUAAAAAAACGUUAUCAAUAAAUAAUCAUUUAAGAAGUCAUUUAACAAUAAAAUCGUUCUUUGAUCAGUUGGUCAUGUCACAUAGUAUCAUCUAUAUUUAUGGUGAUAAUAUUAUUACUUAGUAUUAUCAAAAAACAUGAUUUAACAUUUAGAGGAAAUUCUUGCCUUUUAAAAAAAACAUGUAUGCAACAGCUACCCAUGCUUUAUCUUACCAUGACAAAUAUUUUCUCAAUGAAAGAAUUUUUUUUUAAAAUUGAUUUAAUGCACAAAUAUGAUGAUUUUUGCCAAAAAUUAAUUUUGGAAAACAUAGUGAGAGAAAAUAGUGACGAUUAUUGUUUAGAUGUAUAAAUAGCCUAAACAUAAUCCUUAAUACCAGUAUCCAUGUGCAUCUUAGCAUCUUUUAUGAUAUUCUUUCAUUUAUGUCCAUUGGUUCAAGAUUUGAAUUUGAUCAUUAAAUCAUAUUCAAUAAUAUUAGAGAUUCCAAAAAUUGAGUACCAACUUAAAUCCCAAUGUUAUGUUUCAUUGACCAAUGUCGUGUCAUUUUCUUAUUAACUAGGUGAUGAAUUUCUAGUUGAUAAAAUCACUUAAAAAUAUCUUAAAAAUCAGACAAUAGUUUGCUUAAUUUUUCCAAGUUAACUGCUCAAGAUGCUCUAUUAUAAAUGAUAACCUAAUUAUAUUCAUAAAAAAUGAUAUAUUUUUUGUGGUGUUGAUAAUGAGAUUAUCAUUCAACAUUUUAAAAUGUGAAAACAUAUGGAAGAUGGUUGUAAAUUGAUUGAAUGAAAAUAUUUCAGUGAAGUCUCAAAAAUUUGGUACUUGUUGUCUUAUCGAAAGUUUUCUAAAUUAUAUUCGUGGCACAGCCACUAUCCAAACCAUACAAGUCCAAAGCUAUCCAAACCAUACCUGCAAGUCCGGGGCUUAAAUGGAGUACUUCUAAGCAAAAAAACAUUGACUAAAAUAGAAUAUAUACAUACAGACACACAUACAUACCAGCAUAUUCAAAAUAGCAAAAGGAGUGCAAAGUUCAAGUUUGUAGACAACAUUGCAACCAUAGCAUGUUUAUAGCAAAUCCUCAAAAUCUGCUAAAUAAAACAAUGCCCUGUCUCAUGAAUCAAUGCUGAAUUAAAAUUGAAACUGAAAGUCUGGAUGGUGUUGUUUGUUGAGAAUGUCAAAUAAAACGGCAUUGAAGGAAGUUUUCAAAGGCAGAAUCCGCACUUGUCAAAGGGAUGAUCUGCACUUGUCAAAGACACGAUCCGCGCUGAACGGAUCGACACAUUUCCUUCCGUAUUCACAUAUGUAAUCUUUGAAAAAAUAUAGCUUCUGCAUCUAUAAAUAACGCUCAAUGUAUAAUGUUUUAUUCAAGAAAUAAAAACAAGUUUCUACAUGGUAUCAGAGCCAUGAAUGCGCUCAAGUUUCUUCAAGUUUCGUUGCUCUGUUUGUCACAAAAACAGAGGAAACCAAAUUCGUCCCACAACCAUUUUUUCCACCAUUUUCUUCCUUAAAAUCAUUCCUAACAUUACAGAAAUCCAUGCCGAUCAAAAAACAUGAAAGACAAAUUACACAUGUGCAGUAACCAAUGAUCAUAUUUCGUUACUGUCAAACACAAUGCAUCUGAGCAAAACAUUGGAAGCCAACACCAGAAUACAUAUGAAUAAACAAUUAAAGAUAGAGAAAAAAGGCUUAAACCUUGGGGGAAAAAAGUGAAAAAACAUGAAAGACAAAUUACACAUGUGCAGUAACCAUCGAACUUAUCAGUGACAGCUGCAUCUAUUACAUUGCUCCAACAACACAAUGGCAAACCACCAGUUUCAAAUUGAGGAUAGCUAUCGAGAAUGAGAAAGUGUCCAAAACGUCAUAAAUAGACAUGUUCCUAUUGUGCAUAAUUUACAUUAUAGGCAAAUAUUCUUAUACCAUCAAUGGCAAAACAUGACACUAACAAUUGAUCCCCCCAACACCCCCCCCCCCCACCAACCAAAAAAAAAAAGGAAAUAACAAUACAGAAAAGAUUGAAACAGAUAAGGCUACACUGAGCACAGGAUGCCAUGAAACAUAAUCCAGGAACCAAAUUAAUAAAAAAGGAAGCCAAACCAUUAUUUAACAAUCUGUUUUGUAUUUGGGAAAGUCUGAUAAAAUCUACUUAGGGAUAAUUAGAGAACUUCAACUAUUAAUCACACCUCAUAAAUGAACUAACAUUAACCAUCUACCAUCCCCACGUCACACAAACAUUCUCUAUACUUCUGAACCUAAUACUUCCAUCUUCAAUUGGGGGGUUUUUUUCUUUUUUCUUUUUUUUGGGGGGGGGGGGGGGGGGGGGGGGAAGCUAUCAAUUUUCUAAGCUUGCUUAGCUUCUGUGUGGGAUUGAAAUGCUGAUUUCGAAUCACUAACAGUAAAAUUGGAAGCUCAUGAGAAAAUAGAGAAAGACCUAAUGUUGAGUCCUUUGGCGCAUGUCUCUUCAUAGGUCCGAACCAUUUCUUCGGGCGUGGGUUACGGCCGAGAUUGGAUAAUGAUGGAGGAGGAGAAAAUAGAUAAUGAUUGCACUAAUUUUCUAGAUGAAUUUUUUCCUACAUGCUUGUUCCCGAAUGACCCAAAAUCCUGCUACAUCAGUUGUAUUAGAAAUUAAUCAACUGGGUUACAAUUAUGCAUCCCCACCAAUAUUUAAGCAAUUUACAGAAACAUUUCUUGAGGAAAAAAACUCAUAUCGCCACUAGGCUUUUAAUGAGGCUCAUUUUUAUGAAUUUGGAUGGCAUUAGAUAUCUCUCCAAAUAUUGGUGGGAGUAGAUCGCAGAUCUCUGGGCUAUACUACAAAGUGUAUGUACGUUGACUCUCAAUAAAUACAAACGAUUCUCUGAUAUGAUUCAAAACAUCAGUACAUGCAUCAUUUUAAUGAGAAAGAAUAUUCUAAGAACGAAAUUGAAGGUGCAAUCAGCAGCUAAAAUGAAGCCAGAAAUGUACACGCAUGAGGAACUUUUCCUAGAAGAUUGAUAUUUCUUUGACUAGCAAACCACACACGUCAAAGCUAGCCAAACCAUACCUGCAUGUCGGGGGUUUAAAUGGAGUACUUCUAAGCAUAAAACAUUGAUUAAAACAGAAUACACACAUACAUACCAGCAAAUUCAAAAUAGCAAAAGGAGUGCAAAAGUUCAAGUUUGUAGACAACAUUGCAACCAUGGCAUGUUUAUAGCAAAUCCUCGAAAUCUGCUAAAUAAAACAAUGCCAUGUCUCAUGAAUCAAUGCUGAAUUAAAAUUGAAACUGAAAGUCUGGCUAGCGAUGUUUCCCUCUCCAAUUUUGCCUACAUAAGUGAAAAUAAGAAUAAUAAAUGAAAAUCUGCUUUGACAGUUCUUAUUAGAUAGAUAUAAAAAGAUCUUUCUUUGUUUCUCUGCAGCAAUCUGUGGCUAUCCCACUCUGUUUUGCCAGUCAAGCUGCGGCCUCAAUUAGUUUGGCACUUUUAUGACCUCCUUGAAGGUUUUACGAUAAACAUAAAUCUACUGACAAAGUGGGCAAAAAGAAAAUGUAUAUAAAAGUAUGAGUUAUCAGAUAAGAUUAAAACUCACCCAAUUCAAUCCAUCAGAUUCCGUAAGGAUAUAACUGGAUGUCAUACCGCCACUCUAUAUUCUUGAAAGUCCGUAGUGUUUGUCUCAACUGUGUCUGGGGCCAGUGUAAGUCCAAUUUGCGCAAGCUCUCUAUGCACCACAGCUCUUCUGGAAGCUUUCUCAAGUAAGCACAUGGGUUGACAAUUAAGCUUUCAAGUUUCGGCAUUGCUCCAGCCCCCAUCGUCCACUCAUCUAGCCAAUACAUUGAUUUCAGGUGCAAAACCUUAAGUUCGGGAAAGCUACUCAAGCCAACACAAGCAAGCUUUCUUCCUAAAUACGAGUUCUGCUUCAGUUUCAGCACUCGAAGGAGUGGAAGAUUUUCCAGAAUUGGCAUGGGAUCCUCCAUUAGCUCAGUAUUUGAUAAGCUCAGUUGGAUCAGACUUGGGGGAAAUUGGUAUUCAGACAGGACCAUCCGUGAGGGCUUGCUCUCAUUCACCAGCUUCAAGCAUUCAAGUUUGUGGAGUUCGCAAAGGCUUUUGGAAACCCCAGAUUGAUAGUAACUCAAAUCUCCAGAUAUCCGAAGAGUCUGAACACUAGGUAGUCUGCCCAAUAUAUCAGGAGUACAACUACUAGGGUUUAAAGCUGAUAUGAAAAUGAGAUUUUUCAGAGAGCUAGAAUAAUUUUUUGGAGGUGCGGGCAGAGUGAUAGAACCAAAGUUUAGAUGCAUGAGUUUUUGCAUCAUCCAAAUAUCCUCUGGUGACUGAUCUAUGUAGCUAGAUGGCAUUUCUAGUGUUUCAAGGUUUAAAAGGGUGCAUAGCAGUGAAGGAAGGCAUUUGGGCGAAGGGAUAUUCAAUUUCAAAUACUUCAAAAGGAAUGAAUUUUCUAAUCCGGGUGGAUAUUGGUCCAGGACUGCAGAACCCAUGUUCAAUACCCGAAGGUAUUUGAACCUUUUAAAAAAAUUCUCGCAAUCUUUCGAAUUAAGAUGAUUGCUUUUUGAACUGUGAUUCAGAAAAGAAGUUUCUGCAGAACCCAUGUUAGAAUGUUUCAAAGAAAAGAAGUCAAUCUGAUUACCCAAAAUGAUGUACCGUUUAACAUUUUCCGGUGGUUCAUCUUCCAUGUCAAGCAUCCAGACAAAUCCCGUCUUCUCUGCCACCAAUAACAAUGAAUAAUAUACAAUACUUGGAACAUAACACGCUUUAAUCGUGCCUCCGGCGCUUCUCUUACUCACUUGAAUGAAGCCGCGAUGGAUUAGUUCUUUCAAGUAAUGUUCGGCCGUCUCCUCACUGUUGUAUGGUAUGAAACCUUCAGCUACCCAUAACUGAUAUAAUUGCCUCGUGGAUAUCUCAAUACUUGGAGGGAAGACACACAAAUAGAUGCAGCAGACUUUCAAGUGAAAAGGUAACUCCAUCACAGAGAAAGUUUGUCUCCAUACUGUCGGAAUCGCUUCGCCUUGAAGAUAAUUUCCUAAUGGCAUACUUCCAUAGUGUAGGACGAAAAAUUGCCAGGCUUCAAGCUUUAAUCUGAUCAAUGGUCCUCCAAUGAGCACCGAAUCAAGCCGAAUCUUCUCUCCGUUUUCCAUUUUCAGCGACGUAAGGAGUUCUGGUUCAGUGACCAAUAUCAAUACUCUGCUUCCAUUCUCAUUAUCAGGGAGAACUUCUUCGAGAUCACUCCAUAUCUCACUGUAAUCGAAGACGUCAUCAAGCACAAUAAAGUACUUCUUGUUGGUUAGGUAAUCUCGAAGAACAGAUUUCUUCAAUUGAUAAUGUUCACCGAUAAUUACACUAACCCGAGAUGGAGGCAUCACAGACUUGAUUAUGUCAUCCAAUAUCCAUACUUUAUCGUAGGCUAUAGAAACCCUUACCCAAGCAUGACAGUCAAAAUAGAACUUGACACGGUUAUUAUUGUAAGUAUCUGCAGCAAAAGCAGUCUUAUCGAAGCCACUGCUGUCGAGAAUUGCAACCACUGAAAGCCCAGAUGGUCCCUCAAUCAAUAGAUCAAAAAACUUCUCUCUGCCCCUUUCAAAUUCACUGAUAUCGAGCCGAGGUUGUCCCUCACUCAAUAGGCGUAUGAUUUCGUUCCUUUUUUCACUGAUAUCAAAACCAUUGUCGCCGGGUGGAAGUUGUUGCAUCCGAUUUCUAAUAUCAAUGAUUUUAGUGUGGAGUCCAACAAGAAGAGCCAUAUCAGUACUGCUUUCACUUUCGUUUUCACUGUUUUGCUGCUGCAUGAUUUUGAUGAAGAAUGUGUCAAUGGCUUCCUCAGAUUCAUGGACAAAGUCAUUGAUGUCCUCCAGAAUUUCAAAAAUAUCUGCUGUUUCAACGUCUUCUUCAUCGCUUUCUUCUAAGUCCAACAGUUGCAAAAAAGGCAAUGAUAUUUUGGAGUCAUCUAAUUCUUCUCUAAGGAGUUGAAACAAAUGCCGAGCCAUGUCAGCUUCAUAGUUUCCCAGCAGAGUAGUAGCAAUAAUUUCGGACUCCGUAAGAAGGUUUUGAAAACGUGGAGUUAAAUUUGUUGAAUCUGGCAAAGUUAACGUGCCUUCUUCACCUGCUAACACCCUUUUCAACCUCUCACAAAACAGUCGGAGGUGGAAUUCCAGCAUAUCUCCUUCUCUCCGUAGCACUCAGAGGUAUAGCUGAAAGAUUAAACACCAUGGAAGAAUUUGAAAGGAAAAUGCCAAGAAAUUGUGUAAGUGGCUAAAUUCCACAAAUAUGACAUUAUUGCUCAUUUUUUAACUCAAAAAAAGGGUACGCGUUCAUUUAGAGAAAAGUCCAAGACGCGUGCUUUUUGAAAAGAACAGGUAUCCCAAUCGGUAUCCAACCUUUAUCUUAUUUAAUUACUACCAUGACAUAAUUGAUGGUGCUUAAAUCAAUUGUUUCUUUUUUAAUUUAAAGAAUUUUUCAUUAAAAAAAUAUUUUAAUAUCAAAUUGCCUUCAGUGGCGUAACAACUGCCUGAAGCCCAGUAACAGGACUAAUUAAAAAUUUUACAAUUUUUGGGCAUGGAAAUAGUAGUAUUAAACAUUAGAAAGGUGAGGUUGUUCUGUUAAAGAAUUGAUAUUGACAUAAUUUUAUUUUGGUUUUCGUGGAAAACAAAAAUAUUUGUUGACAAGCAAGAAAAUAUUUUUAUUUUUUAAAAUUUAUUAUGCAUAUUUUAUCAUAUUGAAGUAAUUUUAAUAAUAAAUAGAAACAUAAUAUUACAAUAAAUAAAUUAAAAUUUAACUUAUUUUGAAUAUUAUAAAAAAUAAUUUUAAUAUUAUUAAUAGGAAGACAUUGUAUUAAUUUUAAAAUUUUUUAACCCAAAGGUUUAUUUAAAAUCUUUAUUAUAAAUACAAAUAUAAAAUUAAAUAUCAUAAUUUAAAAUUUUUAAUAUUAUUUUAAGUAUUAAAAAUAUUUUAAUGUUAUUAGUCUACUACAUAGAUCAUAUUACUUAUAUAAUAUUUGUAUUAUUAAAAAUUUUUAAAAUCAAAUUUUUAGUUAGUAUAUUCAUGAGGUAUUAUGGUUACAAAAAAAAGACCUUAUUAUUACUUUUUAAAAAAUUGAGGGUCUGCGAUGAUAAUUUUUUCAAAAAGAAAAUACAUGGUAUGUAGGAGGGGUAGAGAAACAGGACUUCCAAAAUCUCUCACCCUUCUUUAAUUAAAAAAAAAAUUAAAAUAUUAAUAAAAAAUAAUAAAGAAAAUAGAAUUUUAUCUGCUCCUUACUCCAUUUUUGCAACUCUCUCAACAUCUCUGUCGAGCAGCCUUCUCUCUCAUUGUCUCUCACUAUUUCACGAUCUCUCUCUCACUCACACAGGCAAUGACCAUCUCAUCAUCGGCGGUCGUGUCGUCAGUGUCACUGGUCUUGCUCGACCGAGACAGUGAGAGAGAGGUUUCUUAGAUGGAGUGAUGAUAAAGGAUUCUAUUUUUUUUAUUAAUAUUUUAAUUUUUAAAAUUAAAAUGUGCUGCCGUUUCUCUUGUCUUUUUAGCUGUUUAGCAGCACUCUUUUCAAAAUUUAAGAAUGUAGGUGUCCUAUAAGAGAUCGAUAAAAGAACGUCAAUUAAAUUUAUAAAAAUAUGAUAAAAGAACGUCAAUUACUUGUCUUUUAGGGAAUCCAAUGAGAAAUAUGAUAAAAGAACGUCAAUUACUUGUCAUUUUCAAUUUUUUUCUGUAAGCUAUUUAUUUUGAGCAUUAGUGAUCUUGUCUGGACUACUCCAAUUAUUGACGUAACUCCAGUGGCUGCAAUUAAUGAUAUAAAGCUGAGACUUUUGACCAAGUUAUCUAGUUGGGAAAGCAAAUUUUUUUCCAGUGGGGGUAAAGAAGUGUUGAUUAAAGCUGUUGCUCAGGCUGUGCCAGCCUAUGCAAUGAGUGUUUUUAAGAUCCCUCAUAGCUUUUGUGAUGACAUUGAGAAGGCUAUUACUCGUUUCUGGUGGGGUUCCUCUGAAACAAAAAGAAGCAUUCACUGGACAAGGUGGGAACAGUUGUGCCACGCCAAGAUAAGGGGGGGAUUGGGUUUUAGAGAUUUCUCUAGUUUUAACCAAGCCUUAAUUGCUAAGCAGGGGUGGAGAAUUCUGCAGCACCCUGACUCUUUAAUGGCAAAGAUUCUGAAAGCAAAAUAUUUUAAGCAUACUGGUUUUAUGGAUGCGAAAUUGGGUUCACACCCCUCUUUUGUUUGGAGAAGUAUAUUAUGGGGUAGGCAAGUGCUCCAUAACGGCCUAAGAUGGAGAAUCGGCAGUGGGAGUCAAGUUUUAAUUUCCAGUAGCAAUUGGAUAAAAAACCAUAAGCUUCCCAGUUUGGUUCCAUAUUCAGAUCUACCUCCUGAAACUGUAGUUGCUGACCUUAUUGAUGAAAGUCACCAAUGGAAAGAAGAUAUGGUUUUCCAAUAUUUUCCAAUGGAUGUUGCAAAGAGGAUCACCAGAACCCCUCUCCCAAAAACUCCCCAGCAGGAUCUUCUCAUUUGGAAAUAUGAUAAGCACGGAAUUUACUCGGUGAAGAGUGGGUAUCAAUUGGCUGUUAAGCAAAAAUUCCAAAAUUAUCCAAGUUGUUCAGAUGUUACCAAGUCAAGGUGGGAGGUGAUAUGGGCUACGGAUCUUCUAGGAAAAGUCAAGAUUUUUAUUUGGAGGGCUGCUCAAAAUCUUCUCCCUGACUUUUCUUGCAGCCCUCUAGUAUUCAGGGCAGCCUUAACUUCAUCCAAUGAUAAAGUCUGUCUCCCAUACAUGAGUGCAUCCACAAAGUUUGAAUAUGAGGAUGGAAGUGAACUAACCAGAAGCAAUGCUUUACCUUCAUCAUCUAAACCUUCAUCAAUUAUUUCCAAUGUAUCACAGACCUGAUUGAAUUCAUCAAUGUGGUCUUCGAGAGAUGACCCUUCAGCCAUCUUUAGUGUGAACAUUCUUUUCUUGAUGUAAAGUCUGUUGGCUAAUGAUUUAGUCAUAUACACCCUUUCAAGCUUUGCCCACAGAUCAGCCACUGUUCUUUCUCUUGCAACUUCCCUGAUCACCGAGUCUCCAAGACUCAAGAUUAUGGUACUCCUUGCCUUUUUGUCAAUCUCAGCAGCUUGUUGUGGUGUUAGUGAUGAUGAAGAUGUGGAGGCUUCUAAUCCUUCUUUCUUGAUGAUAGGUUCUAAGGCAUCACCUAGCCCUUGAGUGAUCAGUAAUGCCUCCAUUUUAACCUUCCACAUGUUGAAGUCAUUCUUCCCUGUAAACUUCUCUAGAUCGAUCUUUGAACCAACCAUACUUGUGUCUGAUUUGUAAUCCAAGCUCUGAUACCAAUUGUAGUGUUUAAGAGUGACUAACUAUCCCAAUCAACUCAAAACACUUCCCAAGAUCACACCCAAACAAACAAGAUGUACCAAGAAUCAAUCCAGUAGAAUACACACAGAUUAUUAGAACUGAAAGAAUUAAAGAAAAGGACAAGAAUUAACGUGGUUCAGCUAGCUUCAGUCUAGCUUACAUCCACGGGAGAAACAGAACCCAAUUGUAUUGAUUGUUUAAAGGAGUUACAGAGAGUUCAUCAAGCUUGUUACAGAGUCUCUCAAGAAGCCUUUUGUUAUUAAUCUUCUCAACUCACAAUAGCUCUCUCUUCUUUUUUCUCUGUUGCCAGAAUCAGCUGUAUAUAACAGCUUGUUAACGAAUCAGCAACCAACCCAGGAACCCACGUGACAGUCAUGUGAGUUAACUGAUUCUAACGAACCAAGAACGCAACUUAUCCAUGCACGUGAAACUCUCGUGCAUCACUUAACCAAAACGACCUUCAUACAUGUCGUUCCAGGAGAUACGAGUUUGACUUUCCAAAACGCAGCAUCAGCUGACGUUUUCACAAACAGAUUUGCUUCACAUCACAACAUUGGGGGUAGUCAUUAGAAACUCUGUGGGUAAGGUUGUUGCUGCAGCAGUCCAAGGAGCUCCAUAUAGGGGAGAUGUGGCGUGUAUGGAGGUUGAAGCUGUUCUGUUUGGUAUUCAGAGUGCCCAACAAGCAGCUGUUUUCCCAAUAAUUAUUGAGUCGGAUUCAAAGGAAGUGGUGGAUCUAUCCUUAAAGAAAAAGAUCAGCAAGACUGAAAUUGAGUGGAAAAUUGCAGAAAUCCAAGCAAAUCUGGAAAAUCAGAAUGUGUCCUCGCUGUCAUAUGUCCCUAGAAGCUGUAACUCUAUUGCUCAUUCUAUUGCAAAGAUAGCUCUAGGUUUUGAAAGUCAAGUCUUUUGGCUGGAAAACUUUCCAGAACAUAUCAGGUGUACUCUUGCUAAGUUCAUCAAUUGAAAAGCUUUACUUUGCUCAUCAAAAAAAAAAAAAAAAAAAAAACUCCAGUGGCUGCAUCCACUGGAAAAAGUGGAUGAGAACCAUUUUUUUUUCAUAAAGGUAACUACUCACAUAAUUGAUGGUGCUUAAAUCAAUUUUUUCUUUCUUUUUUUUUUAAUUUAAAGAAUUUUGCUUUAAAAAAUAAUUAAUAUCAAAAUGCCUUCAAUGUUGUUACCCUCACAAGCCCAGUUAGAGGACUCAUUAAAAAUUUUAGAAUUUUUAGGCCUGGAAAGCGUAGUAUUAAACAUCAGAAAGCAAAGGUUUUUAUGUCGAAGAAUUGAUGUCGACAAAAUUUUAUUUUAGUUUUCGGGAAAAAAAAUAAUUUGUUGACAAGCAAGAAAAUAUUUUUUAUACUUUACAAUCUGCUAUACAUAUUUUAUCAUAUUAAAGUAAUUUUAAUAAUAUAUGGAAACAUAAUAUUAUAAUAAAUAAAUUAAAAUUACUUUGAAUUAUUAAAUAUUACAAAAAGAUAAUUUUAAUAUUAUUAAUAGGAAAACAUUUUUUAAUUGUAAAAUCUUUUUAAUACAAAAAAUCAUUUAAAAUCUUUAUAAUAAAUACAAAUAUAAAAUUAAAAAAUAUCAUAAUUAAAAUUUUUAAUAAUAUUUAAAUAUUAAAAAUACUUUAAUAUUAUUAAUCUACUACAUAAAAUAUAUUAUUUGUAUUAUACUCGUAUUGAUUAAAACGUUUUAAAGUCAAAUUUUUAAUUAGUGUAUUCAAAGGUAUAAAAGAUUUUAGUAUUAUUUUUUAAAAAUUUCAGGAUAUGAAUGAUAAUUUUUUCAAAUUUUAAAGAUGUAAGAAUCUUUUUUUCUGAUAAUUUAUUUCACUUUUAAGAGAAUCCGAAAACGUUAAUUUAACAUUCUUUACCUUUGUAUAAAAAGUGAAAAUCAAGAACUAUUCAAUUUUGUUUUUAUUUGUAAUUCAAAAACGUUAUUCAUUUUCGAUGCUUUUCAAAAGAGAUUCCUUUAAAUCCUUUUGGUGGCUGCAGCUCCUGCAAUUUUCAUAAAUCUCCAUCCCACAUCAACACUAUCAAACAAGUUGAUGGAAAUUCUUAUCAAAAUUCCACAAAUAUGACGUUAUUGCUCAUUUUUCUCUCAAGACGCGUGCCUCCUGAAAAGAGAUACAUUGAAUAAGUCAAUUGAUUACAUUGUGGGUAAUUAAUUUAGAAGUGAAGCAGAGAAUAAAGUCCUAGAUGCCUUUAGAAAUUAGAAAUACAUUUUAUAUGCUUUAAUUAAUGAAUUCACUGAGGCAUUAUUGAUCCAAUCCCAGUGAAGUAAUUGUGGGUGAAAAAAAAAAAUAAAGUGCUGAAUUGGCUAUUAAAAAAGAGUGUCACUUGAUCACAAUCACAUUGAUCCACAACUCACUCGAGGCAAAUUUCAUCUAUGUGUACUGCAAAUUUAGCCAAACCAUGCAUGCAUGAACAAAAUUAGGCCGUAGUCCUCAUCACAACAUUAAUUGAAGCCACAAAAGCCAGCAAAUCCAAACGAAAACUUAAAAGGAAGUCUUUUAACUAUUGGAAACAUUAAUCAUUUUACAAUCUAUUACAUAAUAAAGAUAAAUUUUAUAAUAAGUUAAGUUAGAACUAGGGAAGGCAAAUUUUCCCGAUGGGAUGGGAUCCUGCGGGAUCCCAUCCCAUUUGGGACGGGAUUGAGACAUAUUUUUGUCCCAUAAAAAAAUUUAGGACGGAAUUGGGAUUUUUUUUAUCCCAAUUACAUAUGCGGGACAUGAGUGGGAUUGACAAAUUCCGUCCCAUCCCAUCUCAUUACCGAUUAAUAAUGGAAAUUUUUCCAAUUGGGAUGGGAUCCCGCGGGAUCCCAUCUCUUUUAGGACGGGAUUGGGACAUAUUUUUGUCCCAAAAAAAUAUAAGGACGGGAUUAUGACAUUUUUUCAUCCCAUUUGCAUAUACGGGAUGGGACUGGGAUUGGUAAAUCCCAUCCCAUCCCAUCCCAUUGCCAACCCUAGUUAAAACAUAUCAAAUAUUUUCAACAUAUAUAAUUAUUUAAGAAGUCUUUUAACAAUAUUUUUUUUUCUUUUUCAGUUAAUCAUGUCAUAUACCGUUAUCUAAAACGCUGGCGAUAUUAUUAUUCCUCACUUUUCUCAAAAAAAAAAAAGAAAAAAAAAAGAAACAUGAUUAACGUUUAGAGAAAAGUCAUGCCUUUUAAAAAGAAUAUGUAUACAAUAGCAAUCCAUACUUUAUAAAAUUGAUGGCGAUUACAAAGAAAAAUUGUUUAAAAUAGAUUUGAUGCACAAAUAUGAUGACUUUUGGCAAAAAUUAGUUUCGGAAAUGUUGAGAUGAAAACCAUAUUAAUUGAGAAUUAAAAUUAUUUAACUACCAUCUAAUAGAUGAAAACCAUAUCAAUUGGGACUUAAAUUAAAAUUUAAAUAUUGAAAUAUCUAGCAUUACUCACAAUAACCAAUUCAAAUUAUGACUAUCAUGUAGAAGCAAAUGUUUAUGCGUGGGUUUUUUACUUCUUGAAUUUGAUUGGAAAAAUUUCUAAGAUAGAGAAGUGUUUUGGAUAAGCUUUUCGGGAUUGAAACCACAAAUUGGUAGAGGAAAUUAAUUUUGGACAAAUUUUUCUUAUAUUGUAGGACCUUCUAGUUGGAGUAGUGAUGGCUUUGUCUUCAUUUUUGGUUCCUUUUGUGUCGGCAGCCCCUUACUAUUCUCUUGACCCUGAGUUUGAGAUAGAAAUUUAUCAACCUCCAACCCCACAUCCACAAACAAGUUGAUUGAAACAAUUGCUCUUUUAAUUAAGAGGACCCAAAUGAUUUAGGUUUCAGUUCUUAUCAUUUGUCUAUUAUUUCUUUGAAACAUUUAUUUUGAGCGUUACUGAUCUUAAUUAUCUGUAUUUCUCCAAUUAUUGAAGAAUUUCAAGUGGCCACUUUUUCUCCUUUUUAUAUAUGUUUAUUUUUUGGAGUGAUCAAACGGGUGCAAAAUCAAGUAUUCGCUGGUCCGUAGUUUAGCCAACUAUGGCUGAUCCACACAGUUGAUUAUAUGAUACUAUUAGCUCUCAAAAUCUUUCUUAUUUGAGAACAUAAAUUGCCCAUUAAAGUUAAACUAUGUUACCCAGCUCCAUGCACAUACAUUAAAUGUUUAGGUAGUUUUACAAAAUGAUAACAGCAUGCCAAAACUUGAUGUUGUCAUAUUCGACAUUUCAAAUUGAAAAAUACGCAAGCAAUCUUCAGUGAACAUUACGUGUUUAUUGAAUAAUUUAAAUGGCCAGUAAAUCAACAGUCCGUGAGUUUUAAAUCUAUUAUGACUUAAUGUAUCUUUCUGUAUUUGUACACAUAUUAUAUUAUCAUAGUUUAAAAUUUUAAUAUUAUUUUAAAUGUUAAAAAUACUUUAAUGCUAUUAGUCUACUACACAGGUUAUAUUAUUUAUAUUAUAUUUGUAUUAAUUAAAACUUUUAAUGUCAAUUUUCUAAUUACUAUAUUAAUAAAGUAUUAUGGUUAAGAAAAAGUUUUGGCAUUUCUUCUUGAAAAUUUGAGGGUCUGCAUGACAAUUUUUCCAUAUUCUAAGGGUAUAAGUUUGAAAAUUUAACAUUCUCUAAAUUGAUGAAACAAAAAGGGGAAACCAAGAACUAUUCAAUUUUGUAUUUUUUGUUUGUAAUUCAAAAAAUGCAUCCACCAAACAAGUUUUACGCAUUAAUGCUGUCAUAAAACGAAAAACAAUUUGCCAAAAAAGGGUACCAAACAUAUCCUUAAUGUCUCACAUGAUUUCUUAGUAAGCCCGUAUUAGAUAUAUUUAUACAUUUUAGGUAUUUUAGUUAUAAAAGAAGUUGGCCCUCCCUUGUUUAUAAAAAAUAACUUUAUUCAUGCACAUAUGCCAAAAGAAUAAAUAGACAGAAAGUAAAUUUACAGUCCUCACUUCCUCACAAUUGUUAACGUGAAGAUGCAUUACAACUGUGAACUGUCACUACUUUAGCCUUUUUUUUUAAAAAAAAAAAUUAUAGUGUGAUGGAGACAUUAAGGAUGAGCAUAACAGUUAAAGAUGACUCAUUUUCUUUUUAAAGUGCUCUGCUGAAAGCCGAACUUCCUUUGGCUAAUUAAUUUAGAAGUAAAGCAGAGAAUAAAGUCCUAGACGCCUUCUGAAAUAAGAAAUACAUUUUAUAUGCUUUAAUUAUGAUUAUUUGGUAGACUAAAGACCUAAAAGAUAUGUCAAAAGUAUAAAACAGAGCGAUUAAAGAAAAAAGAAAAAAAACAGAGUAUUUGUGACGUAGAAUAACAAUUGGUAAAUAAAUCCUAAAUAUUUGAGUUGUUAAAAGCAAAUAUAACAGAGACGGUAAGAGAGAUGCAGAAACAGAAAACUAUUAGCUUAUCUUGAUUUUUCCACUAUAUUCAUUUUCAAUGCUUUUCAAACGAGAUUCUUUUAAUUCUUCUGGUGUCUGCAGCCCCGGCUAUUCUUAUAAAUCUCCAUCCCACAUCUGCACUACGAACAAGUUGACUGAAAUUAAAUAAUGUUGGAGAUGAAGGGUGAGCCGUCAACUUGUUAAAAAAAAACUCAUGUAUAAUAUUAUCAAUAAUAUAAAAUAUAUAAUAAUUAUUACAAAGAAUCAUAAAUUAGAAAAAUUAAUUAUUUUACAAUCUAUUUCUUAAGUAAGGUGGCGUUUGUUUUUUCAUCUGAAAUCUGAAUAGACCUGAAUUAAUCUGAAUUCUGAAUAGAUCUGAAUGUCUGAAUCUGAAUAAUAUGUUUGUUUUUUUGUUUGAAUCUUGGAAAAUAAGUAUUAAGUUGUUUGUUUUUUUCAACUUAAAAAGCUGAAAAUAUGUACUUUUACAUUUAUAUCCUUAUUAAAUUUGAAUGUCAAAUAAAUAAUAAAUUAAAUACCACAAUAUUUUAACAUUUAUAAGUAAAACUAUAUUCAAGUGAAUACAUAAUUAUUUUGGAAUUUUAAUAGAUAAAAUACUAAAAAUUUUAAAUUUUAUCGUAUAUAAUAUAAGAAAGAAAAAAUAGGAAAAUUUUCAUGUGGGGUAAAUGUUUAUGGGUGAGUUUUGGGAUAGACAUGAAAAAUAAAUUAUAAAGCAGGGAUAUUUUUGAUAUUAGCAAGUAAUUGACUUAAUUCAGAUUUCUCCAUUAAGUAAAAAGCCAAAAGAAUUGGCUUAUUUUAUUAAGUCAAAAUUAUCUAAAAAGUCUCAUUAAGUUAUAAAAACAAACACCUCUAAUUAACUUAAUUAAUUAAGUUAAGUCACUUUAAGUCAUUAAGUUAAAAAACAAACGCCACCUAAGAUAAAUCUUGUAAUAAGUUAAGUUAUAACGUAAAAAAUAUUUUCAAUUUAUAAUCAUUUAAGAAGUCAUUUAAUAAUAAAAUCUUUUUUUUUUAUCAGUAGGCCAUGCUACAGAGUAUCAUCUAUAUUCGUGGUGAUAUUAUUAUUACUCAGUAUCCUCAAAAAACACGAUUUAACAUUUAGAGAAAAUUCCUGCCUUUUAAAAAGAACAUGUAUGCAAUAGCUAGCCAUACUUUAUUUUACCACGACAAAAUUGAUGGUGAUUAAAUCAAUUUUCUCAAUUAAAGCAAAAUUUUUUAAAAUUGAUUUAAUGCACAAAUAUGAUGAUUUUUUGUAAAAAUUAGUUUUGGAAAAUAUAGUGAGAGAAAAUGGUGACGAUUAUUUUUCAAAUGUGCAAAUAGCCUAAACAUAAUCUCUAAUACCAAUAUCCAUGUGCAUCUUAACACCUUUCAUGAUAUUCUUUCAUUCAUGGCCAUUUGUUCAAGAUUUGAAUUUGAUUAUUAAAUUAUGUUCAAUAAUGUUAGAGAUCCCAACAAUUGAGUACCAACUUAAAUCCCAAUGCUAUGUGUCAUUAACAAAUGUUGUGUCAUUUAUAAUUAUUGAAUGAAUAAUUCGUUAAUUUAUUGAUAAAUGAAAAUUUAUUAAUUUAAAGAGAGAUAUUUUUUUUUGGUUUUAAGAAGAGUUUUGUUGGUACAUGUACAUACUUAUAAAGAAAUAAACUUGUAAUUAUACUAUAUCUUUCUUUCUUUGUUCAGUUUGGUGGGAUAUUGUGAUAAAUCAUUGGAUUAAAAUGCAUUUCUAAAUUGAAACUUGUUAAAAUCUAAUUUAUUUGGGAAACACAUGUUAUUUGUCAGUCGUACUUCUCAACUUAGCAAGUUAUUUCUAACUUGUCAGUCUCUAUUGGUUCUCUUAAAGUUAAUAGUCUCGAAUCUCCCGCAUUUGAUAUCUUGCCAUUACUCUUGGCAUUAACAUGUUACCUGAGAUUGGGAUUCAUUAAAAUCCUCAAUGUAAUCGGUGGAACGAAUGGAUUUCUUCUGUUCACCAAUCCACCAAAAUUUCUGUAAUUAAAUUCAAAAGUCAAGAUCUAUGCUUAUAAUCUAUUCAACAGUUAAUAUUCUAUUUUAUAUUUACUUAAAUAUGAAGAGCUAUGCUUGUCAUUAACUUCAAAUGUGAUCGAAGCAGCCUUACAUCUGUAUAUUACUUAUUCCCAACCUUUUUUUUGACUUCAUAUACUUUCUUUUCAUGUUAUUUACUCUUUUUUCCCCCCUCUCUAAUGGGGUCAAACUUGAAAGUAUCUUAAAAUCAGACAAUAAUUUUUUUUUUAUGAUAGAUGCUAAUAUGCUCUAUUAGGCAAUGAUAAGUAAUAACCUAGUUGUUUGCAUUAGAAAUGAUAUUUUUUGUGGUGCUGAUAAAGUGGUUGAGUAUGAUUCAACAAUUUAAAAUAUGAAAACAUGUGGAAGACGGCUGCAAAUAAAUUGAUUGUAUGAAAAUAUUUCAAUGAAAUUUUAAAAAUUUAAUACUUGUUAUCUUAUCGAGAGUUCCCAAAUAAUUGGGCUAGUUUAAUUACCGGCCUAAUUAUUGUAGCCACUAUUGUAUGUUCCCAAAUGAUCCCCGGGUUAGCUCAUUUAAUUGACUGCACCACUACUGGACUAAUAAGUAAGAUAACUAGCUAUUUGGGUCAAAAGCCUAAAUAUAUCAUUUAGUGGGAGGCUCCAUUUAAUUAGCUUUUGUAUAAGGGGCCUUAUGUUAUUUUACAAGGUGGGUCCCCUAUUGAAAAAGAAAAUAACGUGAGUUUUAUUUAGGGCAUUAUUUGGAGCCUAGGGUUUUCACUAAAGGGAGAUAUAUAAGGCUUAUUUUCUCUAAAGAAAAAAGAAAAGCCACUUUAUACAGAUCAGAGAAUAAGAUUUUUCUCUCCAUUGUUGAGAGAAAAAUUUUCUCGUGCUAGUUGCUUUGGUAGUGAUAAAGGCGCCCACACGUCAAGUGCAGAUCGAACCUGAGUCAUAACCUGGAAGAUCAUUGGUGACAGUUCAUGAUCUAACAAGCGUGGUGGUGACGGUUCGUGAUCUAACAAGCGUGGUGGUGACGGAUCGUGAUAUAACAAGAGUGGUGGUGGCGGAUCGUGAUCUAGGAGCCUAAAUCACUUCAGCGGAAAAAGCCAACUCGGAUUUUCAAGGUACGAUUUCUAGAAUACGAAUUCUUAUAUAUUAUAUGAGAGCGAUCUUCAAAAGGUUUUAUAAAAAUUUAAAAGCAGCAUGUGCUGCUGGCAGCUCGCUGCUGCGUAUGUAGCAACUGCAGCGCGCGAGCAGCAGCUGCAGUGCCCAAGCAGCAGCGUGAACGUGGGCUGGAGGCGCAGAGCGUUCUGGUUGGCGUCUUUCCGGCGUCGAUGACGGCUGUCCGGUGUGGAAACAGUAAACAACGGCUGGGUUUUUGUGCUGGUGGCGGCUGGGGAAGAAGAGGAAAAGAAAAAUGUGAUUUUAGGGUUCCAUGGUUUUUAUCGUGGAGGUCCCUAUAGCUUCAUAUUUUUCAGUUGGGCAGAAACGUUUUUUAAUUUUUUGCAUUUAAGUCCAAAAACCGUUUUGGGCUUAAAGAAUCCUAGUUUUAGGCCCAAUUUCAAUUGGGCUUAAUGGAUUAAAAAAAUGCAUAGACAAAAUUAAAUACAUUAAAUUUAUUUUUGGUCCAAAAGUUUUAUUUUAAUAAAAAAAAUUAAUUAUUUAUUUAUUUCCUUUCAAAAUUAAAAUUGGACCAAUUAUAAAUUUAAAAGCCCAAUUUCCCCUAGUCCAUUAACAAAAACAAGCUUAUGGAAGAUGGACAUUGACAAGAAGCCCAAUGAAGAUUAGGCAUAGGGUUAAUGUAUUUUUCAUUAUUAGGAAAGGCAUGAAUUAAGAUUAUUUAAUUGUUUUUCUAUAUGUUAUGUUUUGGAUGAUAACAUGCCAUGAUAACAUGUAAUAUAGAAUAGGUAGUGCCACUCUAUGCAUAAUGAUACAUGUCAUUCAUUAAUUAUGAAUUUCAUUAUAUUGUUUGAAAUUUGCGCAUGCUUAAUAAUAUUUGAUAUCAUCUAGAUAAUAUUAUAGGAAGCAUGCAAUUAACAAUAUGUAUGUUUUAAAAAGGAAAAACCAAUUUUAAAAUAUUGAGUGGGAGAGGGAAAAUUCAAGAUAAUUUUCCCACGGGCUCCAUUGUUAGUUCAAUAAUAAAAUUAUAUAUAUACCUCGACUUCAUGAUACAGUGAUGCUCAUUACGGAGGGUAUAUAUAUUAGAUAGUUUAUUUGAUGAACUUCUUCAAAGAUAAAAUUGAAAUAUUUUUCAAUCGAUUGUUCACCCCAACGGUGACUAUUGAUAUGAAAAAUACGUAGAUUGAAACAAUGGUUAUACACUCAACUAAAGUUUGUUAUUAAUCUUCCCAACGAAGCUCUGUUAACAAAUUUAGGCCCAAAAAGAUAACGAUAAUUAUUUAUCAUGUCUCUACAUGAAAGUAAAUAAUCCAAUGGGUAAUUGGGUCUAGUAAGUAUAGACAUGACUUCCCCACCGGAUAGCUUGUCAAAGCAGUACUAGAUUAUCGUUACAAUAAAUUAAAAUGCAUUUAUGGUUUUUUGCAUUUUUUUCAUUUAUUGUGAAUAUUGAUUCAAAUUAUUUAUGCAUGGAUGUUUUUAUUUUUCAGAAAAUGUCUUCCCUGAGCCCACUUACUAUUAUUCUGAGUCAAAACAAACUCACUGGAGAGAACUAUAUAGAUUGGAAAAGAAAUCUAUUCAUUGUCCUGACUGCUGAAAAUUAUAAAUAUGUCUUAACCCAGCCAUGCCCCCCAGUUCCAGCGGAUGAUGCUCAUAGAAAUCAGAGGAGGCUUUAUGAGAAAUGGCAAAAGGCCAAUGAAAUGGCAAAGUGCUACAUUUUAGCCUCGAUUUCUAAUAUUCUGCAGACCAAACAUCAGAACUUGGAGACUGCCACUGAAAUAAUGAAUAGUCUCCAACAGAUGUUCGGGCAGAGUACUCGCUCUGCGAGACAAGCAGCGCUGAAAGGAAUUAUGAACAGUAAAAUGGGGAAGGGCACAAGAGUUCGUGAUCAUGUCCUCAAAAUGAUGGACUAUUUGAAUGAGGCUGAGAUUCAGGGAGCACAAAUCGAUGAUAACUCAAAGAUUGACAUGGUGCUAGAAUCUCUGCCAGAAACAUUCAAGGAGUUUAAGGUCAAUUAUAACAUGAACAAAAGAAAUAUGACCUUAACUGAAUUGAUGAAUGAACUCCAUUCUGCUGAAGAGAUCUAUCGUGCUGAGAAAUCUCUGGGAAGCAUAAAUUUUACUGAAAAAAGUUCAUCUUCUGGGCCUAAACCGAAAGGCAAAGGUAAGAAGAAAGCUGGGAAAAAAAGACCGUCUACCAAGCAAGAUGGCAAGCCGAAAGGCAAAUGCUUCAAGUGUGGACAGAAAGGUCACUGGAAAAAGGAUUGCCCUAAGAUUGUGAAAUCAGGUAUGGGAAAUCUUUUUUGUAAUUGAGGCCUGUUUAGUUCAGAAUCCUAUUGACACUUGGGUGUUGGAUUCAGGAGCAACUAAUCAUAUUUGUAAUUCACUUUAUUGGUUUCAGGAAACCAGGAAAAUAAGUGAAAGAAGCGUCAAGCUGCAGUUAGGGACAGGACAGUUCGUGUCAGCAGUAAAGACUGGAUCUGUUUUAUUAUCUUUUAAUAAUGAGACUUUAGUUUUGAAUAAUUGUCUUUAUGUUCUAGACAUUAAGAGGAAUUUAAUUUCAGUAGCUUGUUUGUCAAAGCAAGGGUACACUGUAAAUUUUGGAUCCUCUGUUUCUAUUUUUCAUAAUAAGAGACUUAUUUGUUCUGGUACAUUGGAAGAUAAUUUAUAUCAUUUAAGUCCAAUGAUCCAUUCUAUGCAUGACACAGUGAUAAAUAAUAAUGAGCAUACACAUUUAUCUAAGAAAAGAAAUAUUUCUUCCAACCAAUGUUACCUCUGGCAUUUAUGCUUGGGUCAUAUAAACCAAAAUAGGAUACAAAGAAUGAUCAAAGAUGGGCUCUUGGGUCCAUUAGAAAAUGAAUCAUUGCCACUCUGUGAAUCCUGUUUAGAAGGGAAAAUGACCAAAAGGCCAUUCUCGGCCAAAGGAGUACGUGCAACAGUACCACUUGAAUUGGUACAUACAGAUGUAUGUGGACCAAUCAAUGUACAAGCUCGAGGAGGUUAUGAGUAUUUCAUCACUUUUACUAAUGAUUACUCAAGAUACGGUUAUGUUUAUCUGAUGCGUCAUAAGUCUGAAGCUCUUGAGAAAUUCAAAGAGUAUAGGGCUGAGACAGAAAAGCAAUUAGAUAAGAACAUAAAGAAACUUCGAUCUGAUCGAGGUGGUGAAUUUCUCUCAGGAGAUUUCAAAGAGUAUCUGGUUGAAAAUGGGAUUAUAUCUCAAUUGACUGCCUCGGGAACACCACAACAAAAUGGGGUAGCUGAAAGAAGAAAUAGAACUCUUUUGGAUAUGGUGAGAUCUAUGCUUAGUUAUUCUUCAUUACCAAUCUCUUUUUGGGGACUAGCACUGGAAACUGCAGUUUACCUUUUGAACUUAGUUCCAUCUAAGUCAGUGCCUAAAACCCCAAUAGAAUUAUGGUCAGGUCGCAAACCAAGUUUACGACAUGUCCGUAUUUGGGGAUCACCAGCACAUGUGCUGAAACCAAAGGCAGACAAAAUGGAUUCACGUUCUGAGGUUUGUAUGUUUGUGGGGUAUCCCAAAGGAACAAGGGGAGGUUUAUUUUAUAGUCCUCAAGAUAGGAAAGUGAUCGUGAGCACACAUUUCACUUCCCUUGAGGAAGACUAUAUGAAUAACUUCAAACCUAAGAGUAAGGUAAUACUUGAAGAGCUGUCAGGUGAUCAGGUUGAUGCUCAGCUUUCAACGCCUGUUACAGAACAGGAAGAACAGCAACAACCAGAUGAUCAACACAGGAUUAACCCUGAACAACCAUCACUUUUAUAACCUCGUCGUAGUGGGAGGGUAACUAGGUUACCUGCGAGAUACAUGUUUUUGGGAGAAAUCUAUACGGCUAUCUCAGAUGAACAUGUACAAGAUCCCACUAGUUACAACGAAGCUCUAAUAGAUAGAGAUGUUGAAUUUUGGAAAAAGGCCAUGAAUCAAGAAAUGGAUUCUAUGUAUUCCAAUAAAGUCUGGGAACUUGUAGAGGCACCAAAUGGGAUAAAACCUAUAGGGUGCAAGUGGAUCUACAAGAGAAAAAGAGGAGUAGACGGAAGGGUGGAAACAUUUAAAGCAAGAUUAGUAGCCAAAGGGUUUACUCAGAAAGAGGGAAUUGAUUAUGAGGAAACUUUUUCUCCGGUUGCUAUGCUUAAAUCCAUCAGGAUUCUGCUCUCCAUUGCUGUAAUGCUAGAUUAUGAAAUUUGGCAAAUGGAUGUCAAGACUGCCUUUCUUAACGGGCAUCUUGAAGAAAACAUCUACAUGCAGCAACCAGAUGGAUUUAUACAAAAAGGCCAAGAACACAUGGUAUGUAAGUUGCAGAAAUCCAUUUAUGGAUUGAAACAAGCAUCCCGGUCAUGGAACAUCAGAUUUGAUCAAGCGAUUAAAUCGUUUGGAUUCAUUCAGAACAUUGAUGAACCAUGUGUGUACAAGAAAAUUCAAGAAAAAUCUGUAGCCUUCCUAAUUUUUUAUGUAGACGAUAUUCUCCUAAUUGGAAACGAUAUAGGAGUAUUGACUACAAUAAAGAGUUGGUUAGCAAAACAAUUUGAUAUGAAAGACCUGGGAGAGGCAAGUUAUAUUCUUGGUAUCAAAUUACUACGAGACCAGAAGAAUAAAACUUUAGCCUUGUCUCAAGCGGUCUAUAUCGAUAAGAUAUUGGCUAGAUUUAGCAUGGAAAAUUCCAAGACUGGUUUAUUACCAUUCAGACAUGGAAUUACAUUCUCUAAGGAUCAAUCACCUAAAACAUCUGAAGAGAUAGAGAGAAUGAGACGAGUUCCCUAUGCAGAAGCUGUGGGAAGUCUUAUGUAUGCCAUGCUUUGCACUAGGCCAGACAUCUGUUUUGCGGUAGGGAUGGUUAGUAGAUAUCAAUCUAAUCCUGGACCUGAACACUGGACUGCGGUCAAGCAUAUAAUGAAGUAUCUGAAAAGAACUAAAAAUUAUAUGCUUGUGUAUUCUGGUGAUGAACUCAUUCCAGUGGGUUAUACUGAUUCUGACUUUAUGUCAGAUAAGGAUUCCAGAAAAUCAACUUCCGGCUAUGUGUUUACAUUGGGAAGUGGAACUAUUAGUUGGAGGAGUGUGAAACAAUCUUGUAUCGCAGACUCCACAACUGAAGCUGAAUAUGUGGCUGCAUCCGAAACUGCAAAAGAAGCUGUAUGGCUCCGCAAGUUCCUACAAGAUCUUGAGGUGGUACCUGCUGUAACUGCACCCCUUAAACUAUUUUGCGAUAAUAGUGGUGCGGUAGCUAAAUCUAAGGAACCACAAGAAACAAAAACAUAUUGAGAGGAAGUAUCAUCUUAUAAGGGAUAUAGUGCAGAGAGGUGAUGUGGAGGUUACUCAGAUUGCGUCACAGCAAAACUUGGCAGAUCCUUUUACUAAGGCCAUACCUGGGAAACCUUUUAACUUGCACUUGGAAUCCAUGGGCAUGCGUGAGAUGCCAAAUAUGCUUUGAGAGCUAGUGGGAGAUUGUUGGGAAAAUAUGCCCUUUAAAAGCAUAUGUGUUUAUUUAAUUGUAAUAAACAAUUUUUCUGAUUAAUAAAAUAAAUGAGGUAUUUUAUUCAAAUAUCUUAAUUGCAUUAAUAUUUGUAUUAAAGUCCAUUUAAUCAUAUUAUAUGUAUUUAUGUGAUCACCAUGUGGAUUCACAGAAGACAUAAAUACAAGUUAUCUUAUGAUUAAAUAAAUUUAGUUCGCAGUUGAUAAAUAAAGUUGGGCACUUUAUUUAGGUAUAGACUGUAAUAAAUUCAUUGAAUGAUUUGUCUUAAUCAUGUAUGAAUUUAUUGAUGUAGUACGACUACAUUAAACAGGAUCACAUGUGAGAUUUAAUUAACUUUGUAAUAACUGUCAGACUUAUUAAAUCUUAUAGGCAUUGAUUUUACUGUAAUCUUAAUCUUGAGUUAAUUAUGAUUUCAUGAUUGUAAUUGUUAUUCCAUUUGAGUUACCAAUGGGCACGACACAUCCUUGUGGUCAAGAUUACCCGGUAUCUUGGUGGGAGCAAUUAUGAGUAUUGGAGUUAUGGAUUAACAAUAUAGAAUUUGUACAACACAUCUCUCGAUAGGUUUUCGGCACUUGAUCAUAGAAUUCUUUGGCCAGAGUGUGUCAACAUAUUUAGUAUGUUGAAAAUGAUCAUUAGAGAAAACCAGUAAGGAUCAAGGAAUAAGAUGUUAUUAAAUUGAUUGGACAGUUGAGAUAUCAAUUUAAUUAACGAUGUGGUACAAAGGAUUGUGCAGUAAAGAAAUCAAUGUGGCUUGGGACGAAUUAUUAUUCGAGCAUACAAUUAUGGAAGUCAGUUCCAAUCUUUUAGUGGAGUAGAUUUGGAAUUAAAUAAUUGGGCUAGUUUAAUUACAGGCCUAAUUAUUGUAGCCACUAUUGUAUGUUCCCAAAUGAUCCCCGGGUUAGCUCAUUUAAUUGACUGCACCACUACUGGACUAAUAAGUAAGAUAACUAGCUAUUUGGGUCAAAAGCCUAAAUAUAUCAUUUAGUGGGAGGCUCCAUUUAAUUAGCUUUUGUAUAAGGGGCCUUAUGUUAUUUUACAAGGUGGGUCCCCUAUUGAAAAAGAAAAUAAUGUGAGUUUUAUUUAGGGCAUUAUUUGGAGCCUAGGGUUUUCACUAAAGAGAGAUAUAUAAGGCUUAUUUUCUCUAAAGAAAAAAGAAAAGCCACUUUAUACAGAUCAGAGAAUAAGAUUUUUCUCUCCAUUGUUGAGAGAAAAAUUUUCUCGUGCUAGUUGCUUUGGUAGUGAUAAAGGCACCCACACGUCAAGUGCAGAUCAAACCUGAGUCAUAACCUGGAAGAUCAUUGGUGACAGUUCAUGAUCUAACAAGCGUGGUGGUGACGGUUCGUGAUCUAACAAGCGUGGUGGUGACGGAUCGUGAUCUAACAAGAGUGGUGGUGGCGGAUCGUGAUCUAGGAGCCUAAAUCACUUCAGCGAAAAAAGCCAACUCGGAUUUUCAAGGUACGAUUUCUAGAAUACGAAUUCUUAUAUAUUAUAUGAGAGCGAUCUUCAAAACGUUUUAUAAAAAUUUAAAAACCGAAUUUUUUCACCAACACUAUGUAGCUAGAUGGCAUUUCUAGUGUUUCAAGGUUUAAAAGGGUGCAUAGCAGUGAAGGAAGGCAUUUGACCGAAGGGAUAUUCAAUUUCAAAUACUUCAAAAGAUAUAAAUUUUCUAAUCCGGGCGGAUAUUGGUCCAGGACUGCAAAACCCAAAUUCAAUACCUGAAGGUGUUUGAACUUUUUACAAAAAUUCUCGCAAUCUAUCAGAGCGAGACGAUCGCUUUCUGAACUGUGAUUCAGAAAAGAUUGGAGACGCAUGUCAGAAUAUUCUAAAGGAAAGAAGUCAAUCAGGCGUUCCACAAUGAAGCACCGUUUAACAUUUGCCACUGAUUCUUCUUCCAUUUCAGGCGUCAAGACAAAUCCCGUCUUCUUUGCCACAAAAUACAAUGAAGUAAAUUCAAGACUUGGAACAUAACACGCUUUAAUUGUGCCGCCGGCGCUUCUCUUACUCACUUGAAUGAAGCCGCGAUGGAUUAGUUCUUUCAAGUAAUGUUCGGCAGUUUCUUCAUCGUUGUAUGGUAUGAAACCUUCAGCUACCCACAACUGAUAUAAUUGCCUCGUGGACAUCUCAAUACUUGGAGGGAAGACACACAAAUAGAUGCAGCAGACUUUCAAGUGAAAAGGUAACUCCAUCACAGAAAAAAUUUAUCUCCAAACUGUCGGAAUCGCUUCGCCUUGAACAUAAUUUUCUAAUGGCAUACUUCCAUAGUGUAGGAUGAAAAAUUGCCAGGCUUCAUGCUUUAAUCUGAUCAAUGGUCCUCCAAAGAGCACUGAAUCACGCCGAAUCUUCUCUCCAUUUUCCAUUUCCAACGACGCAAGGAGGUGUGGAUCACUGACCAACAUCAAUACUCUGCUUCCAUUCUGAUUAUCAGGAAGAACUUUUUCAAGAUCACUCCAUAUCUUACUGUCAUCGAAGACAUCAUCAAGCACAAUAAAGUACUUCUUGUUUGUUAGGUAAUCUCGAAGAAUAGAUUUCUUCAAUUGAUAAUCUUCCCCGAUAAUUACACUAACCCGAGCUGGAGGCAUCACAGACUUGAUUAUGCCAUCCAAUAUCUUGCCAAAAUCGUAGGUUAUCGAAACCCUGACCCAAGCAAGACAGUCAAAAUAGAACUUGACGUGAUCAUUAUUGUAAGUAUCUGCAGCAAAAGCAGUCUUAUCGAAGCCACUGCUGUCGAGAAUUGCAACCACUGCAAGCCCAGAUGGUCCCUCAAUCAAUAGAUCAAACAACUCCUCCCUGCCCCUUUGAAAUUCAUUGAUAUCGAGCCGAGGUUGUCCCUCAUUCAAUAGGCGAAUGAUUUCGUUACUUUUCUCACUGAUAUCAAAACCAUUGUCGCCGGGUGGAAGUUGUUGCAUCCGAUUUCUAAUAUCAAUGAUUUUAGUGUGGAGUCCAACAAGAAGAGCCAUAUCAGUACUGCUUUCACUUUCGUUUUCACUGUUUUGCUGCUGCAUGAUGUUGAUGAAGAAUCUGUCAAUGGCUUCCUCAGAUUCAUGGACAAAGUCAUUGAUGUCCUCCAGAAUUUCCAAAAUAUCUGCUCUUUCAACAUCUUCUUCAUCGCUUUCUUCUAAGUCCAACAGUUCAUCGAAAUCUUCUCUAAGGAGUUGAAACAAAUGCCGAGCCAUGUCAACUUCAUAUUUUCCCAGCAGAGUAGUAGCAAUAAUUUCGGACUCCGUAAGAAGGUUUUGAAAAAGUGGAGUUAAAUUUGUUGAAUCUGGCAGCGGCAACGUGCCUUCUUCACCUGCUAACACCCUUUUCAACCUCUCACGAAAUAGUCGGAGGUGGACGUCCAGCAUAUCUCCUUCUCUCUGUAUCACCCAGAGGUAUAGUUGAAAGAUUAAACACCAUGGAAGAAUUUGAAAGGAAAAUGCCAAGAAACUGUGUAAGUGGCUAAACCAUGAAAAAUUGAUCAUUUUUUUGCAUUGUAAGUUGCGCGUUCAUUUAGAGAAAAGUCCAAGACGCGUGCCUUUUGCAAAGAACAGGUAUCCCAAUCGGUAUCCAACCUUUAUCUUAUUUAAUUACUACCAUGACAUAAUUGAUGGUGCUUAAAUCAAUUGUUUCUUUUUUAAUUUAAAGAAUUUUUCAUUAAAAAAAUAUUUUAAUAUCAAAUUGCCUUCAGUGGCGUAACAACUGCCUCAAGCCCAGUAACAGGACUAAUUAAAAAUUUUACAAUUUUGGGGCAUGGAAAUAGUAGUAUUAAACAUUAGAAAGGUAAGGUUGUUCUGUUAAAGAAUUGAUAUUGACAUAAUUUUAUUUUGGUUUUCGUGGAAAAAAAAAAUUUGUUGACAAGCAAGAAAAUAUUUUAUCAUAUAAAAGUAAUUUUAAAAAUAAAUAGAAACAUAAUAUUACAAUAAAUAAAUUAAAGUUUAAAUUAUUUGGAAUAUUAUAAAAAAUAAUGUUAAUAUUAUUAAUAGGAAGACAUUUUGUUAAUUUUAAAAUCUUUUUAAUCCAAAGGUUUAUUUAAAAUCUCUAUAAUAAAUACAAAUAUAAGAUUAAAAUAAAAAUCAUAAUUUGAAAUUUUUAAUAUUAUUUUAAAUGUUAAAUAUACUUUAAUGUUAUUAGCCUACUACGUAGAUUUUAUUAUUUAUAUUAUAUUCGUAUUGAUUAAAAUUUUUUAAAGUCAAUUUUUUAGUUAGUACAUUCAAGAGGUAUUAUAGUUAAAGAAAAGAUUUUGGUGCAACUGUUUUAAAAUUUCAGCGUCUAAAUGAUAAUUUUUUUAAAAUUUAAGGAAGUAGGUAUUAUUUUUCCAACAAUUAUUUUACUUUUGAGGGAAAUCCGAUAAGAAAUAUCAUCAAAGAACAUUAAUUUAACAUUCUUUACCUUUAUGAAAAAAGUGAAAACCAAGAACUAUUCAAUUUUGUAUUUUUUGUUUGUAAUUCAAAAAAUGCAUCCACCAAACAUGCUUAUCUUGAUUUUCCCACUUUAUUCAUUUUCGAUGCUUUUCAAAAGAGGUUCCUUUACUGGUCAUUGUCUACACUAUCAAACAAGUUGAUGGAAAUUGAACCCAUUAAGUUAUGUUCAUUACUGGUCAUUGUCUUUCUAUGAGCCACUUAUUUGGAGCAUUAGCGAUCUUAUAAGGAAUCAUGCCUUUUCAGGAUCGUUUUCUUUCAUUUCCCUAUUGUAGUAGUUAAUUAAAUAAAGAACGAACAGCUGAACUUGGUCUAUUUCGAGGAAGACCAAGGCUUCCAAUACUAGAGGAACUUUGAAGAAAAUUAAUUGGAAACCUUUAUUCAUCUUUGAAGAAAAUUACGUGCCAAUGUAACGAAGGCUUUUAUUCAUCUUCGGACUAUGAAUUUGUACAAAAACAUUAACAGAAAAUAAUAAAGACACAGCUAAAUGAUAGCAGCAAGUGCUGAUUUAGUGAACCACUUCUACAAGUAAAUAAAAACUAAAUAUUUAUUUUGACUAUAACAACAACUACCCUCUUGAAUAGGACUCUACAGCAGCCACAUGACAACUAAUUUCUCCAUAAUAUUAUUAUUAGUAGAAGUAGAUUUUCAAAAUUGUCUUGAUAUAUUUCAAAGUUGUAUUAUCAGCGUAUAUGUAUCUAGAUUGUAACUAUAUUUUAAAAAAUAUAAAAAUUUUAAUUAUUGCACAGUAAUGUAGAACAAUAUCUACAAAAUAAUAUUGUUAGGACUAAGAAAAAAUAUUAUUUUAGAUAAGUUAUUUAUUUAUUAUUGAAUGAAAAAUUUAUCAUGAUAAAUGAAUAUUUAUUAAUUUAAAGAGAGAUUUUUUUUGGUUUUAAGAAGAGUUUGUUUGGUACAUGCACACACUAAUAAAGAAACACAAAAAGUGCUUCCUCAAGUCAAUAGUAUUUGCUUUAAUUGCUAAGGUGCAUAAUAACGUAGCUUAGUUAGGAAAUUUGUAAUUAUAUUAUGGCUCCGUUUGGUAUAAUUUUUUAACUAGAACUUAUUUAAGGAGGGCUUUUAUUAGUAGAGUUUUUAUAAAUAGAGAUUUAACAAAAAAAAUUAUAGUUAUUUAGUUGUCAAUGUACAAAUUGAUGAAUUAUUGUUCUUUUUGUUAACAUGUGUUUGUUUUACUUAAUAAUAAAAGUUUAGUUUACAACAUUGAAGUUCAGCAGAGCAUUUUUGCAGCCAGUCACAUUAUACAUUAUACUAAUAGCAUCGGCAAGAGUUUUCGAUUGUUGCAACUUGCAAUGCACACGAUGCGAGAAAAUGAGAAUCUUGUUUAAUUGCAAUAUUGACAAACCUAAUCCUUUCGUAGGGAGUAAUUUAAUAAUCGUUCGUUAGUUGAAGCGUUAAUUUAAUAAGCGUUGAUUUCCCUUCGAUAACUCGAAGUCCACGACGAUUCUUCUUCUUCUCUGCUGCUCAUUACGCUUCUACCCAAACCCUAGGAUUCAAACCUUUGCUUAGGAGAGAAUCAAAGCGAUUGGUGUUGGAGGUGAUUGAGGCUCUUAGAAGCUUAGAGGUGUGUUAAUUCAAAUUCUUUUGUCGAGAUAAGUAAUUUCAUUCCUAAUAUACUGGAUAUGUAUAAGUAUUUUGAUGUUAUUAUAAGAGUUUUUAUACUUCUUAGAAGAUUAAUAGAUUUUCAUACCAAAAUUAGUUUAUGAAAAUGUUUUCAAAUCUGAAUUCUUUUGAUAAAAUAUUUUACAAAUGCGUUUUAAUAUGUAAAUUAUUUUAUGACAUGACUGCCUUUUAUGAUUUUGUCUAUGAAAUAUUUUUGCAAGCCUAAAUUGUUGCUAUAGACUUUCAUGAAUCUAAUAUGAAUGUUUUGUGCCUAUGUAUGAUUUUAAUUAUUUAUGACUGUACGGGGGCCACCUCUUGAGAUUAUAUGGGGGCCACCUCUUGAGGGCCAAAGCGCCGCAAAGUGCCACAUAGAGUGCAAAGUGCCAUGUAUAAGUCAUUAUGUUUUGGCUCAUUGUCCGUAGUUAUUCUGAUUCUAAUUCUGAUCGUAUUAUACGAUAUAUUUGUUCUGGACUAGUACUAGGUUUAUGUUCUAAGUGUGCACACGAUAUUCUGAUUCUGUUUCUGGUCAGGUCACCGAGACUAUAGGUGAUACUAUGUGACAUGAGCUAACUAUCUGCUUUCUGUGUACACUUUAUACGAUUUGCUUUCAUAAUUGAUUAUUCUUUUGAUACUCUGAAUUACCAUGAAUUUAUGUUAUAUAAUUGAAAUAUGUUGUUUUAUGAAGUUUAUGACUUAUAAUAUAUGUUUUUGAAUAAAAGAAGGCUUGCAAUAUUUUUGAUAUCGAUAGGCCUAGUGUAUUAGGAAUGAUUUUACCUACCGAGUUGACAGCCCACCCCUCGUUAUUACUUUUUGCAGAUUAAGUUCCUUUUAAGAGGUAUGCGUAGCUUUGGAGUUAGAGAUUUCGUUUCCGUUUGCUAUUUGAAUAAGAAGAGGAAUAGACUCAUGUUUCUUUUUAGUUUAUUUCUGUUAUGAGCUUGUAAUUUGGAGUUUGAGACUUUUGUUAUUGUUAUGUUUUGGAAGAGAUUAUUUAGUGUUAGACGUAUUAAUUUGCGGAUUUAUUUGAAUAAGAAUUUGAGGUAUUUGAGCUUGGAAUUUAUAAGUAAGGAUUACGAUUUGUAAGUAACCUCAUUCUUCAUGUGCUCCGCACGUGUUAGAUUUGGGGUGUUAUAUGUUUCGUAUAACUUUUCAAGUAGAGCUUAUUUAAAUAGAAUAUUCGUCAAUAAAGCUUCUAUAAAUAUAGAUUUUACUAAAAAAAAUUUAGUUGUUUGGUUGUCAAUGUCCAAAUUGACGAACUUUUGUUCCUUUGCUAACAUGUAUUUGUUUUACUUAAUAAUAGAAGUUUAGCUUACAAUUACACCGGCGUCAAAUCAACAGAGCAUUUUGGCAGCCAGUCACAUUAUACAUUAUACUAAUAGCAUCGGCAAGAGUUUUCGGUUGUUGCAACUUGCAAUGCACGCGAUGAGAGAAAAUGAGAAUCUUUUCUAAUUGCAAUAAUGACAAACCUAAUCCUUUCGUUGGGAGUAAUUUAAUAAUCGUUUGUUAUAAUUGAAUAUGUAUAAAGAAAGGAAAAUUCUAUUCAUAGAUUUCGACUUAUUUUUUGUUUAAAGUAAUUAAUCAUUCAACCAUCUUCAUUUGCCUCUGGCCAGUGCCCUUGUAGAUUAGUUGAAGCGUUAAUUAAUUCAGAUAAUUACAACGUCCUUUUCGCUAAUUAAUUAUGAUUAUAUAUGUUUCAUAUAGCAAGUGGCUUUGUAGAUCUAAACCAAGUUGCUAUUUCAAAACGUUAAUUAAGUGAUUCUCCUCAUUGUCAUCAGCGUUAUACGCUCUAGGAAAAUAGCUCAAUUGUUUCCCUGCAUUGACUUUCAUUGGUAAGUGAUUUCUUAUGAAAUUCUUUUGAGCUUUCCUUAUUAAAAAAGCUUGAGCUUUUAUCACCUAAUGCGGAUAUCAAUUAACUUGUGAAUGAUUUUGCAAUGAAACUAGGAGUUAAAUAAGAUUUUUACAUGAUGAAUUUUUAUUUUUUUAAUUUUUUGAUGUAGUCAAUUUGCUAAUUUUAUGUAUUUCAUAUUCAACGGAAUUUGGGCACGGAAAGUUUGGAUUCUAAUAUUUAUAUGUUUAGCUUUAAUCAGUUUGACUUUCGUAAUCUUUUUCCCCUCAUCAUUAAGGGAUUCAGAAUUAGAGAAACGUUAGGAAGAGGAAGAAAAUAAUUUCGGAAAUAAGUAAGAGGGAAAAAAUUAUUAAAUUAGGAAUGAUUUUUUGUAGAGUAUGUUCCGUUUACUAAACUGAAAUCGAAAUGAGCUGGAAUCAGAAUGGAUAGAAAUGCGAAUGCGCUGGAAUGAGAAUAAGUAAUGAGAAUCAGAAUAAGUUGUUUACUUGAAUUGUAAGAAUCGAAAUCGAAAUGAGCUGGAUUGCAAUUACUUUGUCCUACAAUUAGAAUCGGAAUGAGUUAGAUUGUAACAAAUUACUAAAAGGUACUUAAUGAAUUAUUGUCAUAAUAUUAUUUUAUAUUUUAAUUAUAGUGAUUAUUUAUUCUAAAAUUAUUAUUAUUAAUUAUUUUCAAUAAUAUGUUAAUAUGUUAAUUAAUUUUAAAAAUUAUUAAUUAAUUUAUUAUAAUAAUAUACUAAUUAAUUAUAAUAAUUAUUAUAAAAAUAUAUUAAUUAUUAAUAAUGAAAUUACUUAUUUAAUUAUAAUAAUAUAUUAAUUAUUGUGAUUAUUUAUUCAAAAAUUAUAAUUAUUAAUAAUUAUUGUUAAUAAUGUAUCAAUAUAUUUUAUAUUAUGAAAUUGUGAUGUAUUGUAGACAAAUAAGGAAUUUGGUACAAUAAAUUCUUAAUAUCUUAGUACAAAGUAUGGUAAAAUGGUAUUUUAACUUAUUGUAGACAGAUUAAAUUUCGACACACUUAAUCCAUGAUAAAAUUAAUGGAAAAUAAUGAUAAUUUAUACAAUUAAUCUUUUGAGCAAUAAAAAAAUAAAAGAAAAAGAAGUUACUAAAUUAUGUUUACUGCUAAGAGUGAAUCCACAAUCCUAAAUAAUUAUUUCCAUCGUUUCACUUAAAUUAAAUAGUGUGAAUUUAAAUUCUAAUUUUUUGAUAAAUUAAAAAGAAAUAAAAAAUUAAAAUUUUUCUCUAUGGAUCGACCUCGGAUUGAUCAAUUUAUUUCAUAACAACACACUUUUAUACUUGAGAGUUAUAAAUCACUUUGAAGUUGUGUUAAGUUUUUGACGCUCUUACGGGGAAAAAAUAUUUAUUUUAUUUUAUGUAUGGGUCAAACUUGAAAGUAUAUUUUAAGAUAACUGCUAAUAUGCUCUAUUAGACAAUGAUAACCUAGUUGUUUGUGGUGUUCAUAAUGAGUUUAAUUAUGAUUAAACAAUUUAAAAUAUGAAAAAAUAUGGAAGAUGGCCGUAAUUAAAUUGAUUGCAUGAAAAUAUUUCAAUGAAAUUUUAAAAAUUUGGUACUUAUUAUCUUAUCAAAAGAUUUUUAAAUUAUAUUACUACUUCAACUUAACUCCUCCUGGAUUGAUUGUAUUGAAUUUCCAGCACUGCCAUUGCUUCUACUUGAAAGCCAUUUAAGUUUGUGUAAGCUACCUAUAGUUUGAAUAACAAUUUACUCAUGAAUUGCCGUUCAUGAUAACAAUUUGAUUGAAAGUGCGGCUCCACUAAUUGUCUAGAUGAUUUUUUCCCACAUGUUUGUUCUCGUACGACCCCAGAAUGCUGUUAUAUCAGUUGUAUUGGAAAUUAAUCAACUGGUUACAACUCUACACCCCAUCAAUAUUUAAGCAGUCUACAGAACAUUAAUUGUGUUUUGAAAUUUUAAUGAGUCUCACGUGUUUUUCACGUGAUAUGCAGUAAAAACAAAAUUAAAAAAAUGUGAACAUUCAGCCCCAAAAUCCCCAACUCCUUCCAAAUUGGUUCCGCAGCCCCCAAAUCCCUUAAACCCAAAUCACUCUAAAAAGACUCUCCUCAGCCAAAAAGAAAAAGGUCACCUCACCUCUCCUCUUCUUCUUCCAUGGCGAUCAACGGCGGCACAAGCACGGGCUGAUCUCCUUCGUCGGUAACGAUCAACGGCGGUACAAGCAUGGGCAGAUCUUUUUUUGGCAAUGAUCAACAGCGGCACAAGCACAGUCGUCCUCAGGUACGGAUUUGAUGUUGGUUGUGUUGUCAAGUAGCGAUUCAUGUUUGGAAGAGAAUCCGCUCGCAAGGACCUGGAGCACUUAAUCGAAGAUCUUAAGCGAGGAAUUCGCUUCCUCCUCAUUCCUAAUCGGUGCCUGGUUCAUCAGUAUGAUUAAGGAUGAAAAUUGAGAAAGAAGGACGCAUUAGGUUUGAGACAUUGGUUGAAAAGCGCUACCCCGGUGGCCACGCUGGAAACAUAUGUUCCGUGGCUUCUUGCGUUGUCUGUGAGGAAUAUGUACUGCUGUAGAAGAUAAUUAUGAAUCAAUGGUAAUUGGCGUGUUGGUUUUGGUGCCGAUUUCCUCUUAUUUUCCAGAAAAGGCUUGUAAUUUGUUCACCUCAAGAUUCAAUUUGUUAUUGAAAAUGGAUGGCUGUAAAGACCUACUGGCCUUUCAUUAUAUUAAUGUUUUUGACAGUAAGUUUGUAAUAGUUAGUGCAGGGAACUUAUUGAUUCUUGAUUAUAUAUAACGGUGGCCCUUAUUACUUUAAAAAAAAAAAAAAAAUUGAUGAUGGGUUUCGUUUUGUAUAAGUGUUUGGAGUGUUGGAAAAUGAACAUUGUAUAUUUUAGAUAGUUGAGUUCCAUAGUAGUGAAAAGCUACGGAUUUGUUUUCUUUGUAUUGAAAUGUGUUUUGACCAUUAUAUGUUGUUUGAUUGGUGAUAGUUUUAUGUUUGUCAGUUCCAGUAGUCUCUUAAUCGCCAUCUGGCAUGGAAACUCACUGUGAAUAUGUGAAGAAUGCAGUGAUCAUAAGGAGUAAAUGAACGAUCAAACAUGCUAAAAUUAAAUACCAAAAAAUAAAAUAAAAUAAAAUAAAAUUGGAACUGGAAGAGUAAAUAGCAAAAGAUUGGGCGAAAAUUGAAUACCAUAACAAAAAAAAAAUUAAAAUAAAUUCAAACGACAAGAGCUAAUUAAGAGCAAAAAGAUGCUUGACUUACCAAGAGCAAGGACCAAGCAAAUGGUUUUACAUUCGGGCUUGAUGGUGAACUGGUUGGAGAUGGGUACGAAUGUGAUCUCGUUGAGAUUUGGAGAAGAGAACGGGGGAAUGGCCACAAUAUCUUUGUUACUUUUUUUUUUAAACUUUAUUUUACUGUUGAUCACAUGAAAAUCACGUGCAAGUCAUUAAAAUUUCUAAACACAGUUACUGCUGUCGUUUCGAUGUUCUCGGGCUAUCACAUGCUCGGUACGUCUAUCACUACUCGUCAAAAAAAAUGACACGCGUUCAUUUCCAAGACGCGUGCCUUACUACCAUGACAUGAUUGAUGGCGCUUAAAUCAAUUGGUUUUUUUUUUUAAUUUAAAGAAUUUUUCAUUAAAAAAAUAUUUUAAUAUCAAAUUGCCUUCAAUGGCAUAACUGCCACAAGCCCAGUAACAGGACUAAGGGUACGUUUGAGAUUGAGGUUGGGCAGCUGUACCUUUUAAGCUACAACACUAAAGUGCUUGGUAAACACUAGCUGCUCUAGGUUGGAAGCUAUAUUAAUAUGAUUUUUCACUUGUAUAAUAGAAAAUAUAUUAUAUCUUUAAUAAUUUUGUCAAAUUUAUAUUUACUACAUAUUAUUAAUUUUUGUUUUAUAGUCACAGCUUUUUUUCCACAGCACCUGUAGCUUAAAAGAUACAGCACCUCAAUCCCAAACGCAUCCUAAUUAAAAAUUUUAGAAUUUUUGGGCAUGGAAUUGAAAAGAGUAGUAUUAAACAUCAGAAAGCUAAGGUUGUUCUGUUAAAGAAUUGAUAUUGACAUAAUUUUAUUUUGGUUUUUGGGGAAAAAAAAUUUGUUGACAAGCAAGAAAAUAUUUUUAUAUUUUACAAUUUAUUAUACAUAUUUUAUCGUAUUAAAGUAAUUUUAAUAAUAAAUAGAAGCAUAAUAUUAAAUAAAGUUUAAAUUAUUUUGAAUAUUAUAAAAAAUAAUUUUAAUAUUAUUAAUAGGAAGAUAUUUUGUUAAUUUUAAAAUCUUUUUAACCCAAAGGUUUAUUUAAAAUGUUUAUUAUAAAUAAAAAUAUAAAAUUAAAUAUCAUAAUUUAAAAUUUUUAAUAUUAUUUUAAGUAUUAAAAAUAUUUUAAUGUUAUUAGUCUGCUACAUAGAUCAUAUUACUUAUAUUAUAUUUGUAAUGACUAAAAAUUUUUAAAAUCAAAUUUUUUAGUUACUAUAUUUACGAGAUAUUAUGGUUAAAGAAAAGACCUUGGUGUUACUUUUUACAAAUUUGAGUGUCUGCAUGAUAAUUUUAUCAAAAUUUAAGAAUGUAUGUGUCCUUUUCUCCAAUAAUUUAUUUCACUUUUGAGGGGAAUCCAAUGAGAAAUAUGAUAAGAGAAUGUCAAUUAUUUGUCAUUUUCUAUUUUUUCUGUAAGCUAUUCAUUUUGAGCAUUAGUGAUCUUGUCUGGACUACUCCAAUUAUUGAUGUAACUCCAGUGGCUGCAUCCACAGUUGAAUAUAUGAUAGUGUUAGCUCUUAUUUGAGAAUUCAGAGGGAUCUUCUAUGUUUAUCAAUUGCAAUGUGCUAGUAUAAAUUUCUUUACCUCACAGUUUAUAUAGUCUUGCUGUUAAAGAACUCACUGAGGCAUUAUUGACUCAAUUUCAGUGGAGCAAUCGCGCGUAGUGGAUAAAUAAAGGAUAACAGAACAGAGCUGAAGUGCUAAAUUGGCUAUUAAAGAAGGGUGUCACAUGAUCACAAUCACAUUGGUGCACAACUAGAGUUAGGCAAAUUUUGUCUAUAUGUACUCUAAAUUCAGACAAACCAUACAUGCAUGAACAAAAAUUAAACCGUCGUUCUAAUCACAACAGUAAUUGAAGCUACAAAAGCCAGCAAAUCUGAACAAAGACUUAAAAGAAAGAUCUUAUUCAAGUUGUCCCCAAAAGACAGCUGAAAUGAAUAAUAUUGACUAUUGAUUGGGUCAAUGCUGAAUUACAUUUCAAUAGGAAAGCUUGGCAGCAGUUACAAUGUUUCCCCCUCUGAUUUUCGUCCAAAACAAAUUCAGUUGUAAACAACAAUCGAAGUAGAAAUAAUUUAUUCAUCAAAGAAAAUACCCAAGUUUUCAACAAACAAAUCUUCUUGUCUAAACUAAAAAAACUCAUCUCUAAAAUCUAUCUGCAAAAUAUUGGAAAUGAGGAGUGAUCCGUCAACUCCAUAAAUAAACUCAUGCAUAAUGUUAACAAUAAUGAUAAAUUACAUAAUAAUUAUUAUAAAGAAUCAUAAAUUGGAAACACUAAUCAUUCUACAAUCUAUUAUAUAAGUAAGAUAAAUCUCAUAAUAAGUUAAGUUAUAAUGUAAUAAAUAUUUUCAAUAUAUAAUUAUUUAAGAAGUCAUUUAACAAUAAAAUAUUUUUUUUAUUCAAUUGAUCAUAUAGCGUUAUCUAAACUCAUGACGAAAUUAUUAUUACUCACUUUUCUAAAAAAAACAUGAUUAACUUUUAGAGAAAAGUCAUGCCUUUUAGAAAGAAUAUUACCGUGACAAAAUUGAUGGUGAUUAAUUCUAUUUUUAAAAUAGAUUUAAUGCACAAAUAUGGUGACUUUUGGCAAAAAUUAGUUUCGGAAGAUAUAGUGGUAGAAAAUAGUGAUGAUUAUUGUUUAAAUGUGUAAAUAGCCGAAGCAUAGCCCGUGAUACCAAUAUCCAUUUGCACCUUCAUUUGGAUUAUCACAUUUCAUGAUAUUCUUUCGUUCAUGACCAUUGUUCAAGAUUUGAAUUUGAAUACAAAUUAAGCUGCAAGGGAGCUUACUUCGGUUUCUAAGCUUUUCAAUUGUGAUUCCUGCAUGCCUUGCUCUGAUACUAUUUUGUUACUUGCCAAUGUAACCAACCUUGUAAUUGGUCUGUAUAAGAAAUCAAGCCCUUUCAGGAUUGUUUUCUUUUGUUUCUCUAUUGUAGUAGUCAACUAAAUAAAGAAUGAACAACUGAACUUGAUCUAUUUUGAUGAAGACCAAGACCUCCAAUACUAAAUGAACUUUGAAGAAGAUUAAUCUACUGCUUUUAUUCAUCUUUGGACUAUGAAUUUAUACAAAGACUUUAACAGAAAAUAACAAAGACAUAGCUAAAUGAUAGCAACAAGUGCUGACUUAGUGGACCACUUCUACAAGUAAAAAAAGACUAAAUAUUUAUUUUGACUAUAACAACAACUACCCUGAUGAACAGGACUCCACAUCAGCCACGUGACAACUAAUUUCUCCUUAAUAUUAUUAUUAGUAGAAGUAGAUUUUCAAACUAGUCUUGAUAUAUUUCAAAGUUGUAUUAACAAUGUAUAUGUAUCUAGAUUGUAACUAUAUUUUUAAAAAAUAAAAUAUUUUAAUUAUUGCACAGUAAAUGUAGAAGAAUAUCUGUAAAAUAAUAUUAUUAGGACUAAAAAAAUAUUAUUUUAGAUAAGUUAUUUAUUUAUUAUUGAAUUGAUAAUUUAUUAAUUUAUUUCUAAAUGAUAUUUAUUAAUUUAAAGAGAGACUUUUUUGGUUUUAUGAAGAGUUUGUUUGGUACAUGUUUACACUUAUAAAGAAACACAAAAAGUGCUUCCUCAAGUCAAUGGUAUUUGCUUUAAUGGCUACGGUUCAUAAUAAUAUAGCUUAGUAAGGAAAUUUGUAAUUAUAAUAUGACUCUUUUAGUACAACUUUUCAAGUAGAAUUUAUUUAAGUAGAGAUUUUGUUAGGAGAAGUAUUGUUAAUAGAGAUUUCACAAAAAAAAUUUUAAUUAUUUGAUUAUAAUAUCCAAAUUGAUGAACUUUUGUUCUUUUGUUAACAUCUGUUUGUUUUACUUAAUAAUAAAACUUUAGUGGGUUUGGCUACAAAUAAAAGUUUAGUGGGUUUGGCUACAAUGCCGUUGGCAUUGUUCCCGGCACCAUGCCGGGCUCUAAAAAAGAGAGCCCGGCUGUCUUUGGCUGCCAUUUGGCAGCCAAAGACUUGGUGCAGCCGGUUAACAAACCGGUUGCACCAUAUUUUUUAAAAAAUAUAUAUUAAAAAUAGAAUAUAAAAAUGAAAAAAAUUAAAUAAAAUGUCAAAAAUAAUUUUUAUAAUAUAAUUAAUAGCAAAAGAUAAAGAAAUUAAAUUAUAUAAUACAAACCCUAUAGUACAAUAUGAUAUAAUUAAAUAAAAUGGCAAAAAAUAAAGAAAUUGAAAAUGAAAAAAAUUGUAUUUCAGUUUUAACGUUAGUUAUUGCAUGUCCGACGUCCCGAUUUCAUGUUUGACAUAAGAAGUUGCAUGUUUUGGAUAAAACCAAAAUAAAGAAUAUUCUGGAAUAUUCUCGUCUGUUUCAUGUUUGACGUCAAAGUUGCGAACUUUACGUGGUAAGUUGCAUAUUUCGCGUGAAGUAUUGCGAGUUUCAUAUUUAACAUCAGUUGUUGCAUUUUUUACGGUUGGAUUUCAUGUUUGACGUACGAUGUUGCAUGUUUUGAAUAAAGCCAAAAUAAAGAAUAUUCCGGAAUAUUCUCGUCCGUUUCAUGUUUGACGUUGAAGUUGAGAACUUUACGUGGUAAGUUGCAUAUUUCGCGUGAAGUAUUGCAAGUUUCAUAUUUAACGUCAGUUGUUGCAUGUCGAACGUCACGGUUGCAUGUUUGACGUAAGCUGAUGCAUGUCUUGAAUAAAGCCAAAAUAAAGAAUAUUCUCGAAUAUUCUCGUCUGUUUCAUGUUUGACGUUGAAGUUGCGAACUUUACGUGGUAAGUUGCAUAUUUCGCGUGAAGUUUUGCAAGUUUCAUGUUUAACGUCGGUCGUUGCAUGUCGGACGUCACGGUUGCAUGUUUGACGUAAGCUGAUGCAUGUCUUGAAUAAAGCCAAAAUAAAAAAUAUUCUCGAAUAUUCUCGUCUGUUUCAUGUUUGACGUCGAAGUUGCGAACUUUACGUGGUAAGUUGCAUAUUUCGCGUGAAGUUUUGCAAGUUUCAUAUUUAAUGUCAGUUCUUGCAUGUCCGACGUCCCGAUUUCAUGUUUGACAUAUGAAGUUGCAUGUUUUGGAUAAAACCAAAAUAAAGAAUAUUCCAGAAUAUUCUCGUCCGUUUCAUGUUUGACGUCGAAGUUGCGAACUUUACGUGGUAAGUUGCAUAUUUCGCGUGAAGUUUUGCAAGUUUCAUAUUUAACGUCAGUUGUUGCAUUUUUUACGGUUGGAUUUCAUGUUUGAUGUACGAUGUUGCAUGUUUUGAAUAAAGCCAAAAUAAAGAAUAUUCUCGAAUAUUGACGUUGAAGCUGCGAACUUUACGUGGUAAGUUGCAUAUUUCGCGUGAAGUAUUGCAAGUUUCAUAUUUAACGUCAGUUGUUGCAUUUUUUACGGUUGGAUUUCAUGUUUGACGUACGAUGUUGCAUGUUUUGAAUAAAGCCAAAAUAAAGAAUAUUCCGGAAUAUUCUCGUCCGUUUCAUGUUUGACGUUGAAGUUGCGAACUUUACGUGGUAAGUUGCAUAUUUCGCGUGAAGUAUUGCAAGUUUCAUGUUUAACAUCCGUCGUUGCAUGUCGGACGUCACGGUUGCAUGUUUGACGUAAGCUGAUGCAUGUCUUGAAUAAAGCCAAAAUAAAGAAUAUUCUCGAAUAUUCUCGUCCGUUUCAUGUUUGACGUCGAAGUUGCGAACUUUACGUGGUAAGUUGCAUAUUUCGCGUGAAGUUUUGUAAGUUUCAUGUUUAACGUCCGUCGUUGCAUGUCGGACAUCACGGUUGAAUGUUUGACGUAAGCUGAUGCAUGUCUUGAAUAAAGCCAAAAUAAAGAAUAUUCUCGAAUAUUCUCGUCCGUUUCAUAUUUGACGUUGAAGUUGCAAACUUUACGUGAUAAGUUGCAUAUUUCACAUGUAGUGUUGUAGGUUGCAUGUUUAACGUUCGUUGUUGCAUGUCCGACGUCCCGAUUGCAUGUUUAACGUAAGAUGUUGCAUGUUUUGAAUAAAGCCAAAAUUAAGAAUAUUUCAGAAUAUUCUCGUCUGUUUCAUGUUUGACGUCGAAAUUGCGAACUUUACGUCAUGAGUUUUAUAUUUCGCGUAAAGCGUUGCAGGUUGUAUGUUUAACGUUAGUUAUUGCAUGUCCGACGUCCCGAUUUCAUGUUUGACGUCGAAGUUGCGAACUUUACGUGAUAAGUUGUAUAUUCUACGUGAAGUGUUAAAUGAAUUUUGUUUUAAAAAUACAGUUUAACCUCAAAACUGUAUGAAACUAUGUUAUGAUCCAAAACGUUAUAAAAAUUUUCAAAUUGGUCCAAUUUUAGAAUUUCUAAUUAUUACUUUAUUAAACUCAAAACUUUCUGAAAUUAAGAUAUGAUCCAAAAUAUAAGAAAUUAUAGAAUGACCCAAAACAUUUAAAUAUUUUGAAAUAGGUCCAAAUCCGAAAUUUAAAACAAUAAUUUAUUAAAAUCAAAGAUUAUGAAAAACAACUUAACUCCAUAAAGACAUAUUCUUAUUGUUAAAGCACAAUACAUAAAUCUUUAUUUAAUCAACACAUGUGGUUUGUUAUCGAAAUCUCAAUACAACACAUUAGUCCAAAAUUAUCCAAAGCAUACGGAAAUAACAUAUUAUCCAUGAAAUAUCAAACAAUCAAAACAAAUCCAUGUCAUUCAAAACAAAUACAUAAUCCAAAAUCAUAAUGAAAUGUAGGUGUGUCCAAAUACAAGCAUAAGAGACUACUAAGGUGGUGAGGAUGGUGGUGAUGGAGGUGGAUACGGAUAUGGAAUGCCGAAGUGCUCAAAGAGGAGGCGCUGUCCAUGAAUAAACUGCUGCUGCUGGUGGUGAAACUCAGUCUGCCACACAGAGAGUGUCCUCACCUCAUCCAUAAGCUGCUGAAGAGUAACUUCUUCAAAAGUAGGAUGCUCGGGAUGUGGUAAAGAAGGUGCAGAGGCUGUAGGAGCCGAGGGAGAUACUGAAGGAGCUCGACGUCUACGCUGACCCCGAAAUGAAAGUGCAAAAACAGGUAGCUGAUGGGCUGGAACCACAGCAUUAAGUGGUCGAUCAUCACUUGGAGCAAGAAAGGUGAACUUUUUAUCAGUGACUUUUACCCAAGUGCCAUUACGACACUCAAAACCUAAAGAACUAACAGCCUCAUCCCCAAUGCUCUUAGACGGCCUACAUGAUGGUUCUUGGAUAGUGACGCUAAAGUAUUUGAGGAUUCGGGUGAUGAAAUGACCAUUCAGAAGGGAACGAGUAAUCAACUUAGGUAUACUAAGCAUGUUUCGGACAAUGGUGUAUCCUAAGUCGACUGGACGAUGUCUAAGAAUACAAUCAAUCAAGGCAACAUCCAUAUGAGAAACCUCAUCCAAAUGGCCUGAUCUAUGAAGCACAAUACUCUGAAUAAAACGAAGUAAUAUCCGAGUUUGAAGACAAAGACAUUGGGUGCGAAAAUGGAUAGUACAAUCAUCAUCCGAAAGAUCAAUACGACGACAUAUAUUCUUAACAGCAUCAAUAUGAACAUAAUCAUCAAUAUCAGGAGGUUUCCUAGGUGAAAAAAUUUCUAGGCCAUCAUCGGAAGUUCCUAGAAUAGAGUUCAACUCCGAAUCAUCAAACUCAAUCGAAACUCCUUCAACUGUGGUGAUUACUCGAUUCUCUUUCUCCGCGGAACAAUCCAUAUUCGAGUAAAACACUUUCACCAAGUCGGGAUAUACAUUUUCCUCAAAAACAAUUGAAUUAAGCCAACCAACAUCUUCCAACAAUUGCAAUAAAGUUCUAUUACUAAUACUAAGAUUAUUCAACCAAUCCGGUAAAACAAAAAAGGUUUGGAGUACCUCACGAGUCAUGAACUGUUGGUGAAAUCGUUUGGCUAGAUGUUUGUGGUUCUGAAAGUGUCUGGCCUCAAAGUUGGAUUUAUUGGAUGUGCCCCCUGCUUGUCGUGACCGGUUGGUAUGUUGAACCGGUUCUUUGCCUUUUCUUCGAAUCGGCCGUGAGCUUGACAUGGUGAAUUUUUUUGAUUUGAAGUGAAAUAAAUCAAUGAGAAGGGAGAUAAUAAGGAUGGAAAGAGAUUUUGAGAAGCAAUUUCGAUCAAAAACGGCUUCAGAGGGGGAAAUCUAGAGAGAGAAGUUUCGGCUUAAACCAUAGAAUUGAUUUCGGAUCUAUUGAUUUUGAGGUUCAAAAAAGGUUUGAAGGAUGAUUUUGGAUACAAGAACGGAUGGGAAACAAGUUUCAUGGAUCCAUUUGCAUAAAAAACCUGUGAAAAUGAUGGAUUUUGGAGAGAAAACGAGAGAGGAAUAUUCGGUUUUAGAGAGAGAUAGCUAACCGGUUUACCGAAAGAUAAAGGAGGAGAUGAACAGUUUAUAUACUCGCGAAUCCGGCUAUCCGGAAAUUAUUAACCGGCUAACCCAUUGUAGGCAGUGACCUACCCACGCGAAUUCAGAUUUCCGGUUUGAAUAACCGGCUAUCCGGUUUCGUCUCCAAGAAAAAACAGCAAACUGCCUCACUCGGCUGAGAUAAAAAAAAACCAACUGUGAUAGGGAAUGCAUAAUUUGUUUGAAAGAUGAAGUUUCACUUGAUUUCUUGCCAUGUGCGUACCAAGUUUUGUGUGCCAGUUGCAGUGUCAAAAUUAUCAUAGUUUGUCUUAAGAAGUCUGAAAGAUUAGAAAAAGAGAUUGCUAAGUUCAAGAAAUGAAAGUGAGAUAAAAUUACUUGUGUCGCUUCUUGUGUCUUCCCAUUGUUUAAUUCUGAUAUUGUUGCUUACUAAAUUAACAAAGAAAGACCAGCACAAUGACUGCUGAUGAAUACUUUGAGAAGCAUCCAGAGCUAAGGAAAGAAGUUUGAUGAUGAAAUCCGGAAUGAUUAUUGGGGAUAUUAAUUCAGUCAUGUGCAUUCAGUUAUCGGGAACAUCUUCUUUCAUGCAGACUCUCGAGUUCAUCCCAACCACCAUGCUGUUUUGGUGCAUCAUAACAAGAAUAAGCCAAUUGUUUUACUCCAUUUUGGUUGAUUUGACUAUCACAAAAAAUUCCAUGAUAUUUGGACAUUACUCAGAAUCUAGCUAUAAUAAUUUCUCUUUUCUUAUUUGCCAAAUUUGCAUUAAGAUUUUUUUAGAAGAACUUUUAUGUUUUCACAUUCAGAAAGAGUUAAAGCAAAGCAAUUGCAGUAGCAGUGUGUAUGGAAUUUGUUGAAUGGAUCCAUUUGAAAGUCCAUUUUUUAUUCUUUAAUGUAAUAUCUAAUAUUAAAAAAAUCUUAAAACAAAAAUAUGAAUGAAUUGAAAAAUCAAAGUAGUAUUCCACAUUCCCAUGUAAAAAUAGAUUAACGACACCACUUUAAGAAAAGCUAAAAAUAAAAAUAGAUAUAUAUUAUUAAACAAAAUGAAAGUUGGAACUUACAAAGAGCUAAUAUUAUUACUUUAAUCUUCUAGUAUUUAGAGUUCAUCUUGUGGCUGAUAUUAUUGCUUGGCUACGUGAAACCAUUUUAGUCUUGUCAACACUAUCUUGUGGCUGAUAUUUUUUAUUGAAAUGCUCUUCAUCCACCAACUUGGUUCUUGUCAGUUUGCUUGGUAACUUCUUCUUGUUUGGUUUUGGUGCAUUAUUUAUCUAUUCACUCGUUAGUCAGACACUUUUUUUUUGUAUUUUUUGUUUCUACGCACAAGACUGAUAAAAUUAAAUGGGCUUAAUCUUUUGUCUUCCUAAUAGCAAUAUUCAAUAUUUAUUUAGUAAUAUUUCUAGAACUCUAAGAAAUAACUGGAUUUAAAUUUUAUGAAUUAUAUAUUGUGCUAAAAGCACAAAGACAAUCAUAUGAGUGUAUAUUAUUAUUAAAAUUAAACAAUUGGAUUUAACCUCCUCUUCAUACAAUUCAUAUACAUUGGCUCGCUCUCGCUCUCUUUUCUACAUGCAUGUGUCAUUUACAUUUAGGUAUUUGUAUGCGCGUAUAUUAUUAUAAUGUAAUCCCUCUAAAAAAUGAGACCAAUCACAGUCCAAACAAAAAAAAGAAAGAUAAAGAAAAGUUAAUACUUUAAUGGCAUUGUUAAUACGUCACAGUAAUCAUGUCCCUCGAAUCCGGAUAACUGGAUUUAACAACCGGUUAUCCGGAUGUUGACUGCAAGCAACAUGCUUGCUGUCACGCGAAUCCGGAUGACCGGAAGUCAACAACCGGUUAUCCGGAUGUUGACAGCAAGCAUGUCAAUCGAAACCGGAUAACCGGAUUUCCUAACCGGUUUUCCGGUUAUUGCAUGUCCUGUAUAAAGUUUAAAAAAAAUAAAGGUAAAAUUACCACGUUUGGUUGGUUAGGUUUGCAAUAAAUAUGAUGAAAAAAAAACUCACCUUCCCUCCAUUAAUGAGGGAUUAUCCUAAGGCUCAUGUCCAAGACUUCUUCACAAAAAACACAGUCACUCCAAAACAUAGUCCCAAAUACUAUUACUGCGGUCUCGUUCAACAUCUAUGGUGCCUAGUUUUCAACUUUUCAAAAGUUAAGUUUCUCUCCAACAAAGGUAUGUGUUGUAAUUUAAGUAGUUGAUUUGUGCUCCCAUAGAUGGUUUCAGAAAUAUUAUUAUAUUAAAUUAUUAAGAUAAAGGGUGUGAAUUAUGUUAUUAACAAAGUUUUGGUUGAACAGGGGUUAAAUAUGAGUAGCCCACAUAGUUCCAGCAACCUAGGAAUAUCCAUUGCUCCAAAUGUUGGUUUACAGGUAUCGGACGUACUUGGCAGUCAUUUCGACUCAGUAGAAGAUGCAGAACUGUGGUAUAACAAUUAUGCCCGAAUGCUUGGUUUUGGUGUUAGGAAAGAUGAUAUGCGGCGCGGAAAAAAGUCUAGACGAAUCACAAUUCGACGUUGGGUUUGUCAUUUCGAAGGGGUAAGAGAUGAAAGACAAUCUCAAAACUGCAGUAGGGUGCAGAACCACGACCUAUAACACGAACCGAGUGUCGGGCAUCAUUUCGAGUGAAUUACGAUGAUUCAGUUGGUAAAUACAUCGCCAAAGAAUUCAGGCCUGAGCACAACCAUCAUUUGGCUUCUACUAAUGGAGUUCAUCUCAUUCGUUCACAUCGAAAGGUUACUGAUGCAGAACUUGCGCAAGCAAAGGCAUUAAGGCAUGUUGGUGUGAAGACUUGCCAAUUCAUGGAUUACAUGGCUGAUCAGGUAGAGGGGCCUCAAAACCUAAGGUUCACACGCAAAGACAUGCAAAACACGCUAGAUGCUUCCACUCGUGCCGAGGUUGGAGAUUCUGACUCAGACACAACUAUAGCAUACUUUGCGGCAAAAUCUGAACAUGACCCUGGGCUUUGCUUUGAGUACACACUAGAUGAUGAAAAUAGACUACGAAAUUUGUUUUGGGCUGAUUGUGUAGCUCGUUAUGACUAUCAGUGUUUUGGUGAUGUGUUGGCAUUCGAUGCAACGUAUAAGACUAAUGUAUAUCAUAAACCCCUCGUUACACUUGUCGGAACAAACCAUCACUUCAGAACAACGGUCUUCGGUUUUGCUUUGCUCGCAGAUGAGACAAUUGACUCAUACACGUGGCUGCUACAAACUUUUCUAUCCACUAUGGGCAACCGAAUGCCCGUGUCUGUAAUUACUGAUGGUGACAAGGCAAUGUCGAAGGCAAUAAAGACAGUGUUUACCGGGUGCAUCCAUCGUCUUUGUUGUUGGCAUCUUGAGCGCAAUGCGCAGGCUAAUUUGAAGAACGAAGACUUUACGAGAAAAUUUCGUGAUUUGAUGUUGACACCUAUGACGGUAACUGAAUUUGAAACCCAAUGGUCAGCUGUAGUGGCUGAAUUCGCACUUGAACAUCAUGCAUGGGUACAGAAAAUGUAUUCAAAGCGGUGCAAGUGGGCGGAAGCUUAUCUUAGAGGAACAUUCUUUGCUGGUAUGCGAAGCACUCAACGAUGUGAAAGUAUGAAUGCAUAUCUUAGCCGAUUUGUCCAACAUAAACUAAAAUUGUAUGAGUUUGUGCGACAAAUCGAUCGUGCUCUCCGCAAUAUUCGUACCACAGAAACAUCCGAUGAGUUCAAAACCAAAUACAGUACUCCUGUCUUAAGAACUCACUUACAGAGCCUCGAGAAACAUGCUGCACAAUUGUUCCCGUUAAGAGUUUUUUCGAAGGUUAGAGAUGAGAUGCUGCGAGAAAGAGCGGUCAUCGAAGUAAAAACUGUCAAAGCUGUCGAUGUUGCAUUGUACACAGUGACUGAAUUUAGGACACCUACAACAUGUUGGAAUGUCAUCCACAAUCUACAAGAAAACCACAUACAGUGUUCGUGUCAAAUGAUGGAGUUUGUUGGGCUUCCUUGUAGGCAUAUGUUUCAUGUCUUGAAAGUGGAACAAAUUGAAAAGAUUCAUGACAAUAUGGUUUUUCGUAGAUGGACAAAAAAAGCCAAGGAGCACAAUACUUGCAGGACCACAAAACCAGAAGUUGACACUGAUGUUUCAGAGAUGGCUAGAUUUAGUGCAUUGUCUGCAGCCUGCAAUAAAAUGUGCUACAAUGCAGCAAAAAACGUUGAAGCCUAUGAAAAUGCAUUGGUAGAAAUCAAUCGGCUAACAUUAACUUAUGAACAACAAUCUGAACGAGACGGUCUCCCAAAUAAAAAAUUGCGGAUGGGAACAAAACUUCGUAAUCCUGCAGUUGUAAAAACCAAGGGCGCUAUGUCUAAAACAAAAUGUGUAGCAGAAAGCUCUAGAAAGUGUGGAAAAUGUCGUCAGGUUGGGCAUACAACACGAACUUGUUCUAUUCAAGGGAAUGAUAGCACCCAGCUAAGGUAUGUCCCAAGUUCUUUAUCAUGUGUUUAAUUAUUGCAUUGUUGGAUAUUUCAUUGCAAAUAACUUUCAUGGUAUUGAUUUAGUGUCGAUGGAAACUGUUUUGCCGCAUUCGAUUCAUCAAGCACCCAGAAUCUUGGAGCCUCUACUGGUGUCAAUCCAACAUUGUUAGGUCAUGCAAGCAACCAAUUUUCAAAUGUUUUUUAUUGGUGGCCUCAUUAAACAAUGCCAUUAAAAUGACUCAAUAUGUAUUACCAUUUGAAUUCCACUAUCAUGUACUAACAUGACAACCAGUUUAAUAUCAAAUGAUGAGAUGUGAACACUGUUAACAUGCAUAUGUUCAUUAUAGUUAAAUUAUGUCUCGGCCAAGAAUACAUAACCAUGUCAUAAAUUUAAAGAUAAUUCUCCAUUACAAUUGAUUUUACAACCAUCGUAAGCAAGAAGACAAAAAAAUUCACGGUAUUACCUCCCAACAUGUUUCAAACAUCUUACAACAAAAAAUAGUAUGCAAUCACUUGCAUAAUCAUUCCCUACUAUAGUUCGAUAUCUAAGCGCGUGUUCUCGUGUUAACUUUCUUCUUCUUACGAAUGUUGCCGCUUUGUUGGUGAAAUGACUUUUGCACUUGAGAGGAUACAGGGUUCACCAUUACAGCAUGAAUCGCAAACUGUGCAUUGCUUAGUUCCAGCAAUUUAUCUCGAUUUUGAUUCAAUGCAGAAUUAAUUAGUUGAAUGGCUAGCCUACCUCGUGUAUCCUCAGAUGUGAACUAGUCAAUUUGAAAGGAAACCAAUAUUACUUUCAUAUAAUAAGUAGCUUUUAUAUAAUUAUGAAGUUAACAAAAUUCUGAGUUCAACAAUUAAACAAGUUUGGCAUAGUCGUACCAAAGUGGACGAUUUCUUCGGAAUAAAUUCUGGGCUGUCCAUAUAGUUUAUCACAUAAACCCCACAGUCAUAUCCAUUCCUUUGCUUUGGAACUCCAAUGCCCCGGUUGAUUGGAAAGUCUUGAAACUUCAUGUGUUGCAUAUUGCUUGGCAAUUGGGGCUGCAUAAUCCAAUCCAAGGAAUGUAGCUGUCGGCAAUGUUGAAAACCAGACAAUAUUAUAGAUAUGAAUAUAACACAAUAUACAUAACUGAUAAUGUUAAAUAGAUAACAAAAAUAAAGAACAUGAUUAAGAUACAAUGCGCAUGGCUUGAUCGUGCCGUCUUCUAUUACUGCGGGGAUCUGGAAGAGGAUCCCAUAUUUCUGCACUUGUAUUUCUGACAUUCACGAUCAGUAGGUACCAAUGAGAUGAUUCAUCAUUUAUUGGCACAUAAAUCUAACAUUUCAAUUGUCAAUGUCAUACACCAAGCACACUAGUAGAAACUGAAAUAAGUUAAAGGUUAACAAACUAACCUUUUGACACUUAUGCACCUGUUGCAUAAAAUUCUUUCCACAUCUAGCUGCCCUUGCAAAACAAUCCACCUCAUCUCCGACCAUUAAAACUGCUUGCUACACAUAAUAAAGACAACGUUGAAUAAGGAAGUUGUCAAUAAAGAAACCAAAGCACAAUGCAACAAGUACCGGCGAGACUCACAGAAUAUCUUGUUGGUAAAUACCAGUUCAUUGGCACAUCUUUCUCCACCACCUACUGAAUGAGGGUGAGGUGAUGCGCUUUCAUAGAAAUCACCUAAAAGUGAUCAUAUUUAUUGAGAUAUAUAAUAACAUGUAAUAAACGAUAAACAUAUAUUGUGACAUCACCAAAUGUUGAAACCUAAUACCUCGCCACAUAGAUAAGCCCCCGGCAAAAGAGUCAAUAAAGAAUGCCGAUUAAGAAUUUCGCCGCAACUAGAAACAAUGAUUUCACUAAAGAUAAAACACGGUAAUUUUUUAGUCGUAUAGCAUAACAACUAUAUACAGAAAACUAAUUUCAGUCUUCUGAAUUUAACCUUCCCUCUGCGUCCUUGUUAAAAGCAUAUUGAAUAAGCUUCAAUUCUUCCAGCGUAACUGGAUCAUUGACUUGAAACGGACCAGCUUUAUACUUGGGAUUUGCUCCCCUGGACACUUGAUCGUACGGUGAAAGUUGAUAUCGGCCUGGCCUACGAUUCCUACUUGGUCGCGUUGGCAGGACACUGAGACUAGUAGAUGUUUGAGGUUCUUGCUUAAGUUGAACUGGUUCAUCUAUAUCCUUUAUAAAAAAUAAAUUUAUAUGUAAGUUACUUCAUAAGUGAGUUAUCAUUGAAAUCAUUUUAAGAAAACGACGUUAUAAAACUGUACCUCAUCUCGGAGAUUAGGUGGUGGAAUAGGGACAAAGUGGGUAGGAUCUUUGCGAAAUUCACCGAUUCCUUCUCUUGUCCCCAUCCAGCCCAUUAAUUUAUCGAGGCUCAGGUUCAAUCUGCGAUCCACAGAGUCCUCGUCGCUAUCCAUUACCAUUUUGUUUUUUUCCAUCAGUAGUUGGCUCGGUUUUUCUGACUGGACAUGUUGGUUCUACUAUUUUCAAGCUCGGAGAUUGCGGGCAUGGAUCAGAUGGUUGUUUUGAUAGUGCACCAACCGGAGACUUGGAUCUCAAUUCCUCCAAAGACUUCUCAACCAUUUCCAUUCUCACAUUGAAUGAAUCCAUUUUGUGUUCAAUUCUGUGGACACACUGUGUUAGUACCCUAAAAGCUUCCUCCAUAUUAACAGUGCUCGGCCCAACAUCUUCGGUUUGUUCAAAAUGAGCGAAAUUUCUUUCGAGCUGCAGAAAAUUUGAUUCACGCAUUGGAACCUAAAAUAAAUAUGCACAACAAUCAUACAUAAUGACAAUCAAAAUAUAUUCAAUUAACCGUAAACAAAAUUAAAUACAUGUGUGAACAAGACAAAAAAUAAAACAAACCUCAGUACUGGUCAUGUCCCCAAACUUUUUCCGCCAAUUCAAUAAGCGCCGAAUCUCUUCCUUGGUCCAUACACUAACAGGGCAAACUGUUCUGUCCAUGGAACACCGAUCAUAUAAAACAGCACUAAAGUAGAACAACUGUACAUUCAAAAAACAAUUACUACGUCAUUUUAUUUUUCGUAUUUGGAAAAUUAAUUAUGGCAUCUAAGAUUUCUUAAAUAUACCUCUAAAAACACAACACAACCACUAACUGACUUCACUUGAUUAUCUUUAUACUUCGCUAUGCCCUCCCACAGAAAGUUGAAACACCAUGUAGCCCAAUUCUUUUUCCUAAUUAAUUGCACAUCUUUUAGGGAAUGCAGAUACAUCGGAUUGAUGUAGCUGGCACUUGUGGGACACAAUACAGUUCCUAGAAGAAACAAACAAAACAUGAUCUUAAAGUCAUCAUCACUACUCUCACUAGCUAUUAUUCUUUCACUAACUGCGGCUAUUUCAAUUCCUCUUCCACUUGUUCUAUACUUGGCACGCAGUUCAAUUAUAUCACCCGCUUCUUCUCGGAUGUAUACUGGUUCCCCUCCAUCUUUGAUCCCCAUUACGAUGCUGAAGGUUGUAGGGUUUAAACAAAACUCUCUCUCGUGCAAAACUAUACAGUGCCUCUUUGUAUCACAUUGUUGGACAAGUGUUUCACAGAAGUCUUGUCUCAGGCGACCACAUCGUAAUUCUAGCAUGCUUCCGAAGCUAAUUUCUCUAAUUGCAGCUUGUUGGUCGGCCGAUAGUGUGGAAAUGACCUUAGUGAGUGCACUGACACGACAACGAGAUAAAUUACAUUGGCUAUGCUUAUCCCCAAUUUUUUGUUCUUCAUCUUGUUUUUCAAUACUCCUUUCACCAACAUUUGAACUUGGGUCCUCAUGCAUCGUACCAAAUCGGCACUUCUCCUCAUUCGUUAAUUUCUUCCAUUUUUCAACAAUUGUCGCCCUACAAACUUUUUUGAUCCCUUCUUGCCUGACCUUUUCUGCUUCAUGCUUACUGUACACAACAUUUUAGUUCAACUAAUUACGUCAACAAAAUUGUUAUAAUAAGAACCUUAUUCAAAGCAAUAAUUUUAUACUUACAAAAAGUGUAUCCACGCUCUCUGACCAGGUCCUCCCCUUCUGCCUUAUGUGGACUCCAUUUUAUAACUGUAUGCUAUAUUUUAAAUCCUGAAAUAGACCACACAUAAAUGUAGUAUCAAGGCCGGACCCAUAACAAUGGCUAAGUUCUUGGCAAAUUAUUGAGCGCUCAUCUUUAGUAUUCCUACCAAAGACUGUAGAGCUCAAAACAAGCAAACAACACCUAAAACCAAACAAGAAAAAUUUAGGGUUCCCAUAGAAAAAUAACACUUAAAAACCAAAUCUCAAAAAAUCAACCACAAAAUAGAAAUAAAUUAAAAAAUGCCAUUGAAUUUUUACCAACUAAUGCCAUUGAAACCACGCAAAACCAUGGGAACAUUGCAUCCCCUUCUAAAUAUCUUUCUUCAAUUUAAUGCUUGAAUUACAGUACAUCAAUCAUAUCAGGAUUGAGGAUUUUCUUGCCAAUUUCAUGCUUCCAAGCCAUUAAUCAUCUCUUCAACAUCAAUUUUUCAUCAUCUAAAUAUCUUUUUUCACUCUAAAUUACCAAACUUCUAAUUGUUUCAAAUCUCUAAUUAUUUCACACAAAAUUUAUAGUACAUCACAAAAACCACAAAGGUCAAAAUUACCUCAUCACCUUCUCGUUAACUCACAAAAUGAAAAGGAAAGAGAGGAACUUGUGUUCAUCUUCAACACCUCAGGAUGACAGCGACCGCUUCAUGGAUUCCACUUCUUAUUUGCUUUGAACGAGAUGGUGCCUUUGAUCUUCUAUGAUUACUAAACAAAUAGAAGAGAGAAAUUUGAGAGAAAUUUGUGAUUUCAAAGUGAGAUGUGAGAGAUUGGGAAUGGCCUGGGUGAAACCCUCAAAAAGCAAAAUUUUGUUUUGCAAGCUUUGGGAACCGGUUUAAUAAGUUAACAAUUUUUUCCUCUUUUUUAUUUCUUUUCAAUCUCAGCCGUUGGAUUCAUUUUACUUGAAUCCAACGGCUGCGUUUACAAGCCGGCACAAUGCCGGGCCUCAAUGCCCGGCAUUGUAGCUUUAGCCAAGUUUAGUUUACAAUUACACCGGUGUCAAAUCAGCAGAGCAUCGGCAAGAGUUUUCGAUUGUUGCAAUUUGCAAUGCAUGUGGUACAUGCACGCACUAAUAAAGAAACACAAAAAGUGCAUUCUCAAGCCAAUAGUAUUUGUUUUUAAUCGCUACUUUGCAUAAUAAUGUAGCUUAGUUAGGAAAUUUGUAAUUAUAUUAUGCGUCCGUUUGGUAUAACUUUUUAAUUAGAACUUAUUUAAGGAGAACUAUUGUUUGUAGAGUUUUUAUAAAUAGAAAUUUUAAUUAAAAAAAAUUAUAAUUAUUUAGUUGUCAAUGUCCAAAUUGAUGAACUAUUGUUCUUUUUGUUAACAUGUGUUUGUUUUACUUAAUAAUAAAACUUUAGUUUACAAUUACACCGGUGUCAAUUAUACUAAUAGCAUCGGCAAGAGUUUUCGAUUGUUGCAAUUUGCAAUGCACGCGGUGAGAGAAAAUGAGAAUCUUGUUUAAUCCUUUCAUUAGGAGUAAUUUAAUAAUCGUUUGUUAUAAUAGAAUAUGUAUAAAGAAAGGAAAAUUAUAUUCAUAGAUUUGGCUUAUUUUUUGUUUAAAGUAAUUCAGAUCAUUACAACGUCCUUUUCGCUAAUUAAUUACAACGUCCUUUUCGCUAAUUAAUUAUGAUUAUAUACAUUUUCAUAUGGCAAGUGGCAUUGUAGAUCUAAACGACGUUGCUAUUUCAAUACGUUAAUUAAGUGAUUCUCCUGAUUGUCAUCAGCGCUAUACCCUCUAGGAAAAUAGCUCAAUUGUUUUCCUGCAUUGAUUUUCAUUGGUAUGUGAUUUCUUAUGAAAUUCUUUUGAGCUUUCCUUAGUUAAAAAGCUUGAGCUUUUAUCACCUAAUACUGAUAUCAAUUAACUUGUGAACGAUUUUAUACCCUCUCUUUUUUUUCUUUUUUUUUAAGUACUCUGUUGAAAGCCAAAGUUCCUUUGGCCAGUUAAUUUAGAAGUGAAGGAAAGAAUAAAGUUAGGCCUCGACGUCUUUUGAGAUUAGAAAUACAUUUUGAAUGCUUUAAUAGAUGCAGAGCAAACUGGCUCGAUAUCUAACUAUUUUAAGAGCUAAAAUCAUUUAUUAGAAGUUGUAGCAUUAAAAAAAAUGGGCUUGAUAUCCAAUUUUGUUAUUGAAUAUGUCUCACGUGUUACUGGCAGAUGGCUAUGCUAGGUUUUAUUGCUCCUUGAAUUUGAUUGAAAAAUUAUUGAGGCGGACAAGUUUGGACCAUUGUUGGACACUGAAACUACACAUCAGUCUUAGAAAAUUGUAAUUUUGUUGGCUUAUCAUGAUUUUGAUCGCCUCACAUUGAUUUUCCUAUGACGUCUCUGUAGAGUGGCUAUGCUUACAUUUUUAGGUAUUUAAUUCUAAAAAUUAACUUAUUAGAUGGAAGGACCAAUUCUACCUGUAAAUACAAGUGGCUUCCCUUUACCAACUCAUACAAGACACAACAAUAAUCUUCUUCAGAAAAAACCACCGUCGGAGGGCUAUUUUCGUUCAACAUAAAUGAGUUGUUCCGCCACCAUAUUUUAAGGGUUUGCUUCUAAUACAACUUGGGGGAGCUAGGGCUAAGAUUUCUAAGAAUCAACAUAAAAACCUUGCCUAUUGGAUGGAAGGACCAAUCCCACUUAUGAGUCUAAAUGACUAAUUUUUGAGGACACAACUCAACAGACCAAUAUAAACUUUUGACGUCCCAUUUUAUUACUUUCCUGUGUUUUUACUUUUGAUGCUGUCUAUAGCCCUACUAUUCUAUUAAGCAGAAAAUAUUUCAAGGCACUCUCGGUCCAGUAGAUAACUUUGGUAUUUAUUAUCUAUUUUCUUUCCAUUUUAUGUAAACCCCGAUCUUUACCUCUGAUUGGUUGUAGAUUCUUUUGUUGCUUUGGGGUUAGGGGAUGGUUUUCAUAACUAUUAAGUUGAUCAAUGCAGAAAAUCACCAUCAAGAAAUGAUAAAGGAUUGUUAGUUCUAUCUGACAAACAACAUUAAUAUGAAGGAUGAUGAUUGUUCUGUUCAAGAGUUUAUAAUGACAUAAUUCUACUUUGGUCUUUUAAAAAAAGUAAUUUAGAAACGAGUAUGUGAGUGAUGACUUUUACAAAAUAAAUUACAUGCGCAGUGAUGAUUUUGACACAUGAAAAUGAAAAAAGAAAUAUAACUUGUGAAUAAUAAUUGAAGUACCUGCUAUUGUUAUAUUGGGUAUUGAUAAAUGGAUGGUUUUGGAAGAAUUGAAAAUGAUGGCAUAAGUAAACCGAAGUUAAGAGAAAAGAGAAAGAGCAUUUGAACUUUACUAGUAAGUAAAGGCAAAUUUCUUGGUUCAAGAAAAGAUAAGAGAUAUCAAACUAGCAAUAGGAAAAAGGAGGAAGGUUAAGACAGCAUCUUAACAAAAGCUAAAGAAAAGAAAAACUUAGUUCAAGCAAAGAACAAUGUGCUAAUGUCGUGUAAUCUUGUUUAAUUUCUUUUUCUUCUCACAUUUUCCAGGGCUUAAAUAAUACAAUAUACAUUUUCAAGCAAAGAACAAUAUGCAAUUGCAGUACUUCUGAGCACACAACAACAAAUAAAUAGUACAAUAUACAUACCCACUAAAUUAAAAAAAAAAUAUUAUUCAAGUUUGUGGACAAUACUGUAGCCAUGCCGUCGUCGAAAUCUACUGACAGCUGAAACAAAGAAAGAAUGGAUGAAUGCUGGAUCACAGUUGAAAUUGAAGGUCUGGUAGGUGAUGUUUCCCUCUCUGAUUUUACCUAAACAAAUACAAAAAAAUAAGAAUCACAAAUGAAAAUCUGCUAUUACACUGUUCUUACUUAUUAAAAUACAGAGGUUUCUUUGUUUCUCUGCAGCAAUGUCCAUGGCUAUUAGAAACAAGAACAAUUAGACCAGCAUUUGCAAGAAUCCUUUAAGGUAUUACUGCAGAUAUAAAUCCACUGAGGAAAUGGAAAAAGUGAAUACCAAAUUAGGCAAGUUAAAUGAAGAUUGAGUUAUCAUAGAAGAAUAAAACUCAUCCAAUUCAAUCCAUCAAAUUCCAUAAGGAUACAACUGGAUGUCAUACUGCUGCUCCAUAUCCUCAAGAGCCCGUAGAUUUUGCCUCAACUCUGGCUGAGGCCAAUGUAAGUCCAAUUUGCAAAAGCUCUUUAUGCACCAUAGCUCUUCAGGAAGCUUUCUCAAGUAAGCACAAGGGUUGACAAUUAUGCUCCCAAGUUUUGGCAUUGCUCCAGCCCCUAUCGUCCACUCCUCUAGCCAACAAAUUGAUUUCAGGUGCAAUACUUUGAGCUCCGGGAAACCACAAGAGCAAACACAAGCCAGUUUUCUUCCUGAAUAUGAGUUCUGCUUCAAUUUCAGCACUUGAAGGUGUGGAAGCUUGUCUAGUGUUAGCAUGGUAUCCGCCAAUAACUCAGUAUUUGAUAAGCUUAGUUGGAUCAGACUUGGAGAAGCUGGUAUUUAGACAGGGCCAUCCGAGAGAGCUACCACCUCUUGGUUUCGUUCACCAGCUUCAAGCAUUCAAGUUUGUGUAGUUCGCAUAGGCUUUUGGAAACCCCAGAACGAUAAUAACUCAAACCUCCAGAUACUAAGAGUUUGAAAAUGAGGUAGUCUGCCUGUUAAAGUAGCUCACUAUGCUGAACGAAAGAAGGAGAAAGCUAAGCUGAAGAAAAUACAGGGCAAGAGUAUUAGCUGUGCCAGCUCAACUGACAGCUCAGCAAAAUCAGUUAAAUUUUGUUACAAGCCCCCUGUGCAUUGUGCUGAAGAUUAGUUAGUUUAAUAAUGAUUAGUUUUAGAUUAGUUAAAAUGUAAUCAUGAUUAAGAUAUAUAUAUAUAUAUAUAUAUAUAUAUAUAGAUAUAGAUAUAUAUAUAGCUGCUGUACUGAUAGGGCAUCUCAAAAGUUCUGAAAUAAUACCUCAAUUCUAUGGCAAAAAUAAAUAAUCUCAAACAAGAACCAAUAAUCAUAUUUUGUUACUGUCAAACACAAUGCAUAUGAGCAAAACAUUGGAAGCCAACACCAGAAUACAUAUGAAUAAACAAUUAAAGAUAGAGAAAAAAGGCUUAAACCUUGGGGGAAAAAAGUGAAAAAACAUGAAAGACAAAUUACACAUGUGCAGUAACCAUCGAACUUAUCAGUGACAGCUGCAUCCAUUACAUUGCUCCAACAACACAAUGGCAAACCACCAGUUUCAAAUUGAGGAUAGCUAUCGAGAAUGAGAAAGUGUCCAAAACAUCAUAAAUAGACAUGUUCCUAUUGUGCAUAAUUUACAUUAUAGGCAAAUAUUCUUAUACCAUCAAAGGCAAAACAUGACACUAACAAUUGAUCCCCCCCCCCCCCCCCCCCCCCCCCCCCCCAACAAAAAAAAAGGAAAAAACAAUACAGAAAAGAUUGAAACAGAUAAGGCUACACUGAGCACAGGAUGCCAUGAAACAUAAUCCAGGAACCAAAUUAAUAAAGAAGGAAGGCAAACCAUUAUUUAACAAUCUGUUUUGUAUUUGGGAAAGUCCGAUAAAAUCUACUUAGGGAUAAUUAGAGAACCUCAACUAUUAAUCACACCUCAUAAAUGAACUAACAUUAACCAUGUACCAUCCCCACAUCAGACAAACAUUCUCUAUACUUCUGAACCUAAUACUUCCAUCUUCAAUUGGGGUUUUUUUUUGUGGGGGGGGGGGGGGAUAAGCUAUCGUGUUUCUAAGCUUGCUUACCUUCUGUGUGGGACUGAAAUACUGAUUUCGAAUCAUUAACAGUAAAAUUGGAAGCUCAUGAAAAAACAAUUUUAUCUUUUAACAAAAGUUAAAAUUACAUCUCCAUAUAAAUUCUCUUUUCAUUUCCUUCAAUUUUCUAAUUAAGCUUAAAAAAAUGUACCUUCAACCACAAAGGGGUUUAAAAUUUAAAAUAUAUAAAAAAAUAAAUUCAGAUAACAAUAAUUAAUUUAAUUAAAAAUAUAAAUAGAGAUUACAGAGAAAGAGAAAAUAGAGAAAGACCUAAUGUUGAGUCCUUUGGUUCUCUUCAUAGGUCCGAACCAUUUCUUCGGGCGUGGGUUUCGGGUCUUUAGGAAACUCCAUCGUCAUAAGCCAGUGAUUGUAAUCGCAACCCUCCAACAGAAUCGUGUCGGGUGUGAUCUCGUCGCCGUCCUUACACAAGUGGUAAGUCUUGUUACCCGACGGCGCAGACGAGAGGGAGAUCGUCGGGGACGAUCUGAACGGCCGAGAAUGGAUGAUGAUGGAGGAGGAGGAGGAGAUUAGCGAUGACGACGCCGAUGAAAUGGAAGGGUUUACCAGAGGAGUGGAUGCCGAAAGUGCAGGGACGGCCGCCAGGAGAGAGCGGUGGAGAGCAGCGACGGCCGGCAGUGACCGGCGGAAGAUGGCGGGAGAUGGCAGCGUGGGCCAUUGCUUGCGCGUCAGUGAGUGUCUCGAGUGAGAGAGUGAAGGUAGGGAUGGCAAUGGGGAGGGAGGGAGGGUCCAAUCUCUCCGUACCCAUCCCCCAAUUUGUCCCCGUCCCUCCCCGUCCCCAUUUGCUUAGAAUCUCCAUCUCUGCUCGAAUAAUAACAGGAAAUCCUCGAGGUUCUAAAUAACUAAUAAUUUUUUUUAUUUUUUAUUUUUUUAUUUUUAGUUAAUUAUAUUAAAAUAAAAAAUAAAAAAUAAAAAUAAAAUUUAAAAUAUAUCUUAUAUUAAUAUUGAUCCAUUAUAAAAAUUACAUGUAAAAUAUAAAUUAUCAAAAUAAUUAUCUUUAUCAAUCUUCAUAAUCAUAUAAUAAAAAGAAAAAAAUUUACUUUUAUAUUGAUAAUAAAAUAAAUAUAGAUAAUUAAUUAAUAUUUUUAAUAAAACAAAAUUUUUGGGCUAAUAGAAUCUACCCUGCUUUUUUAAUAUCUUAAAUAAAAAUUUAAGACUUUAAUUAGUUAAUUAGGCCUAAAAAUUUAAUAAUAUAAAUAUUUUGAUAUUUUUUAUUUUACCAAUAUUUAUAAUUUUAUAAUAUAUUCAAUUUUUAUUAUUUAUUUACUAGUAAUUUUAAAAAAUAAAAAUAAAAUUAAAAAAUAAAAUGGGGGAAAUGGGGAGGGGAUGGGGAUUCCACCUCAUCCUUGUCCCUUCCUCGAAUAAGAAAUUGAUUAAAAAAAAUUUCCCGUCACUUUCUCGAAUAAGAAAUCGGGUAUAAAAUUAUCCUCGUACCCUCCUCGAAUGAGAAAAAUCUCCGAGGAUACCCAUACCCGUGGGGAUUUUUGCCAUCCCUAAGUGAAGGAUUUUGUUUAGGGUUUUGGGAAUUGAAAAAUGUAAAUGUUUGAUUUUGUUGCUAGAAACUUCUUCUGCCGCUGCUUUUUAUUUUCGCUAUAAAAGUAAUAAUUUGUUAAUCAAAUAUUUUCUUAAAAAAGAUAAAUUUCUAGAACAAAAUUUAUAUUAAAUCAAAUUGUAAAAAUGUGGAAUAGGGCUAAUUUCUCCUUAAUAUUAUUGUUAGUAGAAGUAGAUUUUCGAACUAGUCUUGAUAUAUUUUAGAGUUGUAUUAUAGAUGUAUAUGUAUCUAGAUUGUAAUUAUAUUUUAAAAAAUAUAAUUUUUUUAAUUAUUGCACAAUAAGUGUAGAAAAUAUCUAUAAAAUAAUAUUAUUAGAACUAUGAAAAGAAUUUAUUUUAGAGAAGUUGUUUUUUUAUUAUUGAAUUUGUUAAUUUAUUAAUUUAUUGACAAAUGAAUAUUUAUUAAUUUAAAGAGGGAUUUUUUUUUAUUUGCUUUUAAGAAGAGUUUUGUUGGUACAUGUACAUACUUAUAAAGAAAUACAAAAAGUGCUUCCUCUGUUCCUCAAAUCAAUAGUAUUUACUUUAAUUCAUAAUAAUAUAGCUUAUUUAGGAAACUUGUAAUUAUACCAUGUCUUUGUUUCUUUGUUCAUUUUGGUGGGACAAUGUGAUAAAUGAUUGGAUUAAAAUGCAUUAAUAAAUAAAAACUUAUUAAAACCUAAUUUAUUUGGGAACCACAUAUUAUUUGUCAGUAGUAUUUAUCAACUUAACAAGUUAUUUCUAAUUUGUCCCUCUCUAUUAAUGGUUCUCUUAAAGCCAAUAGGGUCGCAUUUGAUAUCUUGCCAUUACCGUUGGCAGUAGCGUGUUACCUAAGAUUUGGAUUCAUUGAAAUCCUCAAUGUAAUCGGUGGAACGAAUGGAUUUCUUCUAUUCAUAAUUUGAUGCUUUGGAUUCAUUGAAAUCCUCAACGCAUUUGAUAUCUUUUUCGUUGAAUUCGUGCAGUUAAAUAAUCUCUACCAACAUAUGUAUGUAUGUAUGAAAUUGGAGUAACCAGACCUUUUCAAGAGUUAAAUAAUCUCUACCAACAUUGUAGAUUGCCCGAUAAAGUUAACUGUGUUACCCAGCUCUAUGCAUAUACAUUAAAUGCAUGUUUGGGUAGUUUUAUAAAAUGAUAACAGCAUGUCAAAACUUGAUAUGAGUUAUAUUGUCAUAUUCGACAUUUUUAAAUUGAAAAAUAAGCAAGCAAUCUUCAGUGAACAUUACAAUUUUGUUCGCUCUACACCCCAUCAAUAUUUAAGCAAUCUACAUAUCAUUACUUGAGGAAAGAAACUCAUUGCGCCACUAGGCUUUUAACGAGGCUCAUUUCUAUGAAUCUGGAUAGCAUUAGAUAUCUCUCCGAAUACUGUUGGGAGUAGAUUGCAGUUCUCUGGGCUAUACUACAAAGUGUAUGUACGUUGAUUCUCUGAUAUGAUUCAAAACAUCAGUACAUGCAUCAUUUAAUGAGAAAGAAUAUUCUGAGAUUAUUUAUGCAUCACCAUUUGUAGUUGUACUGACUCUAAUGAAAUUAAAGGUGCAAUCAGCAACUAAAAUGAAGCCAGAAAGACACGCAUGAGGCAGUUUUCCUAGAAGAUUUGAUAUUUCUUUGACUAGCAAACCAUACGACAUUAAUCAAAACACAAUACGCACAAACAGACCCCUACAUACAUACCAGCAAAUUCAAAAUAGAAAAAGGAGUGCAACUAUUCAAGUUUGUAGACAAUAUUGCAGCCAUGGCAUAUCAAAGCAAAUCCUUGAAAUGUGCUAAACAGAACAAUGCCCUGUCUGAUGAAUCGACGCUCAAUUACAAUUGAAAUUGAAAGUCCGGCUGGUGUUGUUUCCCUCUCCAGUUUUGCCUACAUAAGUAAAGGGAAAUGAGAAUCAUAAAAGAAAAUCUGCUUUUAUGGUUCUUAUUAGAUAGAUAAAAAGGGAUCUUUCUUUGUUUCUCUGCUGCAAUGUGUGGCUAUCCCACUCUGUUUUGCCAGUCAAGCUGAGUCUAUGUUGAGACAUAAUUUUGACAUCAGAAGCGGCCUCAAUUAGUUUGGCACUUUUGCGAUAAACAUAAAUCUACUAAGAAAGUGCAAAAAAAAAAAAGAAAAUGAAUAUAAAAGUAUGAUUUAUCAGAUAAGAUUAAAACUCACCCAAUUAAAUCCGUCAGAUUCCAUAAGGAUAUAACUGGAUGUCAUACCGCCACUCCAUAUCCUCGAAAGUCCGUAGUCUUUGUCUCAGCUCUGUCUGAGGCCAAUGUAAAUCCAAUUUGCGCAAGCUCUUUAUGCACCACAGCUCUUCUGGAAGCUUUCUCAGGUAAGCACAUGGGUUGACAAUUAAGCUUUCAAGUUUUGGCAUUGUUCCUCCCCCCAUCGUCCACUCAUCUAGCCAAUACAUUGAUUUCAGGUGCAAAACCUUAAGCUCCGGAAAGCCACCAGAGCCGACACAGGCCAGCUUUCUUCCUAAAUACGAGUUCUGCUUCAGUUUCAGCACUCGAAGGCGUGGAAGAUUUUCCAGAAUUGGCAUGGGAUCCUCCAUUAGCUCAGUAUUUGAUAAGCUCAGUUGGAUCAGACUUGGGGGAAAUUGGUAUUCAGACAGGACCAUCCGUGAGGGCUUGCUCUCAUUCACCAGCUUCAAGCAUUCAAGUUUGUGGAGUUCGCAAAGGCUUUUGGAAACCCCAGAUUGAUAGUAACUCAAAUCUCCAGAUAUCCGAAGAGUCCGAACACUGGGUAGUCUGCCCAAUAUAUCAGGAGUACAACUACUAGGGUUUAAAGCUGAUAUGAAAAUGAGAUUUUUCAGAGAGCUAGUAUAAUUUUUUGGAGGUGCGGGCAGAGUGAUAGAACCAAAGUUUAGAUGCGUGAGUUUUUGCAUCAUCCAAAUAUCCUCUGGCGACUGAUCUAUGUAGCUAGAUGGCAUUUCUAGUGUUUGAAGGUUUAAAAGGGUGCAUAGCAGCAAAGGAAGGCAUUUGAGCGAAGGGAUAUUCAAUUUCAAGUACUUCAAAAAAUAUAAAUUUUCUAAUCCGGGUGGAAAUUGGUCGAGAACUGCGGAACCCAAGUUCAGUACCCGAAGGUAUUUGAACUUUUUACAAAAAUUCUCGCAAUCUAUCAGAGCGAGAUGAUCGCUUCGUGAACUGUGAUUCAGAAAAGAUUGGAUAUACAUGUCAGAAUAUUCUGGAGGAAAGAACUUAAUCAGACGAUCCAAAAUGAGAUACCGUUUAACAUUUGCCAGUGGUUCCUCUUUCAUAUCAGACAUCCGGACAAAUUCCGUCUUGUCCGCCACCAAAUAUAUUGAAAUAAAUUCAAAACUUGGAACAUAACACGCUUUGAUUGUGCCGUUGGCUCUUCUCUUACUCACUUGAAUGAAGCCGCGGUGGAUUAGUUCUUUUAAGUAAAAUUCGGCAGUUUCCUCACUGUUGUAUGGAAUUAAACCUUCAGCUAUCCACAACUGACAUAAUUGCGCGGUAGAUAUCUCAAUGCCGGGGCGGAAGACACACAAAUAGAUGCAGCAGACUUUCAAGUAAAAAGGUAACUCCCACACAGAACAAGUUCGACUGAAAACUGUCAAAUUUAUUUUUUCAUUCAUAUAAUUUUCUGAUGGCGCACUUCCAUAGUGUAAGAUAAAAAAUUGCCAGGCCUCAUGCUUUAAUCUGAUCAAUGGUCCUUCAAUGAGCACUGAAUCAAGCCGAAUCUCCUCUCCGUUUUCCAUUUCCAACGACGUAAGGAGUUCUGGAUCAGUGACCAAUAUCAAUACUCUGCUUCCAUUCUGAUUAUCAGGAAGAACUUCUUCAAGAUCAUCCCAUAUCUCAAUGUUAUCGCAGACAUCAUCAAGCACAAUAAAGUACUUCUUCUUUGCUAGGAAAUCUCGAAGAAUAGUUUUCUUCAAUUGAUAAUCUUCACCGAUAAUUACACUAACCCCAGAUGGAGGCAUCACAGACUUGAUUAUGUCAUCCAAUAUCAUGCGAAAAUCGUAGGCCACAGAAACCCUGACCCAAGCAAGACAGUCAAAAUAGAACUUGACAUGAUUAUUAUUGUAAGUAUCUGCAGCAAAAGCAGUCUUAUCGAAGCCAUUGCUGUCGAGUAUUGCAACCACUGCCAGCCCAGAUGGUCCAUCUAUUGAUUGAGGGACCAUCUGGGCUGGCAGUGGUUGCAAUACUCGACAGCAAUGGCUUCGAUAAGACUGCUUUUGCUUAUUUUGUUACUUUGUUCACUGAUAUCAAAACCAUUGUCGCCGGGUGGAAGUUGUUGAAUCCGAUUUCUAAUAUCAAUGAUUUUACUGUGGAGUCCAACA
rnacentral:lncRNA from 1 species